UGAGUUGGGGUGCAUACACUUGCUUCAUAGUCUUUACCACAUUAUUGACUUACUAACUACAAUUUAUCCAUGCACAUUGCACAGGGUGGACUUGGUGGCGCUCAAGCAUUUGCGAAGUCAGAUAAAUUGGUGAAUAUGCUAAAGAAGCAAAAGGAAUCAAAUAGACCUUAUGGUGCUAUAUGUGCAUCCCCAGCUUUAGUGUUGGAGCCCCAUGGCUUACUCAAGGUACGACCGUUUCUGCUUAAAUUAUUUACUCAGAUUUGGAUCACCCAAUCUGAACUUGAUGAAGGAUUAUGAUGUUGUGUGAUUUUAUGAAUGUGGUCGUAUCUCAUGUAAGUCAGUGAUGAAUUAAUUGGAGUUUGCUGACAAAUUAGAAACUGAAAAACUGCUGCUGCUUCAUUAGUUACAUUACCCAAAGAGUUAAAAUAAACAUCCCAAAUUUUGUCCCAAAUUCUGUCCCAAAUGAUAUGGCAUUUAUUGAGUGAUUGUAUUAUCUAACCAACCAAUUGAUGAAUGUCACAUAAUUUGAGAUGGUUUUUUGGGAUAAAGAAUUUGGGAUUUUUACCCGCAAAAAUCCCAAGUACUUCCUGCUCCUGCAAUAUCAUUGCUGUGUAUUUGCUUUCCCCUUAGACAUAUUCAAUUGUGGUUCAGGGUAAAAAAGCUACAGCUUUUCCUGCUAUGUGCAACAAGCUGUCAGAUCAGAGUGAAAUCGAAAACAGGGUUGUGGUUGAUGGCAACCUCAUCACCAGUAGAGGGCCAGGAACUUCUAUGGAGUUUGCACUGGCAAUUGUGGAGAAGUUUUUGGGCCGCAACAAGGCACUUGAGCUUGCAAAGAUAAUGCUUUUCACUCGCGCCUAACGUUUGUAUGGGGACCUGUCUACUAUUAAACUAGUGUGUUUAUUUCUGUAUUGCUACUGCUUGUAGAGAGGGGAAAUGGAAACUUGAAUUCAUGUUUGAAUAUGGAUUCACUGUGUGGGUUUGUACAGCAGUUUGGUUUAUAAAUAAAUGAGUUCAUGGAGUCACUUCAAAUAUUCGGAAUAAACCUGAGUUUAGAUCUGUUAUCAAUGGUCGGAGUCCAAUUGCGAUCGACUCACUGGGAAUUUUAAUUAUGAAUCAUGUUAUAUUCCACCUUUCUCAUAAAAUGUUAACUCGAUUUACAGGAUAAGAAGGAAAAGAAAGACGCUAAGAGAGGAGCAGACACCCAAAAAGAGUUGACCACUUUGUUGGAACAUAAAUCUCUAGAAUAUUGAAAUAAAACACAUACCAUAUCUAGUAUCAAGUAUGUAUGUGCAAGAAGAUACAAAUUUGAAGAUCAGAUUUCUCAUUUCAAUUUAUGUUCUGCUUAGAGCAAUGGCUCUUAUUCCACAAGCACAAGCAGGAAAGAGUACGCACGAAGUUAAGAAACACACAUUGCAAAAGUUGCAUUAACUACUUGCGGCAACAUCAUCCAAGAACUUGACUUUAAUCUUCUUGAGCUUCGCUGCAGCAUCUGUCAUAUGCAUUCUCUUGUCAGGUGACUCCAUACAACAAUCCAAUGCCAAAUCCAUGAUGCUUAAUAAACAAUCCAUUUUGGCAGAAAAAGCUUGCUCUUCUCGCACCAAAUUUGCGUCAACAACUUCACUCAAUCUGUGAGGUAAUGACUCCUUCACCCAUCUCCUUAAACUCAUUUCUUCUGUGAACAUUUGAUCGGUGGGCCUCUUUCUCGUGAAAGUUUCCAUCAAUAACACACCAUAGCUGUAGACAUCACAUUUGGCUGAAACAAUUCCUUCUAAUCCAUACUCUGCAUUUUUUAAUUUUAAUUAUGAAACAAAUGAUAAAACAAAUAAUUUUUUUGAUAAUUAAGGUAACCCAAACUUUGCUCGUGCUUGAAAAAAGAGCAAAAAUUUUAAUUACAAUUGAAACUUUACCUGGUGCCAUAUAACCAAUUGUAGCCAUUGUCAUGGUUUGUGUCACACAAUCUUCUCCUUCACCUAAGAGUUUGGAAAUGCCGAAGUCGCACACAUGUGCCAUCAUAUUUUCAUCCAAGAGAAUGUUGGUGGGCUUCAAAUCACAAUGAAUUAUAGGUGCCGACGAAUGACCAUGAUGGAGAUAUUCAAGAGCCGACCCCACAUCUAUCAUUAUAUUCAACCUCUCUAGAAUGUCUAAGAAAUAAUUGUAAGAAUACAACCACUUCUCGAGACUACCAUUUGGCAUGAACUCAAGUACCAAUGCUUUGAAAUCUGGAUUAGAACAACUGCUAAGGAUCUUUAUGAGAUUUCGAUGACGAACAUUCCGUAAAACUUCACAUUCAGAAUCAAAACUCCUAAAUGCUCUCUCUAGUUGCAGAUUGAAAAUCUUUAUUGCAACAUUAGUCCCGUCGGAAAUGGUUCCUUUAUAAACUGAUCCAAAACUACCUGUACCCAGCAAGUUACAUUCAUUAAAUUCAUCAGUUGCUCGUUGAAUGUCAAGGUAGGAUGUUCUUCUCCAUGUUGCAAGAGGUAGGAAAUCUUCGUGAUCUGAUUUUUUUGUACUCCUCUUUCGGCAUCUUAUGUACAUAAUGAUGAUAAUCACUAUAAGUACAGAGGAUACUAUCGGAGGCAAAAUAUAUUUAAGGACAAUUAGAGCAACGUUCUUGGUGCUUUUGCUGUCACCUUGUUUGCAAGGUGGGACUCGGAGUUUAGGUGGACCACAGAGUGCAUAAUUUCCGAAAAAUGAUUCAGUUGACAAGUUUUUAAAAGACCCCUUAACAGGAAUUUCCCCUUCUAGCCUAUUAUGAGACACAUUAAAUUGUUUGAGAUGUGACAAUAUCUCCAAUGACUUAGGAAUUUUUCCAGAGAGAUUGUUGCCGGAGAGAUCUAAGGAUUCUAAGCUUAUCAAACUGCCAACUGAUUCAGGAAUAGGUCCCUGAAAUUGAUUACGAGCCAAGGAUAGAGUUUCUAGAUCUAUGAGGGCACCAAUGGUUGAUGGAAUAUCACCUAAUAAUUGAUUCCUUGAUAAAUCUAAAACUGUCAAGACCUUUAACUUUUGUACAUUGGAAGGGAGAGGACCAUUUAAUGAAUUAGACGACAAGUUUAUCUCUAAGAUGUACUCAAGGCUCCACAAGGAUGACGGUAUACUAGAAGUGAGCUUGUUGGAGCCUAAGCGGAGUUCUCUUAGAGAUGUCAAACUCGCCAAGCAUGGCGGUAUAUGUCCAGAGAGCUUAUUUCCAUUUAACCUUAUUCCGUAUAUCAACUCCAAGUGGCAAAGAUCAUAGGGAAUGGAUCCUUCCAAAUUAUUUUCUUCAAGAGAUAAACCUUGUAGCCGCUUAAGUCUUCCCAUCGUUGGUGAAAUAGUUCCAUUCAAGUCAUUGAAGCCGAGGCUUAAGAGGAUCAGGCCACGCAACUUACCAAUUUCUUUAGGAAUGCUGCCCCCGAGUUUGCAGUUGGAUGCAUAAAAUUGUCGAAGAGAAGCAGAGAAAUUUCCAAUCACUGGUGGAAGGAUGCCACCCAAUGGAUUAUAAGCUAAGGCUAAAAAUGUUAAAUUUCUGCAAUUAGUCAGAGAAGAGAGAAAACUCCACUGAUCUGCUGAAGAUGAUUCUGUCGUCAAGUUAUUAAAUGCUAAGCUGAGCACGUCGAGGUGUCUCAAGUUGCCAAAUGUAUUUGGAAUAUGGCCCGAGAAUGAGUUGAAGCCCAAGUCUAGGGCAACGAGUUUAGUAGCAUUGGUGAUAGAGUGGGGAAUUAUCCCUAUAAGAUUAUUGGCCGACAAGGCUAAAUACUCUAUGUUCGGAAGCGAGUGGCCAAUCGUUGACGGUAAGCGGCCUGAGAGUUGAUUGCCCCCCAGAGUAAGGAUUCUCAUGGUUGAAAUGUUGAAGAUCGUGGGUGGAAUGAGGCCACUUAAAUUGUUGUCAGCAAAAACAAGAACCUCCAAAUUUUCCAGAUUGCCAAUCUCGGUUGGAAUUUGACCUGCCAUCAGGCCAACAUUGAGGAGUCAUUGAGCUUUUAGCUUAAGGUAAAUUGAGUUUGACAAUGUUACCCUUGAAAAUGUAAAAGGAUCAAAUUAAUUUUAUUACACAAUAAUUUCAGCCAAUAAUGUUCUUUACACAAUAAUUCUGCAAAAUAUGCAUGCAAAUGGAAAAAUAUGCUUCAAUUACAAGAGGUGGUGGAGCGUACCUCGAAGAUUGCUGAAGCUAAGAUCCAGAUACACGAGUUUACUCAAAUUUCCAAUCCUUGAAGGAAUAUUUCCACCAAUAGUAUUGAACUCUGCACGCAGCGUCUCUAGCCUUGAUAAGUUGAAGAGAGAAUUAGGGAUGGGACCUGUGAAACUGUUAUUAUAAAGUCUCAAUAUUCGGAGUUUAGAUAAGACACCAAUCCAUGAUGGAAAGCUUCCGCUCAAUUUAUUGUAAGCGAAACUCACGACUCUGAGUCGACGUAAUUGCCCCAAUUCUUUCGGCAGAUGGCCAUGAAAAUUGUUCUCACUAAUGUCAAGAGACACUAGAAAUGAGAGAUUUCCCAAGUGUAGUGGAAUGGUGCCUCCGAGACCCAUAUCUGAAAGAUUCAAGGCAGUGACUCGUUGAUGGCGUGAACCACAAGAGAUACCAACCCAGCUACAUAUUGGAUAAGAUAUAGACCAAUUAUUUGCCAGGGCACUCCGAUAAUCAAGAAUGUGGGCUUUGAAUGCCAGAAGAGCUGAUUGAUCUGUUGUUAAAUCGUUUAAAGUCGUCACAGCUAAGCUAGCAAUGAGAUACUGUAACACUAACACCGACAUAGGAACAAAGAAGAAUGAUAAGCGCAUAUUGGUCGUUUUUAGUAGUAGUUGCAAGGCGAGAUUGAUACAAGUUUUAAGUAAAGGAAAUUAGCAUAUACUUAUAAUGAGACAUAUGAAUUUGAAAAUAAGAGCAGAAAAAAUAUACAGGAGACUUGCAAAUUGUUAUAUUCUGUCAUUGAGCGAGCCGUCCAAGUAAACGCAUUUACACUUGAACCCUAAAUAAAGGCCUUAUGGCACUUUAAUUGCCAUAAGGAAGAAGAUGCUCAACAUUGCCAAAAGUGUUUUUCUUGAAGUCUCGUCUUCCGUAAUGUUUGUAAAAUCGAGGUUUUACCAUCUCUAAUUAAAUAUUUACUCUUGAUUUAGACCACGUAAUCUAAACUUGACGAAAAAUUAUGAUCUUAUGUGAUUUUAUGAAUGUGGUCUUAUCUCUUAUAAGUCGGCAAUGAAUUAAUUAAAGCUUGCUGACAAAUUACAAGCUCAAAAAUAUCUUUUACUUAUUCACAAUCUUAUUUCAUUUUUUUAUAACAUAAUAUUAAAAAUUUGUCUAUUAAAUUAAUUUAAUAAUUUUUUUAAUAAAAAAUCUCAUUGACGACCAAACAACUAAUUUUUUUUUUAUAAAAGCUUUGCUUGUUAAAAUUAUGCUGAAAAAAACUCUACUUAAGUAAGUUCUAUUUUUUUUAUAAAAGCCAUUUUAUUUCUUUAUCUUUUUUAAUUAUUAUUGGAAAAGUAGCGCAGCUUAUCAAAAAAGGAAAGAAAAAAAAAAGUCAAAGUGACGAGUGGCUUGUUUUUUAAUUUCAAAGUCAAUGCAAAGUAAAAGUACCGAAAUAAUCAGUUUUUAAAUCCAAAUAAGUGGCAAUAAAGGGAGGUCUUGUUAGGGGUGUUCGCGGAUCGAAUUUUAUGGAUUGGACAUCAAUCCAUAUUCGAUCCACGAUUUUACGGAUUAUAAAAUUUCAAUCCAAUUCAAUCCACGGAUUUGUAAAAUUCAAUCCAAAUCCAAUCCAUAAAUCUGCGGAUCAGAUGCAAAUUUGACCUAAUCCAUAUCCAAUCUACAAUUUUGCGGAUUGGUUUGUGGACUGAAAAUUUUUAAUUCUGUCAAAUCCACGAACUAACUAAAUAAAAAAAUUUAAUAUAAAAAUAAUUUUACUACGGAUCAAAUUUAAAAUUAAAUAAGAUUUAAAUAAAUAAAUUGCUUAAAUAAAGCUAGCAAAUACAUUUAAAGUUUCAAAAUAUAACACACCAAAAUGAAAAAAAUAUCAUUCGUUUUAGAUCAAGGAAAUUAACUAUUUAGUAAACUAUAUUUGUUUAUUUAAUUAUUUUUUAUUUUUUAUUAUUAUCGGAUAUGAUAUAAUAUAAUGUUAAUGUAACUAUAUUUUAACUUAUUUAUUUACUAGUAAGUACUAAUAACAUAUUUACAAGUUUUAUUUUUAAUUAAAUAAAUACUUUUUAUUUUUUUGCGGAUUCGCGGAUUUUUACCGAUUUACAGAAGUAGAUCCAUAUCCAAUCCACUGAUUGCGGAUUAUCAAAUUUUCAAUUCAAUCCAAUCCACCAAUCCACGGAUCAGACGGAUUGAGCAGAUCGAAUUAGAUUAUGAACACCCUUAGGUUUUGGUGUGCAUUGUUGAAAACUUGGAAGUCUAUAUGACCAUUUAACCAAACUAUAGGGGUAUAACUGUCACAAAUUUUUAAAAAUAAAUUUUACCAAACAUUUAAAUGAUUUUUUUUUCACAAUUGAUUAUUAAAUUCUAAGUGUUAGACUAUUGUAAGAAUACAAAUAAUUGACAUGGACAUAAUAUUAAAUAAAAUUUACUUAUAUAUAUAUAUAUAUAUAUAUAUAUAUAUAUAUAUAUAUAUUAUUGUUUGUAUAUAAAAAUUGCUAACUAAAAAAUAUUUAUAUUUUAUCAAUUUUAUUUCUUUUAUUUUUUUAUCUCAAGAUAAAUAUAAUAAUAACAAUCUCUCUAAAUUUAAUUAUUUUUGCUCUUUAUUGAAUAAGGAUAAUUUUGAGUUUCUGUAAUAUAUGUGAGGAUAUAUAUAAAAUUGUAUUAAAUAUAUAACUAUUCUCAAAAUUAAAUUUUAAAAAACUAGUUCAUUCUCACUUUUCAUUUAAUUAGGCAAAUGGCCACAGAAAUUGUUCUCCCUCAUAUCCAAAUAAACUGAAAACGAGAGAUUUCGUAAGUGUGGAGGGAUGAUGCCUUCGAAACCCAUCACUGAAAGAUUCAAGUUUGUGACUCUAUGGUAUGAGCACCACAACAUAUGCCAAUUCGACUGCAUAUUGAGUAAGACAUGGACCAAUUAUUCAAGAGAUUCAUGAGCCUUCGAAGUGAGAAAUAAAGCAAAUUAUGUGGUGGUCGUGGGUCAAUUGACUACGUUUCGUGAUCUACGUGCGAUUGCAACAGUCGGUUCAUUAAGUGAAAUUAAUGACUCGUCCACUAUAGUAAGAUACUGUCCUCAUUAGGUUGGUGCUGGGUCAAUUUUAUCCAUGAGUCAACUUACAUUAAUUUGAAUUAAUUUAUAAGAGUAUCUCAUUUUCGUUGAUUACGAGUUGUGAUCGAUGACAUGCACGAAAGCAGUCAAUUUACAGGUCAUUCACUAUAUAUAUGGGGUCUAUGGGUGGAUGGAUCUAACGUAAAUUAAGGGUUGAUGAUGACCCUCGACUUCUAACGACGACCAUCGAAGACGACCUUGACUUUACAUGCAAACACACAAUUCGCUCUCAUACAUUAUGUUUUAAAAUUUCUCCAUUUUCCGGGGCCCCGCUGUCGACCGUACACAGUUUAAUUUGUAUAUACAAGACCUCAUUGUUUCUAGCAAGCAUAGAGCCAUAGACCAUAUUAAUUCCAAUUACAUAAAUCUUCAUUUUUAUCAUGAUUUUGGAUCUCGAGCAGUGUGGAUAUAUCCAACCAGAUCCGCCUCACUGGCAUCCCAAUAUAUUUUAGAAUUGAGUAAUGAGUAUCAAUAAAUGUGUAAUUGUAAAUCUACAACGUUUAAUUUUAAUUUGAGGACUCAAAUGAAUUUAUCCAACAAUACCUCGUUAAAUUAAUAUUCCAUAAAUUUUUAACUUUAAUUAAAUAACAAAUUUUGUCCGUCCCAACUUAGGAUUAACGUGGUAAUUAAUAAUUUGAUAAAUUGUUAGAUAAUAAUUUUUUAAAAAAAUCUUAUUUUUUUAUUGGAUCAAACUGAUAUAUAAAUGAAUAAUUAAUUAAUUUUAAAACUAAAUUCAUGUUAUGUCAAUCAAAUGUUAUUGCAAAGAAGACUAGCAGCGACGCUUUGAAAGGUACACCAAAGCCUUUUGCACCUUCUCCUCCGUGACCACCAAUAGAUACUUCCACCAUUUCAACGUCAUGACAUGAUGUAAGUUUCUUUUGUAGAAUUUGCGAAUUGGUAAUCUUUUACACGCGUAUAUUUAUAUCAUUGUAUAGUUAUAGAUUCAAUUACUUUUAUGAUGCAUUUAUUAAUUUGGAAUUGAAGUAGACAAGAAUGGGCUGUAAUGUGAAUGGAGAAUCGAAAUUAGAAUAAGUUAUUUACUUGAACUGUAGAAAUCGAAAUGAGUUGGAUUGUCAUUAAUGUGUUUACUUUGUCUUGGAAUCAGAAUUGAAAUAAGUUAGUUUAUAACAAAUUACUAAAAACUACUUAAUGAACUAUUGUUAUAAUUAUUAUUUUGUAUUUUAAUUAUUAUGAUUAUUUAUUAAAAAUUAUUAUUGUUAUUAUUACUUAUUGUUAAUAGUAUAUUAAUAUAUUAAUAAAUUAUAAUAAUAUAUUAAAUAACUAUAAUAUAUUAAAAAAUAUACUUGUAUUUACAAGAAAUGACUGAUAAAAUUUCUAAAAUCGUCUUCCUCCCUAAAACUCUUAAUGCCACAGCCCUAAAAAUUAAAAAGAUUUGGGAAUUAUAUGUCUUUUUUAAAAUAUUAAAGGGUGUUUAUUUCCUUAAACGGUGGGGACUAAAAGUCCUAUUCCCAAACGAGUAGUGUGCCGGCGUUGGAGGCUAGAAAGACAAUUUGUUACAUUGCUUCAGAAGUGCUUAAUGGAAAUUUUGGUGAGGCAUCACAUAAUUUAAAGGAUCAGGCUACGGUGCAACUGUGGUACCGUACUACAGUUGCAUCCAGCCGUUUUAAUUCACUUAUAUUGGUGAGGUUCACUGGCAUCCAACGGCUGAAUGCAACUAUGGCACGGUACCACAGUUGCACCACAAGUUUCCCCUAAUUUAAAUUACUGGAAUUUGCAUCAAUGGUUUUUAUUGGUUUAUUUACUCGUCAACAAAUUACUGUAACUGCAGAAAACAGUGUAACACAUUGUAUAAUACGUUAAUACGUUAUAUUGGUCAGUGCUCCUACCAAGGAAAUCUUUUUAAGUUUUGUUAGCAGAAUAUUCUUGUAAGGGUGGAGGCAUAAGAGAUUAAUAAUUUAAUAUCUCUUGUUCAUUAGAAGAUUUUUUUUUUUUGGGAAAAAAAAAGAAGAAGAUGGUUUGUUUAAUGUUGAUAAAUUUUGAAGUACAAUUUUAUAGAUGUCGAAUGUGGGCAAAAAGUAAAGAAGCUCAAACACUUUUCUACAUCUAAACUAAUCAUUAGGAUUUAUAUUAACUAAUAAACCCUAAUAAUACGAGCGUUCAUAAAAACUUCAUAUGAACAUUGAACCAGCAUGGCAUCAUAUUGUAAUAAGUUGUACAGCUGUCAAUCUCUUAUUAGUCAGAUAUAUUCUGAGUUAGUUACAUGAAUGUAGUAUAAAUAUCAUACUCUGUACACAUUCUUAGUUAGUUACUUCAGUAGAAUUUUCUCUCCUCUACUCAAUUUUUAAGUUAUCUUUUAUAUUGGGGGCAAAUGAUAUUUUAUUAACGAAAUGAUUUUGCCCUCUUAAUAAGCUCUCAUUUCUCCGCUUUGAUCAACACAGCCUUCUUUUAUUACAUCAAAAUUCUUCCUCUUUCCAUCAAAAUUUCAUGGAUCUGCCCUUACGUAAAAUCAUAUGAGAGUAUAUAAUAAAAUUAAUUAGGUAUGUUUGGAACAUUUUUGGUAUCCUUAAGCUGAUUUUAUUUUUAUUUUUUUAUAGUAUAUAUUGUCAAAAGUAAAUGCUAUAAACACUUUCGGAAAAAAAGAUGAAGAGCACCUUUGGAGUAAUUUUUUCUAUAGGAACUAACAAAACAACUAAAUGAUGUAUGUAUCUCUAAGAUUUAUUAUUAUUAAUUUUUUUUUCUGUAGUUGACAAAGCAUCAUGAUUGUGUUGGAUGAUAAGAUUAAAGGUGGGAAUGGUCCGAAUGGACCAAUUUUUUAGGAUAAAAAAAAAAAUGAUUCAAUCCUGGGCAUGUUUGGCUAUCGAAACUAGUUGAUUAGUCUAAAGUUUAAUUCAAAAGUAAUGGGACUAUUAAUCCUUAGGAAAAUUAUCAUUUGUAUACUCUAUAGAUGCUCUGUUAUAUAAAAAAUUACAACACUUUGAGAGUGUAUCAAUCGUCCACCCUAAGUUGACAAAAUAUAUCUGCCGUCCAUCAAACCGUUACUUGCUGUUUAAAUAGGAUAGCGCCAGAGGGGUAAUUUGGUCUUUUCAUAUGAUACAAGUGAUAAUUCAAGGGUAUACAAGUGAUAAUAAAAGAAUUUAAAGGUAUACAAGUGAUACUUUUCAAGGGUAAAAUCAUCAAUUCGCUAUAAUUCCGUUAACUUUCAAACGACAGCUAACGGUUUAGUGGUCGGCAGAUAACUUUUUUCAAUUUAGGGUGGACGAUUGAUACACCCUCAAAGUGUUAUAGUAUUUUUUAUAAUAGAACAUCUAUAGGGUAUACGAAUGAUAAUAUCCCUAAUCAAUCCUUAAUUCAACUUAGGUUUAAGUAGUAUAUAAAAAAUCUUCUUUAUCACUCUUUUCAUUUUUAUUUAGAUUAAAAUUCAUAUAAAUAAAUAUAAAGAAUUAAUUUCAUAAUUUAUUUAAACUAAAAUUUUAUAUUAUAUUAAAUAUCCAAAUUUUAAUUCAAUAAUUUAUUUAUAUUAGAAUUUUAUGCAAUAUUAAAUCCCAAAACUUUAUUUAAUAAUUUAUUUACAAAAAUAUUAAUAUCAAAUUCAACAAUUAGUAAUAUAAUUUAAAAUAAUUACACUAUUUUAAUAGUUAUUUAGCUAUAUUAAAUUAAAUUUAACAUAUCCUUGUCCGAUACUAUACUAAACAAACGAUAGUACCUUAUAUAGUAUAGUCAAUCUAUUAUAAUAUAAUUCAAUCUAAUCGAACGUGCCAAAUCAGUACAUUUUAAAAAAUAAUUUUAUAACAGCUUUAAAAAAGCAUUUUUUAAGUUACUUUUACAAAAUGUGCUUUCUCCGAAAGCACUCGUGAAAUGCAAAUUCUCACAAAACACGUGGUGUGUUCAAUUGGGCCUCCGCCCAUUAAAACUACAACCAUGAAAGCAAGCAAUGUUCAUUGGGCUUUAUUCUCUCGAGAAAACUUAUACACGUAGCCCACCACCGGCGCCCUAAUUUGUCUCCACCUCUCUAAAUAGAGUUGGACUAUUGGCACCUUUCCAAAAUUCUUCUGAAAUUCCUUUUUCAAUAAUAUUAAGUUUAAUGCUAAAAAUAUCCUUAUUUCCAAAUAAAUACAUUUAAUUUGUGAAUAUUUUAAUUUUCUAUUAUUUUCUCGCUCCUCACAAACAAAUUUUUAUGGGCGAUAAACUUCUUGAUAAAAAUCAAUUAAUUAAAUAAAAUAUCUAUAAGAUUAUAAUGUAAAAAAUUUUAUUAUGAGUCUUAAAAAAAGACAGAUAAAUUUAUCAGAAUGUGUUUUGUUUAUUAUCAAUAGAUUAUUUUAGUAAUUAAAGAAAAAUUUAUAGAGAAUUUGAGAAAAAAAAUUACGUGUGAGUUUGAUAGCAAAGAAAAUAUAAGAGUUUUUUUUUAAGAGAGAAAAUACAAAAGUUUGAAGUGAGAUAAAAUAGAUAUAAGAUAUAUUAGAGUAUUUAUCCUUAAAUUUAAUUGUAACAAAAGAGAGGUUUUAAAAAGAUUUUGGAGGAGUGUCUCCAACUCCUCUAAAUAUUAUUGAUUGAUGCAUAUGUUUCACAGCAUAGAGUGGCUUACAUUGGAGCUUUUCUAAAAAAAUGAAAAUUUCAUUUAAUUAUUUAUUAUUCACGGAUAAGAAAUUAACUUCUUCUUUUUUCUAACGCCACAGUCUGGUGAGCUUGCCUAGUGUGUUUUAGUUGGAUAAAAAUUUUAGCAAAUGCUUCUUGGCAAGGAAGCUUAAAUAGUUUAACCUGAAUUUAACCUCGAAUGAACCCAAAUUAUUAAACCGAACCAAUCCGAAUUGUGAAUCUGAAUUUCAGUUCGAUUCAGUUUGGUUCAGGUUCGUAUUUUCAACUCGAACAAGUUUAAUGCUCCAAUUCGAUCAGGUUGUAACCUAAACCGAAACUCGAAAACCCGAACUGAAACUCAAUUUGGCCACCCCUAAUGAGAACUGAGAAGUACCUGGAUCGUAAAAGAAAGGUUUUGAUGAUAAUUUUGGCUAAAAAUCUGUUUCUUAACUUCUAUUUUUAUUUUUUUAUGCUGUAUUUUAGUUGCUGAAUAGGUUAUAUAUAGAAGUUCAGUUAAUUUUGUUUUGGAUGAAAAAUCAAUGAGUACUUCUGUGAUUAAUAAGUGAAAUUUUGUUUGCAUCAUAUAGUCAGCUAUAAUGCAUUGGAUGGCUUUGACUCAGCAUGGAAGAAAUGCUCUCCGGCAGAUUACUAAAGAGAGCUCUGAUCGCGUGUUGCAUCACCCAUUGCUAUUUUCUUGUCAAGGAGUCAGAUACAGACGAUUGGAAGUGAUUCUAACAACAAUGAGUAAAUUGAUCUUUUGUUUUCCCUUUUCACCAGUUUGGAUCUCUUGACUAAUCAGCCUGUUUGAGUUUUAACUUGUGUAUUAAUGAUUGGUUUUAUAUGUUCAGAAAGUUGACAAGCUUGGUAAAGCCGGUGAAACUGUGAAGGUUGCUCCGGGGUAUUUCCGGAACCACUUGAUGCCCAAAUUGCUUGUUGUUCCAAAUAUCGAGAAGUUGGCUCAUCUCAUUAGAGAGCAGCGCAGGUAUUUGUUUUUCAUGAUUCUUCUCGGUUGAACUUUUUUUGUUUGGGUUGAGAAUGGUUAAUUCUAGUGAUACAGAAAUUUGCUCAUUUUCUUUAGAUACUUUGUUUAGCCAGUUUGUCAAUUAAUUUGACUCAUGGCUUCAAAUUAUUGCUAAAUUCUCAGUUUGGAAAUAUUUGUGAUUUUUGAAGGGGCAUUACAAGUUAUUAAAGUUUGUUGUGCCUGUGACUUAUUUUCAUCAGAUUUGCCAGCCUGAGGAAGAGGAAGAGGAAGAGGAAGAGGAAGAGGUUAGAGUUAUCCGGAAGUCUGAGGACAAUAUGAGUAGAGAAUUUGAGAAGGCAGCUAGGCGCCUAGAGAAUGCUCGACUGGUUUGUGGCCUAUCUUUUAAUUUCUUCAGAUUCGGGACAAAUUGUCUUGGAGUGAACUGAUGUGUUGCCUUUUCCUUUUUUUUUAGCUUGAAUGAUCUAUUUGCUACAGUUAGGAGUGAACGUCGUAAUGAAUUUUAAAUUAUACUGUUUGUUUCGAUUUACUUUUCUAUCUUAGCUCCAUCAAGUGAUUAGUGGAAUGCUGGUCCUGUGAGUAUAAAAUGAAACUCCUUAAGUUAAAUUCCUUAGGCUGUGUUUAUUUUCUGUAGUGGGAGCGAGGAGUGUAAAUUCUUUUCAUUUCAGUAUUUAUUUCAACAAAUUGGCUCCGGAUUGAGAAUCCCACUCAGUAGACCCCACCCAUUUUUGGAGUGAGAUUCCCAUGGGGAGAGGUGGGAGUGAGAUUCCCACUCCCACCUCUCCCUUUUUUUACAUUUUUUUUAAUUUAAUUUAAUUUAACUUAAUUUAAUAUUUAAUAAAAUAAAAUAAAUAAUAUCAUAUUUAUUUGAAUAAUAUUAUUAUAUUUAUUUUAAAAAUAAUAAUACUAUAUUUAUUUAAUAUUAAUAAUUAAUAAUAAUAAAUAGUUUAUUCUAAGAAAAUAUUAAUUUUGUCCUAAAUAAUAUUAUAUUAUUAUUUUAUAUAAUAAUAAAUUUAAUAUAAUUAUAUUAAAUAAAAUAAAAUAAUGUUUCAUUUUAUAUUUACCCUUCUUUUUUACCCUCUUUUUAUUAAAUUUACUAUAAUUAUAUUUAAUAAAUAUUUAAAUAAUAUUAUAUUUAUUUAAAUAAUAUUAAUAUAUUUAACUAAAUAAUAAUUUGGUUUGAUUCUAAGUCUAAAUUACUUAAAAAUAAUAUUAUUAUAUUAAUACAGAAUUAAUAAUAUUACUUUUAUACCAUCUUUAUUUGAAAAUAUAUUAUUAUUAUUAUUAUAUUUAUUUAAAAAUAUUAGUAUUAUAUUUAUUUAAUAUUAAUAAUUAAUACUAAUAAAUAGUUUAUUCUAAGAAAAUAUUAAUUUCAUACUAUGUUAAUAGUAAAAUAUUUCAUUUAUAUUGCCCUUAUCAAUAAUUUUUAAUUUAUAUAAUUAAAAUUAAAAUUAAUAAAAAAAUGUGAUGUUCAUAAUUAAGAAUAUUAAUAAUUAUUAUAAAUUUACAAAUAUAAAUGUUUAUUCAUUAAAUAUAUUUUUUAUUAACUUUGUAAUUAAAAACUAUAAUUCUUUAAAUAAGGAUAAAAUUGUAAUUUGAAACUAUUUACUCCCAAUCCGAGACAAACUAAACACAUAAAUUGAAUUCUGAUCUCCAUUCCAUGCUUUCAUUUUAGUGUAAGUAAACAACAUACUCCCACUCCCAAUCCUAAGAUUCCCACUCCAAUUCAAAAAGUAAACGCUACCUAAAUACAAGUAAUCUUGCUUUCAGAUAUGAAUUAUCUGAUGGAUGUUGUAUUUUCAAGGUAUUGAGGAGAUUCCCCAAUAUUGAAAAAUUGCGUUCCCGUGCAUCAAAAGAUGAUCCCAUAGAAUUGCGUUCACCUGUGACAAAAGAGGAGCUUGUAGUUGAGGUAUGGAUUUUUAUAUUUCUUGGUUGUUUUUAUACUUGUUUCUCAUCAUAAUAGCAAAAGCAGUUUGUUCUGAGUGAUCUGUGUGGUCUCCUAUCAAUGACUGCCGUUUCUAUCAUUUAGUACUAUUGACUAUGUGUGUAUAAAUAUUUUGUUUUUACCAUGUAAUUUCAUAUUCGAUGCAUUUCUAAUACAUUGCAUAGCGUCCAUGAAUGGGAAUGAUAAAAUAAAUUUCAAGCGUGUUUCAAUAGAUGAAAAAACUUGGAACGAUUUAGAAGGAUUUGCUGAUUAAAUAAUUUUCCAAUUUGUUUGCUUGGAGGAAUUGAAUAGUUAACUGAUUAAAGGAUUUCAAGGUGGUUCGGUCCCGCUGGGCAUUGUCAAUAUCAACGGUCAUUAAUUCCUAUUAUCUGAAAUUGAAUUUCCAGUGUGGCAUGGUAACUUUCUGCUAGGGUGUGAUUGUAUAGUAGCCAAUUGUGAGCAACAGAUCCGCAUAGUAAUAUAGAUUGAAAUUUUGCAUCUUAAUCCAUGAAGAUAUAGAUUUUGGCAAUAUUAUACAAGCACUGGGGAUUACCUUAAAUAUUCUGGACUUGUCAUUGAUAGAGUUUCUUUUACCUAGUUAUUGAUAUUUCUUUCAAUUUUCUAUUUUACUCAUACAAUUUAUACAAUUUUAGGUGGCAAGACAACUUUCGUUUUCUAUUGAGCCUGAAAACCUGCAUCUACCAUCACCUCUAUCUGCUUUUCGAGAAUAUGAGGUUCCUAUGCGCUUACCCAAAGCCAUCCCCCUACCGGAAGGAAAGGUCCAAUGGAUUCUCAAUGUUAAAGUCCGCGGCAAAUAAAUAUUUUUUAGUUAAUUUUUUAAUCAAUAAAAAAAGGUAAUUAAAAAUGUAAUUAAUAAAUUACUUAUUAGCAAAUUAAAAAACAAAUAUUAGCAUAAAAUAAUUGAUAUUUCAUUCUCUUACAACAAUCUUACCAAUUAUUAUUUAUAAAUUAAUUAAUGCAAGUUAAUUUAAAGUAAUGUUUAAUAUUCUUGUAACAACCUUACUAAUAAUUUUUUGAUAAAAAAAUUAAUUUAUUAAAUUAAUCCUAGAAGUAAAAUAAUAAUAAUUAAUUUGUAUUUUAUUUUUAAGAUUAAUUUGAUAAAUUUAAUUUUUUUUAACUAAUAUCUCCAAGAAUAUAGUUGUAACGAUAUUAUUACAAAAGGAAAAAAAAUAUAAGAUUAUAAUAUAUUUACCAGUAAGAAUAAUUUAAAAUAUUUUUUAAGAUAUAAAAAUUAAACGGACACUUAAUUAAAAAAAAAAAAAAAAAACUAAAUAAGUAGUUAGCUUUUAACAUUUCAACCUAGUGGUCAUACAAUCAUGGUGCGGCCCGGGAUGGCUGGCCCAGCCCAUCAUGUAAAAAUCCAUGUCACCCUCAUUCUUAAGCUGCUACUCUGCCACUUGCCACGGAGCUCCCCACAUCAUACCGUACCGAUGCCUCUAGAAAGCUAACUUUAAAAAAAUGGUAUUAAUAAGCGUACGCCACGUCACUCCUCACUCUCUUCUUCGUCACUUUCCUCUCACUCAACAUUUUCUCCCCAAACAAAUUCCUUCUUUGAAAAAUCGCAUUUUCUCCUUCACAGCAACCGCUACAAUGUCUUCAACUUCCAAGAAGGUAAUUUUUUUAAAUUUUAUUUUUUGUUUAGUUUCUUUCUGUUGCCUUUUUGUUUCGUUUUUUGAAUUUUCUGUGUCGUUUUUUUUUUCCCAAGGUUUUGGUGCCUGUUGCGAACGGGAGUGAGCCGAUUGAAGCCGUGAUAACGAUCGAUGUUUUGAGAAGGUCUGGAGCUGACGUCACGGUUGCGUCUGUGGAUAAACAGCUUCGUGUCGACGCGUGUCAUGGUGUCAAGAUUGUCGCUGAUGCUCUCGUGUCUGACUGCCGCGACGCUGUUUCUGAUCUUAUAGCUCUGCCCGUAUGUAUUGCAGCUCACCUCAGCUCAUGCUAAUUUAUGUGAUGUUUGUAUAAUUAUAGAUGAUUACUGCUGAUACUGAAUGUUAAAGCUAAAUAAUUCGUUCUUAAGUCAUCUUCAUUUAAUUUUCGAUUGAAAAUGAAAAAAAAAAUAAUUUUAAGCAAAGAAAAUGUUUAUUUUGUUUUAUUUUUAUUUUUAAAUUUUUGGGAUUUCCUUAUUGUGACUGUUGUCAUUCAUUAUAUGGUCCUAGUUAAAUGUUUCAAGUUGUUGUAGUCUGUGAAACUCUUUUCGAUAUUUGUUCUGGCAUGUACAUUUUUCCUUUCAAUUUAUUUUGUUGCUGAUACUUUGAUUAUGAUAUAUCCUUUUUUGUUUCCCUUGUAGGGUGGCAUGCCCGGUGCUACCAAUCUGAAAGAAUCUGAAGUAUUAGAAACCAUUGUGAAGAAGCAGGCUUCAGCUGGGCGUCUUUAUGCUGCUGUCUGUGCUUCACCUGCUGUGGCAUUAGGGUCUUGGGGUCUGUUGAAGGGAUUGAAGGUAAGAAUUAGAUAAGCCUUUUUUUAUGUUUGGUGUUCUUUUGGGAAUUGCAUUGAUAUUUGUGUUAUACAUCAGUUUUGCUCUCACCGAUGAUUGUUAAGUUCUAAUUUAUGGGGUUAUUCAUUUUUUGUAGGCUACUUGUUACCCGUCAUUUAUGGAGCAAUUAGCUCCUGCUUGUGCAGCAACUGUUGAAUCAAGAGUACAGCAGGAUGGUAAAGUUGUUACGAGUCGUGGACCUGGCACUACUAUGGAGUUUGCCAUUGCACUUGUCGAGCAGUUGUAUGGGAAAGAGAGAGCUGAUGAAGUUUCUGGGCCACUGGUAGUAACUUUUAUAGAUAAUGUUGUUUAAAAAAAUUGUGAGUUAUAUAAUUUGUGGAAAUUCAUUCUAAUAGGUUCAUCUAGUAUGUCAAAUUGGAAGGUUCAGAUGCUAAUAUAUUCCAAAAAAUUUGUUCAGGGGAAAAGUAUGACUUUUUGCAUUAGAGAUUCAUUAGAUGAAGUUGUAUACCUGCUGGCCCAUCUUAAUGUGGUGAAAACGAUGUCUGAUGAGACUGAUAUAAUUAUUGGAAUCUUGAUAAAUGCAUUUGUUGAGCUUGAAUGUCUCCACUGAUCACGUUCUUUUUAAUGUAAGUUCUUUCUCUUGGUAUUUGUCUUUGAAUCUUCUCUUCCUCAUGCUUUCGUCUUCACUGUCACCUUGUGCCUAGGUAAUGCGUGCAAAUCAUGGAGAUGAAUACACUAUUGCUGAAUUCAAUCCAAUUCAGUGGACAUUUGACAAUUCUCCCCAAGUAAGAUUUGACUUCUAGUUUCUUGUAGUUGUUUUUCUUCAUCCGAUGUUUUCAGGGAUACCCAUUUGGCAGUAUAUAAAAGUCUGUGAUAUCUUCUAUACAUAUACAUCAUUGGCUUCAGUCAUUUUCGAACAUAUUGGAGGUAGUAGAUGUAUUUUUAUGAUAUCUCUAAUAAAAUCCCAAGUUUGAUCAAUUACAAAAGAAGUAUGAGCGGUGCUGGACCGGGGGGGAAGAAGAAGUGGGGGGUCGGUGUGGUGGGGGUGUGCAGUGCAUGAAUAAAAGGAAAUGAUAGGGGGUGAAAGUUUGUGCUACCGACAUGCUGUAAAAUGGGGACAUAAUAUUUCAAAUUAGAUAUUGUGUGAUCCUUAAUAUUGCUGACUUUUGCUUAAAAUGGAAUUCUUGAUAACUUCAAAUGUUAAAGUUCUUGGUGAAAUUUUGUACUUUCUUUUCUUUCAGAUUCUUGUGCCUAUUGCAAAUGGUUCAGAGGAGAUGGAAGCUGUUAUGAUAAUUGAUAUUCUGCGACGAGCUAAAGCAAAUGUUGUAGUUGCAUCAGUUGAGGAUAAACCAGAAAUUCUGGCUUCUCGUCAAAUUAAAUUAGUGGCAGAUGUGCUCAUUGAUGAGGCGGCUAAACUCUCGUAUGAUUUAAUUGUCUUGCCAGUGAGUUGGGGUGCUUACUGUUGCUUCAUAGUCUUUACCACAUAAUUGACUUACUAACUACAAUUUAUCCAUGCACAUUGCAUAGGGUGGACUUGGUGGCGCUCAAGCAUUUGCGAAGUCAGAGAAAUUGGUGAAUAUGCUAAAGAAGCAAAAGGAAUCAAAUAGACCUUACGGUGCUAUAUGUGCAUCCCCAGCUUUAGUGUUGGAGCCCCAUGGCUUACUCAAGGUACGACCAUUUCUGCUUAAAUUAUUUACUCAGAUUUGGAUCACCUAAUCUGAACUUGAUGAAGGAUUAUGAUGUUGUGUGAUUUUAUGAAUGUGGUCUUAUCUCAUGUAAGUCGGUGAUGAAUUAAUUGAAGUUUGCUGACAAAUUAGAAACUGAAAAACUGCUGCUGCUUCGUUAGUUACAUUACCCAAAGAGUUAAAAUAAACAUCCCAAAUUUUUUGUCCCAAAUUCUGUCCCAAAUGAUAUGGCAUUUAUUGAGUGAUUGUAUUAUCUAACCAACCAAUUGAUGAAUGACACAUCAUUUGAGAUGGUUUUUUGGGAUAAAGAAUUUGGGAUUUUUACCCGCAAAAAUCCCAAGUACUUCCUGCUCCUGCAAUAUCAUUGCUGUGUAUUUGUUUUCCCCUUAGACAUAUUCAAUUGUGGUUCAGGGUAAAAAAGCUACAGCUUUUCCUGUUAUGUGCAACAAGCUGUCAGAUCAGAGUGAAAUCGAAAACAGGGUUGUGGUUGAUGGCAACCUCAUCACCAGUAGAGGGCCAGGAACUUCUAUGGAGUUUGCACUGGCAAUUGUGGAGAAGUUUUUUGGCCGCAACAAGGCACUUGAGCUUGCAAAGAUAAUGCUUUUCACUCGCACCUAACAUUUGUACGGGGACCUGACUACUAUUAAACUAGUGUGUUUAUUUCUGUAUUGCUACUGCUUGUAGAGAGGGGAAAUGGAAACUUGAAUUCAUGUUUGAAUAUGGAUUCACUGUGUGGGUUUGUACAGCAGUUUGAUUUAUAAAUAAAUGAGUUCAAAGAGUUACUUCAAAUAUUCGGAAUAAACCUGAGUUUAGUUCUGUUAUCAAUGGUCGGAGUCCAAUUGCGAUCGACACACUGGGAAUUUUAAUUAUGAACUAAAAAAUUGUUAUGUUAUAUUCCACCUUUCUCAUAAAAUGUUAACUCGAUUUACAGGAUAAGAAGGAAAAGAAAGACGCUAAGAGAGGAGCAGAGACCCAAAAAGAGUUGACCACUUUGUUGGAACAUAAACCUCUAGAAUAUUGAAAUAAAACACAUACCAUAUCUAGUAUUAAGUAUGUAUAUGCAAGAAGAUACAAAUUUGAAGAUCAGAUUUCUCAUUUCAAUUUAUGUUCUGCUUAGAGCAAUGGCUCUUAUUCCACAAGCACAAACAGGAAAGAGUACGCACGAAGUUAAGAAACACACAUUGCAAAAGUUGCAUUAACUACUUGCAGCAGCAUCAUCCAAGAACUUGACUUUAAUCUUCUUGAGCUUCGCUGCGGCAUCUGUCAUAUGCAUUCUCUUGUCAGGUGACUCUAUACAACAAUCCAAAGCCAAAUCCAUGAUGCUUAAUAAACAAUCCAUUUUGGCAGAAAAAGCUUGCUCUUCUCGCACCAAAUUUGCGUCAACAACUUCAGUCAAUCCGUGAGGUAAAGACUCCUUUACCCAUCUCCUUAAACUCAUUUCUCCUGCGAACAUUUCAUCGGUGGGCCUCUUUCUCGUGAAGGUUUCCAUCAAUAAAACACCAUAGCUGUAGACAUCACAUUUAGCUGAAACAAUUCCUUCUGAUCCAUACUCUGCAUUUUUUAAUUUUAAUUAUGAAACAAAUGAUAAAACAAAUAAUUUUUUGAUAAUUAAGGUAACCCAAACUUUGCUCGUGCUUGAAAAAAGAGUAAAAAUUUUAAUUACAAUUGAAACUUUACCUGGUGCCAUAUAACCAAUUGUAGCCAUUGUCAUGGUUUGUGUCACAGAAUCUUCUCCUUCACCUAAGAGUUUGGAAAUGCCGAAGUCGCUCACAUGUGCCACCAUAUUUUCAUCCAAGAGAAUGUUGGUGGGCUUCAAAUCACAAUGAAUUAUAGGUGCCGACGAAUGACCAUGAUGGAGAUAUUCAAGGGCCGACCCCACAUCUAUCAUUAUGUUCAACCUCUCUAGGAUGUCUAAGAAAUAGUUGUGAGAAUAUAACCACUUCUCGAGACUACCAUUUGGCAUGAACUCAAGUACCAAUGCUUUAAAAUCUUGAUUAGAACAACUGCUAAGGAUCUUUAUGAGAUUUCGAUGACGAACAUUCAGUAAAACUUCACAUUCAGAAUCAAAACUCCUAAAUGCUCUCUCUAGUUGCAGAUUGAAAACCUUUAUCGCAACAUCAGUCCCGUCGGAAAUGGUUCCUUUAUAAACUGAUCCAAAGCUACCUGUACCAAGCAAGUUACAUUCAUUAAAUUCAUCAGUUGCUCGUUGAAUGUCUAGGUAGGAUGUUCUUCUCCAUGUUGCAAGAGGUAGGAAAUCUUCGUGAUCUGAUUUUUUUGUACUCCUCUUUCGGCAUCUUAUGUACAUAAUGAUGAUAAUCACUAUAAGUACAGAGGAUACUAUCGGAGGCAAAAUAUAUUUAAGGACAAUUAGAGCAACGUUUUUGGUGCUUUUGCUGUCACCUUGUUUGCAAGGUGGGACUCGGAAUUUAGGUGGACCACAGAGUGCAUAAUUUCCGAAAAAUGAUUCAGCUGACAAGUUUUUAAAAGACCCCUUAACAGGAAUUUCCCCUUCUAGCCUAUUAUGAGACACAUUAAAUUGUUUGAGAUGUGAAAGUGUCUCCAAUGACUUAGGAAUUUUUCCAGAGAGAUUGUUGCCAGAGAGAUCUAAGGAUUCUAAGCUUAUCAAACUACCAACUGAUUCAGGAAUAGGUCCUUGAAAUUGAUUACUAGCCAAUGAUAGAGUUUCUAUAUCUUUGAGGGCACCGAUGGUUGAUGGAAUAUCACCUGAUAAUUGAUUCCUUGAUAAAUCUAAAACUCUCAAGACCUUUAACUUUUGUACAUUGGAAGGGAGAGAAUCAUUUAACGAAUUUGACGACAAGUUUAUCUCUAAGAUGUACUCAAGGCUCCACAAGGAUGACGGUAUACUAGAAGUGAGCUUGUUGGAGCCUAAGUGGAGUUCUCUUAGAGAUGUCAGACUCGCCAAGCAUGGUGGUAUAUGUCCAGAGAGCUUAUUUCCAUUUAACAUUAUUCCGUACAUCAACUCCAAGUGGCAAAGAUCAUAGGGAAUGGAUCCUUCCAAAUUAUUUUCUUCAAGAGAUAAACCUUGUAGCCGCUUAAGUCUUCCCAUCGUUGGUGAAAUAGUUCCAUUCAAGUCAUUGAAGCCGAGGCUUAAGAGGAUCAGGCCACGCAACUUACCAAUUUCUUUAGGAAUGCUGCCCCCGAGUUUGCAGUUGGAUGCAUAAAAUUGUCGAAGAGAAGCAGAGAAAUUUCCAAUUACUGGUGGAAGGAUGCCACCCAAUGGAUUAUAAGCUAAGGCUAAAACUGUUAAAUUUCUGCAAUUAGUCAGAGAAGAGAGAAAACUCCACUGAUCUGCUGAAGAUGAUUCUGUCGUCAAGUUAUUAAAUGCUAAGCCAAGCACGCCGAGGUGUCUCAAGUUGCCAAAUGUAUUUGGAAUAUGGCCUGAGAAUGAGUUAAAGCUCAAUUCUAGGCCAAUGAGUUUAGAAGCGUUUGUGAUGGAGUUGGGAAUUUUUCCGGUAAGGUUAUUGGCCGCCAAGGUUAAAUACUCUAUGCUCGGAAGCGAGUGGCCAAUCGUUGAUGGUAAGUGGCCUGAAAGUUGAUUGCUAAUUAGAUUAAGGACUGUUAGGGUUGAAAUGUUGAAGAUUGUGGGUGGAAUGGGGCCACUUAAAUUAUUCGCACUAAGAACAAGGGUAUCCAAAUUUUGUAGAUUGCCAAUCUCAGUUGGAAUUUGACCUGUCAUAAAGAUAAACGCCAAAUUGAUGAGUUAUUGAGCUUUUUACUUAACAUAAAUUUUAAUUUCAUAACGCAUGAAAAUCAAAUUUGCCCACAAAAUGUGUGUUAUUAGUUUUAUAAUUUUUUUUUGGGUUUUUUUUGGGGGGGGGGGGGGGGAGAUUGAUAUUGCUACCUCAUAAUUUUUGUAAAACCCCACCCGCUUUCAGAGAAUUAUUGGAACAAGAUUCUUAAAAAAAUUCAAAUAAAGAAGAAGUUUGGAGAAAUAAUCAAUUAAAUCCAUCUUAAUAUACUUUUUGAAACUUAUAUUCUUUUAUCAUAUAUAAUAACUAAGGUUGCUUUAACAUAAAUUUAAUAUAACUAGUCUACUCUCAUAAGGUAGAAUUACUAAAAUACCCACAAAUUUACUUCAACUUCAACUAAACUAACAAAAUGUAUUUGUUGACAUGUGGGGAACUAAAAAUUAUUGAAUUUUAUUUUAGAAAUAUUGUAUUACAAAACAUAAAACAAAAUGCCGAAACUAUAUAUUAGAUACAAUAGUACAUGUUUUUCGGGGUAAUUUGGUCAUUUUAUAUUAUAAGAGUAAAAUAGUCAAAUUAAACUUAUUUUAAAGCAACCGUAAACGGUCAAAGAUUGUUAAAAGCCCUAAGUCAUAAAAGAAAAACAUUAUAAAAAUAAUUUAUUAAUUGUUCAGACUUAAUUUAUAAUUUUAUAACAUAAUGUGAACUUAUUAUAACUAUCUUUUCAAAAUGAGGUGGGUUUGCAAGAAUAAUGAGUGGAAAUAUCCCCACCCUAUAAAAUAAAAAGAAUUUUGCAGCUAUGCAAAUGCAAAUAUGUAGAACGUACCUUGUAGGUUGUUAUAACCUAGAUUCAGAAUGAAAAGGCUGCUAAAAUUUCCUAUCCCUGAAGGAAUAUUUCCAUCAAUAACGUUGUAGAUUGCGUCGAACACCUCCAGCUUCGAUAAAUUGAGGAGAGAAUUUGGGAUUGGACCCGUGAAACUGUUAUUAUAAAGCCUCAACGUUUGUAAUUUGGAUAAGACACCAAUCCAUGUUGGAAUGCUUCCACUCAAUUUAUUGAAACCGAAUCUAAUGAAUCUGAGUCGGCGUAAUUGCCCCAAUUCAUUAGGCAGAUGGCCAUGAAAAUUAUUAUGAGCAACAUCAAGAGAUACUAAGAACGUGAGAUUUCCCAAGUGUAGUGGAAUGGUGCCUCCGAGACCCAUAUCUGAAAGAUUCAAGGCAGUGACUCUUUGAUGGCGUGAACCACAAGAGAUACCAACCCAGCUACAUAUUGGAUAAGAUAUAGACCAAUUAUUUGUCAGAUCACUUCGAUAAUCAACGACACGGGCUUUGAAUGCAAGAAGAGCCGAUUGAUCUGUUGUUAAGUUGCUCAAAGUCGUCAUAGCUAAGCUAGCUAUGGAAUAUUGUACCAACAACAUAGGAACAAAGAAGAAUGAUAAGCACAUAUUGGUCGUUUUUUUUUAUAGAUGCAGCAAUCUAAUUGCUAGGUGAAGUUGAUACAAGUUUUAAGUGAAGGAAACUAGCAUAUACUUAUACAAGAGACGUAUGAAUUUGAAAACAAGAAAAGAAAAAAAUGUACAGGAGAGUGGAGACAUGCAAAUUGGUAUAUUUCAUCAUUGAGCGAGUCGUCCAAGUAAACUCAUACAGACCUGUAAAUUGUUAUAGGCCGCGGUACUUGAACCGUGAAUAAAGGGCUUAUGGCACUUGACUUACCAAAAAGAAGAAGAUGCUCAACAUUGGCAAGGCCUAUGCAUUCUGUCCAUUUGUUCACGUUUUGCCAAGGCUCAGGGCAACCACAAUAUGUUCUUUUUCUUCCCUCUUAAAACAAAAAACAAAAAAAAAAGACGACAUUUACAUUUGGGCUAAUAAUUAUAACUAAACAAUUAAUAAUACUGAGGGUCAGUGGUAAUGUAGCUUUAAAAUAAUUGUUAUUAGUUGUGUCUUAAAAAUAAAGAAAAAAAAUAACUAUACCCAUAUAAUUAAUAAAAUAAUCAUGUAAAUUCCUAAGCUUUUAACAAUAUACACCAAGACCCCCUACCGUUACUUUUUACCAUUUAUUUGGAUGUCACAUGCUUUUUUUUUUUAAUUUUCACAGUGGAUAUCAAAUGCUAAAUUUACUGUUAUUCCCAUAUCAUGUCAUCACUUGCUUCUACACACAUUGAUUGUUUUUCCAAAGUUUCAAAUUGAAUUAAAAACAUUCUAAUUAACCUAAAAAAAACUCAUCCAACCAGAUAUAAAUCAUCUAAUUAACCUAAAGAUAGCUACACCCCCAUAUUAAUUCCAAUUAAAUAAAAUUCAUUUUUGUCAUGAUUUUGGAUCUCGAGCAGGGUGGAUAUAUCCAACUAGAUCCGCCCCAUUGGCAUUCCAGUAUAUUCUGUAAUUGGAAGAGUAUGAAUGACUUAAUUUGUAAUUUUAAAUUUGUAACGUUCAAUUCUAAUUUGAGGAUUCAAAUGAAUUUAUGCGAAUCUAAAAGGGGACUGAAGAUUGGCAUGCAUACAUGCAUACAUAUACAUAUAUAUAUAAAUAGAGAGAGAGAGAGAGAGAGAGAGAGAGAGAGGUAAUAUAACAUUCUUCUUGAUGAAGAUUUUUGUGCCAUACGAAUUAAAGAGAGUAUUGUGUCGAUGUUCGAGGCUAGAGCGACAAUUGGUUACAUUGCUUCAGAGGUGUUUAGUAGAAACUUUGGUGAGGCAUCACAUAAUUUAAAUUACUAGAUUUAGCGAGAUAUAUAUAUUUUCCACAUUGGAUUUACAAGCAUUUCGAGCAGUAUAAUGAAUUAAAAUUACUCGGAAUUGUAAACAGCGAGGAAAGUGAAAUUGCUAAGAAGAUGAAUAUUUUGUUGUUUUGUGGUGUACACGGACUCGUCCAUCGGAUAGGUCGCCCAUGAACAGAGGGAUAGAAAUGUUAUUGCCAAGAAGCAGACUGACUAGCAGUGACGCUUUGAAAAGUCCACCGGACAUCGUCUCCUCCAAGACCACCAAUAGAUUCUUCCACCAUUUCAACGUCGUGACGUGGGGAUCGGAAUUGAAUUAUAGGAUGCUUGUAAGUUUCCUUUGUGGAACUUGUGAAUUUGUGAUGGCAAAAGUCAAUGAUGCAUGUAACUAGCUAGCCCGUGUAGACUCCGUUUUACACUUUUUCAAAACCCAAAAGCACGCUAAAUCUUAAUCUUAAAAGAAUUUUUGAUUCAGUGCUGAAUUUUGGGCUUAUCUUUAAGUAAUCUUUUACCACGCAUGCAUUUUUGUCAUUGUGCAGUCAUCGAUUGCUUCUAAAGAUCGUAAUCCUUAAGAAAAAAUUACUUCUCUUGAAAGUGAAAGCAGGGCAGCUAUUGGCGUAUUGCAUUGCAGCUGCUAUGUGUAGUAGUCAAUUCUUGGAAACAACUAGUUUUCUUAAAUUGUAAACGGUCCCCUUUAUGACUGGGAGAUUUUGAACAAAAUUAAUAUGACGAAUUCUUUGCAGGUGUUGUUCCUUGAAGUCUCAUCUUUCACAAUGUUUCUGAAAUAAAGAUAUUACCAUCUCUGAUUUAAUAUUUAUUCUUGAUUUGUACCACCUAAUCUGAACUUGAUGAAAGAAUAAAGAUUAUGAUCUUGCCUGAUUUUAUUAAUGUGGUCUUAUCUCACGUAAGUCAGUAAUGAAUUAAGGAAAAUUAUCAUUCGUAUACCCUAUAAUUGCUCUGUUAUAAAAAAUACUACAACACUUUGAGGGUGUAUCAAUUGUCCACCCUAAGUUAACAAAAUGUAUCUGUCAUCCACCAAACCGUUAUUUGCCGUUUAAAUAGAAUGACACCAGAGGGGUAAUUUUAUCUUUUCAUAUGAUACAAGUGAUAAUUUAAGGGUAUACAAGUGAUAAUAAAAGAAUUUAAAGGUAUACAAGUGAUAAUUUUAUUUACUUUAAUUUAAGUUUCAAGGGUAAAAUCGUCAAUUCACUAUAAUUCCGUUAACUUUCAAACGGUAGCUAACGGUUUGGUGGUCGGCAGAUAGCUUUUGUUAAUUUAAGGUGGACGAUUGAUAUACUCUCAAAGUGUUGUAGUAUUUUUGAUAAUAGAGCAACUAUAGGAUAUAUGAUUGAUAAUUUCCCAUGAAUUAAUUAAAGUUUACUGUCAAAUUACAAACACAAAAACUGCUGCUGCUUCAUUAUUCACAAUACCUAAAGUCAGUGCAGAACUUAAUAAGUUUUCCAAAAGUUUUACGCUUUCUUUCCCCCAAAUCCCAAGUACUUACUAGAUAUGUCAUGUUUAUACCCAAAGUCAGUGCAGAACUUACUCGAUAUGUCAUGUUUACACAAGAGUUUGUUUAUAAAUAAAUGAGUUGACAAAUAUUUGCCAAAAAAAACGGUGAGUGAUGUCUAGUUCUAUUUUCACAGUUCAGAGUCCAAUUUUGAUUACUGGAAAUUUUAAUUAUGAAGUUGAACUAAGAAUUUGUUAUAAUAUCUUCAACCUUCCUAUACAGUCAUCUGGAAUAAUAAUAUAUCAAAAACAGUAAUAACUCGAUUUACAGGGUGAGAAAGAAAAGAAAGACGCUACGAGGGAAGCAGAGAUUCAAAGACUUCGCCACUUUGUUGGAGGAACAAUUUCAUAAAUCUCCAGAAUAUUGACAUAAAACACAUAACAUACAUAUCUAGCAUUAAGUAUAUUUAUGUAUGUCCAAAGAUAAAAAUUUGAAGAUUAAAUUUAUCAUUUCAAUUUAUGUUCUGCCCAAAGCAAUGGCUUUUAUUCCACAAGCACAAACAAGAAAGAGUACGCACAAAGUUAACAAACACACAUAGCAAACGUGACAUCAACCACUUGCAGCAGCAUCAUCCAGAAACUUCACUCUAAUCUUCUUGAGCUUUUCAGCGGCGUCUUUCGUAGAUGCCCCCUGUUCUGGUGAUUCCAUGCAACAAUCCAAUGCCGAAUGCAUGAUGCUUAAUAAACAAUUCAUUUUAGGAGAAAAAACUUGCUCUUCUCUCACCAAGUUUGCAUCGACAACAUCACUCAAGGCACGAGGUAAUGACUCCCUUACCCAGUCUCUUAAACUUAUUUCUCCUGUAAACAUUUCAUUUGUGGGAUUCUUUCUGGUGAAAGUUUCCAUCAAUAAAACACCAUAACAAUAGACAUCACCUUUGGCCGAAAUCAUUCCUUCUAAUCCUUACUCUGCAUUUUUUUGGUUUCGAUAGAUCAAAUGGAUGUGACAUCAUAAAACAAAUGAUAAACAAAUAGUCUUUUGACAGUCAAGAUGGCCCAAACUUUGACUGUGCUUCGAAAAGAGCGAAAAUUUGAAAUUAUAAUUGAAACCUUACCUGGUGCCAUAUAACCAGUUGUAGCCACUGUCAUGAUUUGGGUCACAGAAUUUUCUUCAUCACCUAAGAGUUCGGAAAUGCCGAACUCACAUGUGCCACCAUAUUUUCAUCCAAGAGAAUGUUGCUAGGCUUCAAAUCACAAUGAAUUACAGGUGCUGAUGAAUGAUCGUGAUGGAGAUAUUCAAGUGCCAGCCGCACAUCUAUCAUUAUAUUCAACCUCUCUAGGAUAUCUAGGAAAUAGUUGUGUGAACACAACCAUUUCUCAAGACUACCAUUGAGCAUGAACUCAAGCACCAGUACUUUAGAAUCUGGAUUGCAACAGCUGCUAGUGAUCUUUGUGAGAUCUUGAUGACGAACAUUCCACAAUACUUCACAUUCAGAAUCAAAACUCCUAAAGGCUCUCUCUAGCUGCAGAUUGAAAACCUUUAUUACAAUAAUAGUCACAUCAUAAAGUGUGCCUUUAUAAACAGAUCCGAAGCUCUCCAUACCUAGCAGGAUACAUUCACUAAAUCCAUCAGCUGCUCGUUGAAUAUCAUGAUAGGAUAGUCUUCUCCAUGUUGUCGAAGAGAACAAAUCUUCUUUAUCUGGAGUUCUUGUUUUCCUAUUUUGAAAUAUUAUGAAGAAUCAUAACAAUUGUUAUUAGUGCAUUGGAUAUAAUCGAAGGCAAAGUAUAUUUCAGGACAAGCAGAGUAGCAUUCUUGGAUCCUUUGCUAUUAUCUUCUUUGCAAGGUGGGACUUGAAGGCCUGGUGGACCACAUAGUGCAUAAUUCUCAAAAAACGAUUGAGCUGAAAUGUUUUUAAAAGGUCCUUUGAUAGGAAUUCCCCCUUCUAGCCUAUUGUGAGACACAUUAAGUUGUUUGAGAUAUGAGAGUGCCUCCAUUGACUUUGGAAUUUCUCCAGAGAGAUUGUUGCUAGGGAGAUCCAAAGAUUCCAACCUUAUCAAACUACCAAAUGAUUUAGGGACCAGACCAUAAAAUUGGUUUCUAGCCAAGGACAAAGUUGCUAGAUCUUUGAGGCCACCAAUACUUACUGGUAUAUCACCUGAUAAUUGAUUUCUUGAUAAAUCAACUCUAUUAAGACCUUUAAGUUUUGUACAUCUGAAGAUAGAUGACCACUUAGAGAAUUUGUUGACAAGUUUACAUACAAGAUGUACUCAAGAUUCCACAAGGAUGAUGGGAUACUAGAAGUGAGCGUGUUGCAGCUUACAAAGAGUGUUUUUAAGGAAUUGAAUAUCUGAAAUCUUGUAUGUAAAUAUUAACACUUAGAGAAUUUGUUGACAAGUUUUUAAGGAUUUACUGAUUAAAUAAUUUUCCAAUUUGUUUGCCUGGAGGAAUUGAAUAGUUAACUGAUUAAAGGAUUUCAAGGUGGUUAGGUCCAGCCGAGCAUUGUAAAUAUUAACGGUCAUUAUGAAUGUGUAAUUCCUAUAUGUGAAAUUGAAUUUCCAUGGUAAAUUUCUGCUAGGGUGUGAUUGUAUGGUAGCCAAUUGUGAGCAACAGAUCCACAUAGUAAUAUAGACUGAAAUUUUGCGUCUUAAGCCAUGAAGAUAUAGAUUUUGGCAAAUAUUAUACAAGCAUUGUUUGCAACACCACAGCUAAUUUGCAGUAGGAUGAAACACUCAGAAUUUUGCCUUUUUCAUGUAUAAAAUUUUAUUUUUUUAAUUGUGAUAUUACAGUUUUGCCCAUCAAGCAUUAUGAAGCUUAAUAUUUGGAUAAAUGUUAGGUUUAAUCUAUAAAUUUUAACUUCAGUGUUUAUUUAGUUUUUAUAUUUUGUAAAAUAUCUCAAGGCAGCCCUAUUAUCAAAUAUUGGCUUGAUCCGUAUAUAUUAACUUCAGUGCUUUAUUUAGGUUUUAUAUUUUGAAAAAUACUUUAAGGCAGUUCUAUUAUCAAAUAUGUUAUGCUCUUGCUUUUAUUUUUUCUUUGUUUUUAUAAUAAUACUCUGAUAACAAUAUUUUUUUACAUUAAUUUUUUAAUCAAUAAAAAGGUAACUAGCAAAUUAACUGAUAAAUUAAUUUGUUAAUUUUUUUAAUCAAUAAAAAAUUUAAUUAAUAAAUUACUUGGUAGCAAAUUAAAAAAUAAAUAUUAGCAUAAAACAAUUGAUAUUUUUCAUUCUCUUACAACAAUCUUACUAAUAAUUUUUUUAUAAAAAAUUAAUUUAUUAAAUUAAUCCUUAAAAGUAAAAUAAUAAUAAUUAAUUUGUAUCUUAGUUUUAAAGUUAAUUUGAUAAAUUCAAUUUUUUAAUUAAUAUCUCCAAAAAUAUAGUUGCAACGAUAUUAUUGCAAAAGUAAAAAAAAAAAUAUAUAUAGAAUUUUAAUAUAACUGCCAGUAAAAAUAACUUGAAAUAUUUUUUAAGAUAUAAAAAUUAAACCAACACUUAAUUAAAAAUAUAAAGAAUUAAAUAAACAUUUAUCUUCUAACAUUUCAACCUACUGGCUAAUGGUCAUACAAUCGUGGUGUGGUCCGGGAUGCCCGGCCCAGCCCAUCAUGCAAAAAGCCAUGUCACCCAUAUUCUUAGGCUGCUACUGCAUUAAAAAAAUGAUAUUAAUAAGCGUACGCCACGUCACUCCUCACUCUCUUCUUCGUCACUUUCCUCUCACUCAACAUUUUCUCCCCAAACAAAUUCCUUCUUUGAAAAAUCGCAUUUUCUCCUUCACAGCAACAGCUACAAUGUCUUCAACUUCCAAAAAGGUGAUUUUUUUUUAAUUUUAUUUUUUGUUUAGUUUCUUUCUGUUGCCUUUUUGUUUCGUUUUUUGAAUUUUCUGUGUCGUUUUUUUCCCCCAAGGUUUUGGUGCCUGUUGCGAACGGGAGUGAGCCGAUUGAGUCCGUGAUAACGAUCGAUGUUUUGAGAAGGUCUGGAGCUGACGUCACGGUUGCGUCUGUGGAGAAACAGCUCCGUGUCGACGCGUGUCAUGGUGUCAAGAUUGUCGCUGAUGCUCUCGUGUCUGACUGCCGCGACGCCGUUUUUGAUCUUAUAGCUCUUCCCGUAUGUAUUGCAGCUCUCCUCAGCUCGUGCUAAUUUAUGUGAUGUUUGUAUAAUUAUAGAUGAUUACUGCUGAUACUGAAUGUUAAGCUAAAUAAUUCGUUCUUAAGUCAUCUUCAUUUAAUUUUCGAUUGAAAAUGAAAAAAAUAAUAAUUUUAAGCAAAGAAAAAUAUAGAAAAUGUUUAUUUUGUUUAAUUUUCAAUUUUUAAUUUUCAGGGAUUUCAUUAUUGUGACUGUUAUCAUUCAUUAUAUGGUCAUAGUUAAAUGUUUCAAAUUGUUGUAGUCAGUGAAAUUCUUUUCGAUAUUUAUUCUGGCAUGUAUAUUUUUCCUUUUCAAUUUCUUUUGUUGCUGAUUCUUUGAUUAUGUUAUAUCCUUUUUUGUUUCCCUUGUAGGGUGGCAUGCCCGGUGCUACCAAUCUGAAGGAAUCUGAAGUAUUAGAAAGCAUUGUGAAGAAGCAGGCCUCAGCUGGGCGUCUUUAUGCUGCUGUCUGUGCUUCACCUGCUGUGGCAUUAGGGUCUUGGGGUCUGUUGAAGGGAUUGAAGGUAAGAGUUAGAUAAGCCUUUUUGAUGUUUUGUGGUCUUUUGGGAAUUGCACUGAUAUUUUUGUUAUGGUUCAGUUUUCUUCUCGCUGAUGAUUGUUAAGUUCUAAUUUAUGUAGUUGUUCAUUUUUCCUAGGCUACUUGUUAUCCGUCAUUUAUGGAGCAACUAGCUCCUGCUUGUGCAGCAUGUUGAAUCAAGAGUACAGCAGGAUGGUAAAGUUGUUACGAGUCGUGGACCGGGCACUACCAUGGAGUUUGCCGUUGCACUUGUUGAGCAGUUGUAUGGGAAAGAGAAAGCUGAUGAAGUUUCUGGGCCACUGGUAUUAGCUUUUAUAGAUAACGUUGUUUAAAAAAAUUAUGAGUUAUAUAAUUUGUGGAAGCUUCAGAUGCUAAUGUAUUCAAGAAAAUAAGUUCAGGGGAAGAGUAUGACUUUUUGCAUUAGUGAUUCAUUAGAUGAAAUUGUAUACCUGCUGGUCCAUCAUAAGGUGGUGAAAACAAUGUUUGAUUUAAUUAAUGAAAUCCUGAAAUAUGCAUUUGUUGAGCUUCAAUGUCUCCACUGAUAAAAUUCUUUUUAAUGUAAGUUCUUUCUCUUGGUAUUGUAUUUGAAUUUUCUGUUCCUCAUGCUUUCGUCUUUACUGUCACCUUGUGCCUAGGUAAUGCGUGCAAAUCAUGGAGAUGAAUACACUAUUGCUGAGUUCAAUCCAAUUCAGUGGACAUUUGACAAUUCUCCUCAGGUGAGAUUGGACUGUUAGUUUCUUGUAUUUGUUUUUCUUCUUCCAUGUUUUGAGGGAUACCCAUUUGGCAGUAAAUAAAAAUCUGUGAUAUCUUCUAUACAUGUACAUAUACAUCAUUGACUUCACUCAUUUGUGAACAUAUUGGAGGUAGUAGAUUUAUUGUUAUGAUAUGUCUAAUAAAAUCCAAAGUUCGAUGCAACUACAAAAGAAGUAUGAGCAGUGCUCGACCAGAGAGGAAAAAGGUGGUUUUUUUCUUUUUUUUUUUUGGGGGGGGGGGGGGGGUUGGUUGGGUGGCAAAGGGAAUGAUAAGUUCAGGGUAUCAACAAGCUGUAAAAUGGCUAUCGAAAAACUGAUAUUUCACAUUAGAGAAUGUGAGGACCUGAAGAUUGCUGACUUGUGGUCAAAAUGGAAUUCUUGAUAACUUUAAAUGUUAAAAAUUCUUGGUGAAAAUUUUGUACUUUUUUUUCUUUCAGAUUCUUGUGCCUAUUGCGAAUGGUUCAGAGGAGAUGGAAGCUGUUAUAAUAAUUGAUAUUCUGCGACGAGCUAAAGCAAAUGUUGUGGUUGCGUCAGUUGAGGAUAAACUAGAAAUUCUGGCUUCUCGUCAAGUUAAAUUAGUGGCAGAUAUGCUUAUUGAUGAGGCAGCUAAACUUUCGUAUGAUUUGAUUGUCUUGCCAGUAAGUGGGGUUGCUAACUCUUGCCUCAUAGUCUUUACCAAAUUAUUGACUUACUAGCUACAAUUUAUCUAUGCACAGGGUGGACUUGGUGGUGCUCAAGCAUUUGCGAAGUCAGAAAAAUUGGUAAAUAUGCUAAAGAAGCAAAAGGAAUCAAAUAGACCUUACGGUGCUAUAUGUGCAUCCCCAGCACUAGUGUUGGAGCCCCAUGGCUUACUCAAGGUAUGACCAUUUCUGCUUAAAUAUUUAUUCUUGAUUUGAAUCACCUAAUCUGAACUUGAUAAAACAUUGUGAUCUUGUGUGAUUUUAUGAACGUGGUCUUAUCUCAUGUAAGUCUGUAAUGAAUUUAUUGAAGUUUGCUGACAAAUUACAAACUCAAAAACUGCUGCUGCUUCAUUAGUUACAGUACCCAAGGAGUUAUGAUAGACAUCCCAAACUUUUUACCCCAAAUUCCCUCUCAAAUGACAUGGUAGUUAUUAAGUGGUUGGUAAUUUUUUAUAAGAUAUAAGUGAAUUAAUUAAUUAUAUUAUUUAAUCAACCAAUUGAUGAAUGUCACGCCAUUUGAGAUGAAUUUUUGGGAUGUGUAGCAAAACUUUAUGCUGAUUUGUUUUGGCUACAUUCAUGUAAAACAUUUUUCCCCAAAUCCCAAGAACUUCCCGCAAUAUCAUUCCUUUGUAUUUGUUUUCCCCUUUAGACAUGUUUAACUUUGGUUCAGGGUAAAAAGGCUACGGCUUUUCCUGCCAUGUGCAACAAGCUAUCAGAUCAAAGUGAAAUCGAAAACAGGGUUGUGGUUGAUGGCAACCUUAUCACCAGCAGAGGGCCAGGAACUUCCAUGGAGUUUGCACUGGCAAUUGUGGAGAAGUUUUUUGGCCGCAACAAAGCACUUGAGCUUGCAAAGAUAUUGCUUUUCACCCGCACCUAAAAUUUGUACCAGGACCCGACUAAUAUUAAACUAGAGUGUUUAUUUCUGUAUUACUACUGCUUGUAGAGAGGCGAAAUGGAAACUUGAAUUCAUGUUUGAAUAGGGAUUCACUGUGCGGGUUUGUACAAGAGCUUGUUUAUAAAUAAAUGAGUUCAUAAAGAGUCAUUUUAAAUAUUUGGAAUAAACGUGAGUUGCUGUUUAGUUCUGUUUUCAAUGUUCACCGUUCAAUUGUGAUCCAGAGCAAUAUAACUACACUCACUGGGAAUUUUAAUUAUGAACCAAGAACGAAGUUGAACCGAGAAUUUGAUACUUUAUAUAUUCCAGUUACCAUAUUUAAGAAAGAGUAUUGAAAAGAAAGACGCUAAGAGAGAAUAUUGAAGUUAAACAGAUACCAUAUCUAGUAUUAAGUCUGUAUGCCAAAGUUACAAAUUCGAAGAUCAGAUUCCUCAUUUCAAUUUAUGUUCUGCUCAAAACAAUGGCUCUUAUUCCACAAGCACAAACAAGAAAGAGUACGAACAAAGUUAACAGAGACACGCAGUGAAAAUUACGCUAAUUGGUUGCAGCAGCAUCAUCCAGGAACUUCACUUUAAUCCUCUUGAGCUUUGCUGCAGCGUCUGUCAUAUUUAUCCUCAUGUCGGGUGACUCCAUACAACAAUCCAAUGCCAAAUCCAUUAUGCUUAAUAUACAAUCCAUUUUGGCAGAAAAAGCUUGCUCUUCUCGCACCAAAUUUGCGUCAACAACUUCACUCAAUCCGUGAGGUAAUGACUCCUUUACCCAUGUCCUUAAACUCGUUUCUCCUGUGAACAUUUCAUCGGUGGGCCUCUUUCUCGUGAAAGUUUCCAUUAAUAAAACACCAUAGCUGUAGACAUCACAUUUAGCUGAAACAAUUCCUUCUGAUCCAUACUCUGCAUUUUUUUUAAUUUCAAUUAUGAAACAAAUGAUAAAACAAAUAAGUUUUUGAUAAUUAAGGUAACCCAAACUUUGCUCGUACUUGAAAAAAGAGUAAAAAUUUUAAUUACAAUUGAAACUUUACCUGGUGCCAUAUAACCAAUUGUAGCCAUUGUCAUGGUUUGUGUCACAGAAUCUUCUUCUUCACCUAAGAGUUUGGAAAUGCCGAAGUCGCUCACAUGUGCCACCAUAUUUUCAUCCAAGAGAAUGUUGGGAGGCUUCAAAUCACAAUGAAUUAUAGGUGCCGACGAAUGACCAUGAUGGAGAUAUUCAAGAGCCGACCCCACAUCUAUCAUUAUAUUCAACCUCUCUAGAAUGUCUAAGAAAUAGUUGUGAGAAUACAACCACUUCUCGAGACUACCAUUUGGCAUGAACUCAAGUACCAAUGCUUUAAAAUCUGGAUUAGAACAACUGCUAAGGAUCUUUAUGAGAUUUCGAUGACGAACAUUCUGUAAAACUUCACAUUCAGAAUCAAAACUCCUAAAUGCUCUCUCUAGUUGCAGAUUGAAAACCUUUAUCGCAACAUCAGUCCCGUCGGAAAUGGUUCCUUUAUAAACUGAUCCAAAGCUACCUGUACCAAGCAAGUUACAUUCAUUAAAUUCAUCAGUUGCUCGUUGAAUGUCUAGGUACGAUGUUCUUCUCCAUGUUGCAAGAGAUAGGAAAUCUUCGUGAUCUGAUUUUCUUGUACUUCUAUUUCGGCAUCUUCUGUACAUAAUGAUGGUAAUCACUAUAAGGACCGUGGAUACUAUCGGAGGCAAAAUAUAUUUAAGGACAAUUAGAGCAACUUUCUUGGUUCUUUUGCUGUUAUCUUGCUUGCAAGGUGGGACUCGAAGUUUAGGUGGACCACAGAGUGCAUAAUUUCCAAAAAAUGAUUCAGCUGACUAGUUUUUAAAAGACCCCUUAACAGGAAUUUCCCCUUCUAGCAUAUUUUGAGACACAUUAAAUUGUUUGAGAUGUGAAAGUGCCUCCAAUGACUUAGGAAUUUUUCCAGAGAAAUUGUUGCCGGAGAGAUCUAAGGAUUCUAAGCUUAUCAAACUGCCAACUGAUUCAGGGAUAGGUCCUUGAAAUUGAUUACUAGCCAAGGAUAGAGUUUCUAGAUCUACGAGGGCACCAAUGGUUGAUGGAAUAUUACCUGAUAAUUGAUUCCUUGAUAAAUCUAAAACUCUCAAGACCUUUAACUUUUGUACAUUGGAAGGGAGAGAAUCAUUUAAUGAAUUUGACGACAAGUUUAUCUCUAAGAUGUACUCAAGGCUCCACAAGGAUGACGGUAUACUAGAAGUGAGCUUGUUGGAGCCUAAGCGGAGUUCUCUUAGAGAUGUCAAACUCGCCAAGCAUGGCGGUAUAUGUCCAGAGAGCUUAUUUCCAUUUAACCUUAUUCCGUACAUCAACUCCAAGUGGCAAAGAUCAUAGGGAAUGGAUCCUUCCAAAUUAUUGUCUUCAAGAGAUAAACCUUGUAGCUGCUGUAAUGUUCCUACAGAUGUUGGAAUAGUUCCGUUCAAGUCAUUGAAGUCGAGGGUUAAGAGGAUCAAGCCACGUAAAUUACCAAUUUCUUUAGGAAUGCUGCCCCCGAGUUUGCACUCGUAAGCAUAAAAGCUUUGAAGAGAAGCAGAGAAAUUUCCAAUUAAUGGUGGAAGGAUGCCACCUAAUGGAUUAGAAUCUAAGACUAAAUAGGAUAGCUUUCUACAAUUAGUCAAAGAAGAGAGAAAACUCCACUGAUCUGCUGAAGAUGAUUCUGUCGUCAAGUUAUUCGUUCGUAUGCUGAGCACGUUGAGGUGCCUCAAGUUGCCAAAUGUAUUUGGUAUAUGGCCUGAGAAUGAGUUAGAGCCCAAGUCUAGACCAAUGAGUUUGGAAGCAUUGGUAAGAGAGUCAGGAAUUGUCCCGAUAAGAUUAUUGAUCGCCAAGGUUAAAUACUCUAUGUUCGGAAGCGAGUGGCCUAUCGUUGAUGGUAGGCGGCCUGAGAAUUGGUUGCUGUGUAGAUUAAGGACUCUUAUGGUUGAAAUAUUGAAGAUCGCGGGUGGAAUGAGGCCACUUAAAUUAUUCGUACCAAGAGCAAGACUCUCCAAAUUUUGUAGAUUGCCAAUCUCGGUUGGAAUUUGAUCUGUCAUAUCGAUUAAACCAACAUUGAUGAGUUAUUGAAUUUUUUGCUAAACAUAAAUUUAAUUUCAAAAUUCAUGAAAAUCAAAAUUUCCCACAAAAUAUGUGUUAUUAGUUUUAUAAUAAUUUAGGGGGUAAUGAUAUUUCUACCCCAUGAUUUUUGUAAAACACACAUGCUUUUAGAAAAUUAUUACCGCAAGAUCACAUUAUUCUUAAAAAUUCAAAUUAAGAAGAAGUUUCUAGAAUUAAUCAAUUAAAUCCAUAUUAAUUUAUAUUUGAAACUUAUAUUCUUUUAUUAUAUUUAAGUACUAAGGUUGUUUUAACAUAAAUUUAAUUGACUAUUUUACCCUCCUAAGGUAAAAGUACUAAAAUCCUCAAAAAUUUACUUCAACUAAACUAACAAAAUGUAUUUAUGACCUAUGGGGCAUUAAAAAUAUUGAAUUUUAUUUUUAAAAUAUUAUAUUACAAAACAUAAAACUAUAUGCUAGAUACUAUAGUACAUGUUUCUUGGGGUAAUAUAGUCAUUUUACAUUAUAAGGAUGAAAUAGUCAAAUUAAACUUAACUUGAAGCACCCGUAAAUGCCAAAAAUUGUUAAAAGACCUAAGUCAUAAAAGAAAAUUAUUAUCAGAAUAAUUUAUUUAGUUAAUUAUCUGACUUAUUGUUAAUUUAUAAUUUUAUAAGCUAUUGUGAACUUAUUGCAAUUAUCUAAUGGAGAUGAGGGGGGGUUUUGCAAGAAUAUGAGCGGCAGUAUUGCCACUCUAUAAAAUAAAAAGAAUUAUGCAGUCAUGCAAAUGCAAAUAUGCUGAACUUACCUUGCAGGUUGUUAUGACGAAGAUCCAAAUCAAAAAGGUUGCUCAAAUUUCCUAUCCCUGAAGGAAUAUUUCCAUCAAUAACGUUGAAACUUGCUUGUAACAUCUCCAAUUUCGAUAAGUUGAAGAGAGAAUUUGGGAUUGGACCCGUGAUAUUGUUAUUACGAAGACUCAUUAUUUGUAAUUUGGAUAAGACACCAAUCCAAGUUGGAAUGCUUCCACUCAAUUUAUUGAAACUGAAACUAAUGAAUUUGAGUCGGCCUAAUUUCCCCAAUUCAUUAGGUAGAUGGCCAUAAAAAUUGUUCAAAGUAACAUCAAGAGACAUUAGGAAUGAGAGAUUUCCCAGGUGUGGGGGAAUAGUGCCUCCGAGACCCAUGCCUGAAAGAUUUAAAGCCUUGACUCUUUGAUGGCGUGAAUCACAAGAAAUACCAACCCAGCUGCAUAUUGGAUGAGAUAUAGACCAAUUAUUUGCUAGGACACUCCGAUAAUCACCGACGUGGGCUUUGAAUGCAAGAAGAGCUGAUUGAUCUGUUAAAUUGUUUAAAGUCGUCGUAGCUAAGUUAGCUAUGGAAUAUUGUAACAACAUAGGAACAAAGAAGAACGAUAGGCGCAUAUUGGUCGUUUUUAAUAGAUACAGCAACAUAAUUGCUAGGUGAGAUUGAAACAAGUUUGAAGUGAAGGAAAUUAGCAUAUACUUAUACAAGAGACAUGAAUUUGAAAACAAGAAAAGAAAAAAUAUACAGGAGACUUGCAAACUGUUAUAUUUUGUCAUUAAGCGAGUCGUCCAAGUAAACGCACGUAUGGACUUGCAAAUUGUUAAACGUCGCUGUACUUGAACCGUAAACAAAGGGUGUGUUUGGUUGGAGGAUUAAAAGUGGGGAUUAGACACUUUUUUUUUUUUUUAAAUUUUAUCCUUAUCUCAUGUUUGGUGCUGUCAAGGGUAUUAGGAUUUAGUUAUCUUGAACUCACAAGCUAAUCUUAAUUUUGUAAAGGAAAUUAUCCCAAGAGGGGUCAUGGGAUUAGUUAGUAUUGGAUUAUAUUGAUAACUCAAUUAAACAUAAUAAUUUAUAAAUAUUAAAAUUAUAGUAAUAUGUGAUAAAUGUAAUAAAAAAAUAUUGAUUUUAAUAAUGUAAAUAAUAAAUUAUACUAAAAAUCAUUAUUAAUUUCACAUUAAAUUAAAAUUCUAUUUUACUUUAUUUAAUUAUUAAAUAUUUUUUAUAAUUCCAAAUUUACGUUAUAAAUUAAUUAUUAAAUUAGUAUUCAAAAAGAUAAAUUUUUAUAAAAUAAUAGAUUAUUGAAUAAAUAUCAUAUAAAUAUCAUAUACAUAUUUAACAAAAUAAUAAUUAUUUAAAUUAUGAUUUCUAUUUCUUUAACGUCAUUGAGGUUGAUUUGUAUAAUUAAUAAUACAAAAUUUUAGUUUAUAAUAAUAUUAAUAAUAAUAAUAACUUGUAAAUUGUAAUAUUAUAAUGUAAAACAUGAUUAUUUAUAGUCCAAUCUAAUAUUGUACCAAACACAAUAUAGUAUUAUAUAUAAUCCACUAUUAUUCAAUCCAAUUCAAUUUUAUCCAAUUUAAUCUAAUCUAAUUCAAUCAAAUCCGGCGGACCAAACCAGCCCAAAGGGUUUAUGGCCCUUUACUUACCAAACAGAAAAAGAUGCUCAACAUUGACAUCUUUGACCCAAUCCAAAUCUAAUCCAUACAUCUGCGGAUCAGAUGCAGAUUUAACCUAAUCCAUAUCCAAUCCACCAUUUUACGGAUUGGUUUGUAGACUGAAAAAUAUUAUAAGAAUAAUUUAUUAAUUGUUCAGACUUAAUUUAUAAUUCUAUAAGAUAAUGUGAACUUAUUAUAACUAUCUUAUCAAAAUGAGGUGGGAUUGCAAGAAUAAUGAGUAGAAAUAUCCCCAACCGAUAAAAUAAAAAGAAUUUUACAGCUAUACAAAUGCAAAUAUGUAGAACGUACCUUGUAGGUUGUUAUAAGCUAGAUUCAGAUACAAAAGAUUGCUAAAAUUUCCUAUCGCUGAAGGAAUAUUUCCAUCAAUGACGUUGUACGUUGCGUGUAACGCCUUCAGCCUCGAUUAAUUGAAGAGAGAAUUUGGGAUUGGACCCGUGAAACUGUUAUUACGAAGACUCAACACUUGUAAUUUGGAUAAGACGCCAAUCCAUGUUGCAAUGCUCCCACUCAAUUUAUUGAAAGUGAAACUAAUGAAUAUGAGUCGGCGUAAUUGCCCCAAUUCAUUAGGUAGAUUGCCAAGAAAAUUGUUCAGGCUAACAUCAAGAGAUUCAAAUGAAUUUUUGAUGGCGCGAACCGCAAGAAAUGCCAAUCCAGGUACACAUUGGAUAAGAUAUAGACCAAUUAUUUGUCAGGAUACUUCGAUAAUCAACGACACGGGCUUUGCAUGCAAGAAGAGCCGAUUGAUCGGUUGUUAAGAUGCAAUAGUGAGUAGUGAAAGUGGUUUGAGGUGGAGAUGCACCGGGAUCUACGGCCAUCCUGAGUUCAGCCAGAAGCAUAAUACUUGGACUCUCAUGAAAAGGUUAGCCAGCCUAUUUUCCUAUCCUUGGUGCUGUUUUGGUGAUUUUCAAUGAGAUAAUGCAUAUGCAUGAGAAAAACGGGGGCAAUGAGAGAAACCUGAAUAGGGUUGCCGAGUUUAGGGAAGCUGUGCAAAGCUGCAAUUUGCAGGAUAUGGGGUGUAAGGGAUAUCCCUAUACGUGGUCAAACAAAAGAUACAGAGAUCAUUUUAUUGAUGAGAGAUUGGACCGUUUUCUGUGUAGUAAAGAUUGGGGGAUUAAUUUUCAAGAAUCUGUAGGCACAAAUCUAGUGAACUGGUCUUCGGACCACUGCCCAAUCAUUCUAGAUUUCCAUGAGCGAAGCCAAAAUUCGAGACAUGCGGGCAAAUCUCUCCCCCGAGAUUAUUAUGAGGAUAUGUGGAGCUCCCACGAAGGCUGUAGGAGUAUAGUCCAGGAAGAGUGGAGCCGGUAUGGGGCUAGAGCUUGGGAAGCCCCUGUUCAGCAAUUUCAAUGAAUAGCCAAAUCUUCCUUGGCCCAGCUAAAACUUUAGAGCAAAACCGAAUUUCAUGGUAGGCAAAGAAAGUAAGAAAAGCUUAUGCAGAGCCUCCAGGAUGCUAUGAGAGGGAAUUCAAAGCUGGAUGAUGGCCAGGAAAUUAGGAGAUUGGAAAGUCAGAUUAACUCUAUGCUAGUUGAUGAGGAGAUUUACUAGAAACAGCGUUCGAGGGCCGACUGGCUUAGAGAAGGGGAUAAGAACACGAAGUAUUUUCACGCCAAAGCAUCUGCCCGCAAAAGGAAGAACAAGGUGUGGGGGAUUGAGAAUGACCAGGGCAUUUGGUUGAAGGAAAGGGAUGAAAUAGAGGAGGAGAUUUGCAGCCAUUUCCAAAAGCUUUUCACUACUUCCAGCCCGACUCCAAGCCAAAUCCAAGCAACCCUUCAAGGCAUGACAACAAAAGUAACUCCGGAGAUGAAUGUUCAGCUGGAGAAGCCGUUCACCGCUGAAGAUGUUGAGGAAGCCCUUGCCAACAUGUGUCCCACAAAGGCCCCAGGGCCUGAUGGUCUUCCAGCUGCCUUCUUCCAGAAGCAUUGGAAAUCUGUCCGUAACAGAGUGAUCUCAACGUGCCUUAAUGUCCUUAAUGAGCAAGGUAACCCAUCUACCCUCAAUCACACCUUUAUAGCUUUGAUUCCAAAAAUUGCAAAUCCUAGGAAAGUGAGUGAUUAUAGACCUAUCAGCCUCUGUAAUGUUAUUUAUAGAGUUGUAGCUAAGGCCAUUGCAAAUAGAAUGAAGCCGAUCUUUUCCCAAAUCAUCUCCCCUAUGCAAAGUGCAUUCAUCCCCAAUAGGCUCAUUACCGACAAUGUUAUUAUUGGUUAUGAAUGCCUUCAUAAAAUUAGGCAUAGCAAAGGGAAGAAGAACGGACUUGUAGCUUUAAAAUUGGAUAUAAGUAAGGCUUAUGAUAGAGUUGAGUGGCCUUUUUUGGAACAAACUAUGCUAAAGAUGGGGUUUCCUAGUAAUUGGGUAGCUCUGAUAAUGAGAUGUGUUAUUUCCACUUCAUUCUCGGUGCUAAUUAAUGGUGUGCCAAAAGGAAUGAUCCAGCCAAAAAGAGGCUUGCGACAGGGCUGCCCGCUAUCCCCGUACCUUUUUAUCCUUUGUGCAGAGGCUCUCUCCAAUUUGCUGGUUGUGGCAGAACAGAACCAGCUAAUCCAAGGGCUCAAAUUUGCGCGGGAAGUUUCAAUUACGCACUUGCUGUUUGCGGACGAUAGCUUGGUAUUCUCUCGUGCAUCAGUGGCUGAAUGCAGGCAUUUAAAAGAAAUGUUUGAUAAAUAUGCUGCAGCAUCAGGGCAGAUUUUUAAUUUUCAGAAAUCCUCACUGUUCUUCAGUGGAAAAAUUCCAGAGCAUCAACGGGCUGCUAUAAGGGGUAUCUUUAAUCUAAAUGUAGUCUCAAAGCAUGAGAAAUACCUUGGCCUACCAUCAAUGAUUGGGAGAAAGAAGAUGGGGUUCUGUAACGACAUCAAGCUGAAAGUGUUGAACAAGAUUGCAGGAUGGCAGCAUAAAAUGUUGUCUAGUGGGGGGAAGGAAGUUCUGAUCAAAGCGGCAGCCCAAGCAAUUCCGGCGUAUGCAAUGAGUGUUUUCAAGCUCCCAAGAGGCUUUUGUGAUGAUAUUCAGCGAGCUAUAGCGAAGUUCUGGUGGGGCUCGAAAGGGGAUAAGCACGGAAUCCAUUGGCGAAAAUGGGAGAAGCUCAGCCAGGCAAAGAUUAGAGGGGGGCGGGGAUUUCGAGAGUUUUCUUGCUUCAAUCAAGCGCUGGUAGCUAAGCAAGCUUGGAGGUUACUGCAGUACCCAAAUUCGCUGGUCUCCAAAGUCCUUCAAGCAAGAUAUUUCAGGAAUUCCAGCUUUUUAUGUGCAAAGGCAGGAGCCAAUGCCUCGUAUAUUUGGAGAAGCAUCAUGUGGGGUAGGCAGGUGAUUAAGAAGGGUAUGAGAUGGCAGAUAGGUAAUGGCAAGAAGGUAGCAAUUUUCUCGGAUAACUGGCUGCCAAGACCAGAGACCUUCAGACCUAUCUUCCCUCCAUCUUUGCCCGUAAGCUCAGUUGUUGCAGAUUUAAUUAAGGCUGAUAAUCAAUGGGAUGAAAUAAAGCUUCGACAGCACUUCAUGGAUGUAGACACAGCAGAGAUCCUCAAGAUUCCCCUCCCAACUGAGAAAGAAGAAGAUGGAGUGCUUUGGGAUUACGACAAAAGAGGGAACUACUCUGUCAAGAGUGGGUAUCAGCUAGCAUUGAGAUCAAAAUUUCCAGAUUCCACCAGCUGCACAGAGGCUUCCCACAAGUACUGGAGUGCCCUUUGGACACUGGAGUUGCCUGCGAAGCUUAAAAUUUUCAUGUGGAGGGCCUCUAAUAAUCUGCUUCCAUCGGUGGAAAAUCUGUGGAAAAGGAAGGUAGUGGAGGAGCCAACUUGUAAGCGAUGCAAACUGAGUGUUGAGACUAUCAGCCAUGCUCUCUUGGAGUGUAAGGUAGCGAGAAAAAUUUGGCUCCAAUCCCCCUUUUCAGGCCUUAGAUUAGAAGCCAAUUCUCAGGACAUUUUCAGCACUUUGCAAAAUAUGGCUAAGGAGAUGAGGAAAUCAGAUCUGGAAUUAAUGGUAGCUCUGUGUUGGUCUGCCUGGUAUGCUAGGAACAAAUGUAUCUUCGAUGGCAGGGAGAUUAAUCCUAUUAUAUCAGCUGCUAAAGCGGAGUCUGUUUUGUCAGCUUUUCAGAGAGUUAGGAAGCCCCAGCAAGCUCACAUCUCUAUCUUCAUAAAAGAGAAGCAGCAGGAGUGGCUCCCCCCUCCCCCGAAUGUUUUUAAAGUUAAUGUGGAUGCUGCUCUUAAUUCAAAGAAUCUGAGUGCAGGAGUGGGAACUGUGAUUAGAGACUCUAAUGGAAAGAUAGUUGCGGCUGGGGUAAAUCAGAACCUCCUAAAGGGGUCAGCUAGCUUGGCUGAAGCAGAGGCGGUGCUUUGGGGCCUUCAGCUGGCGAGAAAGGCGGAUGUAUCCUCUUUGAUUAUUGAGUCUGAUUGUUUAGAGGUGGUCCAGCUAGUGAACAACACCAAGGGCAGCAGAUCAGAAAUUUUUUGGACAAUUCUGGCAAUCCAAAACCAGAUGAAGAACUUCCAGAAAGUGGUUGUCAAUCACAUUCCAAGACAUUGUAAUGCUUGUGCCCAUUACCUAGCUAAGAUAGCUUUGGGGAAAAUCUCUCCCUGUAUGUGGCUGGGAAAUAUUCCAGCUGAAUUGUAUGGUAUUAUCAAGGUGUUGUGAUUAAUGAAAGGUUUACUUUCUUUUCAAAAAAAAGAAGAAUGAUAAGCGCAUAUUGGUCUUUUUUUUUAGAUGCGUCCAUCUAAUUGCUAAGUGAAGUUGAUACAAGUUUUAAGUGAAGGAAAUUAGCAUAUGCAUAUACAAGAGGCGUAUGAAUUUUGAUAACAAGAAAAGAAAACAAUAUACAGGAGAGUGGAGGCUUGCAAAUUGUUAUAUUUCAUUAUUUAGCGAGUCGUCCGAGUAAACGCGUAUAGACUUUUAAAUUGUUAUACGCCGCCGUACUUGAACCGUGAAUAAAGGGCUUAUGGCACUUGAGUUACCAAAAAGAAGAAGAUGCUCAACAUUGGCAAGGCCUAUGCAUUCUGUCCAUUUGUUCACGUUUUGCCGAGGCUCAUGGCAACCACAAUAUGUUCUUUUUCUUUCCUCUAAAAAACAAAAAGACGACCUUCACAUUUGGGCUAAUAAUUAUCACUAAACAAUUAAUAAUGCUGAGGGCUAGUGGUAAUGUAGCUUUAAAAUAAUUGUUAUUAGUUGCGCCUUAAAAAUAAAGAAAUAAAGAUAGUUAUACUAUACCCCCACAAUUUAAUAAAAUAAUCAUGUAAAUUUCUAAACUUUUAACAAUAUACACCAAGACCCCUUAUGUUACUUUUUACCAUUUAUUUGGAUGUCACAUGCUUUUUUUUUUUUUUUUUUAAAUUUUUCACUGCAGAAAUUAAAUGCUAAAUUUACUGUUAUUCCCAUAUCAUGUCAUCGCUUGCUUCUACACAUAUUGAUUGUUUUUCCAAAGUUUAAAAUUGAAUUAAAAACAUUCUAAUUAACCUAAAAAUUAAAAAAAAAACUCAUCCAACCAGAUAUAAAUCUUCUAAUUAACCUAAAGAUAAGCUACACCCCCAUAUUAAUUCCAAUUAAAUAAAUCUUCAUUUUUGUCAUGGUUUUGGAUCUCGAGCAGGGUGGAUACAUCCAACCAGAUCCGCCCCAUUGGCAUUCCAAUAUAUUAUGGAAUUGGAAGAGUAUCAAUGACUUAAUUUGUAAUUUUAAAUUUGUAACGUAUAAUUCUAAUUUAAGGAUUCAAAUUAAUUUAUGCGGAUCUAAAAGGGGACUGAUGAUGGGCAUGCAUACAUACAUGCAUACAUAUAUUUACAUAGAGAGAGAGAGAGUGAGGUAAUAUAACAUUCUUCUUGAUGAAGAUUUUUGUGCCAUACGCAUUAAAGAGAGUAUUGUGUCGAUGUUGGAGGCUAGAGGGACAAGUGGUUACAUUGCUUCAGAGGUGUUUAGUAGAAACUUUGGUGAGGCAUCACAUAAUUUAAACUACUAGAUUUAGCGAGAUAUAUAUAUUUUCCACAUUGGAUUUACAAGCAUUUGGAGCAGGAUAAUGAAUUUAAAUUACUCGGAAUUGUAAACAGCGGAAAGUGAAAUUGCUAAGAAGAUGAAUAUUGUUGUUUUGUGGUGUAUACGGACUCGUCCAUCGGAUAGGUCGCCCAUGAACAGAGUGAUAGAAAUGUUAUUGCAAAGAAGCAGACUGACUAGCAGUGACGCUUUGAAUAAAUCCACCAAACAUCUUCUCCUACAAGACCACCAAUAUAUUCUUCCACCAUUCAACGUCGUGAUGUGGGGAUCAGAAUUGAAUUAUAGGAUGCUUGUAAGUUUCCUUUGUGGAACUUGUGAAUUUGUGAUGGCAAAAGUCAAUGAUGCAUGUAACUAGCCGGCCCGUGUAGAGGCCGUUUGACUCAUAAAUAUUUGUCACUUUCACUCUUUUUCAAAACCCAAAAGCACGCUAAAGCUUAAUCUAAAAAGAAUUUUUGAUUUAGUGCUGACAUUUUGGGCUCACCUUUGAGUAAUGUUUUACCACGCAUGCAUUUAUGUCAUUGUGCGGUCAUCCUUUACUUCUAAAGAUCGUAAUCUUUAAGAAAAAAUUACUUCUUUUGAAAGUGAAAGCAGGCCAGCUAUUGGCGUAUUGCAUUGAAGCUGCUAUGUGUAGUAGUCAAUUCUUGGAAAGAACUAGUUUUCUUAAAUUGUAAAUGGUCCCCUUUAUGACUGGGAGAUUUUGAACAAAAUUAAUAUGAUGAAUUCUUAGCAAGUGUUGUUCCUUGAAGUCUCAUCUUUCACAAUGUUUUUGAAAUAAAGAUAUUACCAUCUCUGACUAAAGAUUUACUCUUGAUUUGGACCACCUAAUCUGAACUUGAUGGAUGAUUAUGAUCUUGCCUAAUUUUAUGGAUGUGGUCUUAUCUCACGUAAGUCAGUAAUGAAUUAAUUAAAGUUUACUGUCAAAUUAUGAACUGAAAAACUGCUGCUACUUCAUUAUUCACAAUGCCCAAAUUCAGUGCAGAACUGAUUAUAAGUUUUCCGAAAGUUUUACGCUUUCUUUCCCCCAAAUCCCAAGUACUUCCUGUAAUAUCAUUCCCCUAUAGAUGUCUUCCCCUGAGACAUUUUUAACUUUGGUUCAGGGUAACAAAGCUAUAGCUUUUCCUGUCGUGUGCAACAAGCUAUUAAAUUAGAGUAUUUAUUUCUGUAUUACUACUAGUAGUAAGAGAGGCGAAAUGGAAUCUUGAAUUCAUGUUUAUACAACAGUUUGUUUAUAAAUAAAUGAGUUGAUAACAAGUCAUUUUAAAUAUUUGCAAAAAAAAAAACGGUGAGUGAUGUCUAGUUCUAUUUUCAAUGUUCAGAGUCGAAUUUUGAUUACUGAAAAUUUUAAUUUAUGAAGUUGAACUAAGAAUUUGUUAUAAUAUAUUCCACCUUCCUAUACAGUCAUCUGGAAUAAUAAUAUAUCAAAAACAGUAAUAACUUGAUUUACAGGGUGAGAAAGAAAAGAAAGACGCUACGAGGGAAGCAGAGAUUCAAAGACUUCGCUACUUUGUUGGAGGAACAAUUUCAUAAAUCUCCAGAAUAUUGACAUAAAACACAGAACAUAUCUAGCAUUAAGUAUAUUUAUGUAUGUCCAAAGAUAAAAAUUCGAAGAUUAGAUUUAUCAUUUCAAUUUAUGUUCCGCCCAAAGCAAUGGCUUUUAUUCCACAAGCACAAACAAGAAAGAGUACACAAAGUUAACAAACACACAUGUUGAUGCGAGAUUCUGGUUGUCCUCGUUCUACGACCAGGGUCUCUGCUCGAUCAACUUCACCACGACCAGGAUCUCUCCUCGUAAAGCUUCUUCUCCAGAGGUUCCUGCGCACACAGACAGGUCAGAGUACGCCGGUUUUUUUCCCGGCGCAAACCCUCCAACGCUCAAGUCAGAAAUAGGGGUUCUGGGAAUGUUUGCCACGAAUCUUAUGGCUUCUUUUUAAUCUCAGUUCUCGGAACUUUCUUUUCUUAGUUCUAAUAGCAAAAAGUCUAACCCUUUUACCUUUGCUGGCUACUUUUUUAUAGGCUUCCUCUGAAUCCCGGUCUUCCGUAGUCCACGCCCAUUACUCUUCCCACCCUCGGAUGUGGAUGCCCCAUUGUCGUCAUUGUGGGCGAAUGGAGAUGGACUUCGUGCCUUGAUUCUCGGAUAGGAACGCACGUCUUGCCAACUGUCGUUGACCGGGUCUCCUCGCCUCGACCCCUAGCAGGAAUGGCCUUAUGCCUCUAACAGGAGUUCGUCCUCGUGAAUGGCAUAUUUGUGGACGAGCAGAAUAUUCCUGCUCCUGUUCCCUUGCUACCAGGCUCUUACAGGACAUACCUGUUCGCAGAACUCUGCCACCAAAUAUAUGCUCAUCAUGUCUGGUCUCGUCGAAGUAUUUCCCUCAAACACCGGUCCCCCAGUUUCUGGUGUUGGGUAAUGUAAUGGACCAGCAGUAGAAACUCAACAGUUCUUGCUCGCGUGAGACUUGAAAAGGCUGCCAAGAGUCGUGUCGCAUUUAAUUGCGGAUGCAGUGAUGUGGCAGAAAUCUACCCCUUCGUUUGAAUUUCAAACCUACGGUUGCAAGAUUCUCAGAAUCUGCGUCAUUAAAUGCUGGCAGCCCAAAAGUUUGCUUCUCAGUAAGAAAACCCAAAAUCCUCAAACACGAACUCGUCAUUUUCUCCAUUCCUGUCUCUCCGGCUAAUGAACCUCGGCAUUAAAGCUUUCAUCCCUGUCUCUCUCUGAGCGAGUCCCUGCUUCAGGUAUUUCUUCUAUCUUCACGGUCUCGGUUAGUUGUAGAUAAUUUCUUUUCUCUUUGCUUUGCUUGGGGUAGUAUCUGGUAGUGGUGUUUUGGUUAUAACCUAGGGAAUGUCGAAGGGUAAGGAGAAAGUCGUUGAUAUUGAUGACGACGAACUAGGUUUCUUGCCUAGUCUGCUCACUGAUUCUGCUUUUGGCCCCGGGAUCCCCUUAGAGCCCACUAGGUCUAGUGUUGGGACUAGCGCUAGGAGGAUGUCCCCCCAAACAACCUCCACGAGCGGAAGUAGUGGCGAGGAGGGACCUUCUGGCUCGGAAGACACCCUAAGUGAGGAUCAAUGAGGUGACUCUGGUGAGGGAUCUUCACCGGGAACACUGCGACCAGAAGGGUGUAGUACAGUAGGAGGUAGAGCCUUGUCGCGGGAUUAUGCUAUUGAUUACAUGACCUGCACGACCACAUUCAACGAGCUGGAUGACCUCCGGCUCAGGUAUCAUAUUCCUGGUGAGGUACUCCUUAGGAUCCCAGGAAAGAAAGAUAGUCUUAGCAGGCCUCCUAGGGGAUUUGUCACCUUGUUCUUGGAGAGUUUUAAGUACGGGCUAAGGUGCCCCUUGCAACUCUAUUUUGCUCGCAUACUCCACGGGCUCAAUCUAGCUCCUGGUCAGUUGAACCCCAAUGGGUGGAGGGUGCUCUUUGGUCUGUUCAUAUUGUGGGACAGAUGUUGCCAAAGCGAGCCCACGGUUGAUGAGGUGAAGCACCUGUACCAGCUAAGGAGUAGCCCCAAAGAUGCCGGCUGGUACUACUUCCAAUCUAGUACCAAGAGUAGGAAACCCAUAACUGAUCUUCCAACUGGUGGUGGUGGGACUUGGAAGAGGAAAUUCUUUUUUGCUGGGGGUCCUUGAGGUCAAGUUGCACAAAUAGACGGGAAGGAUUGUCGCGUCCCACCCCGUUUCACGGUCCCAGGUUGCCUGCUCACUUUAGAUGUCUUGUAUCCAUAAUUGUUCUUACUUUAUUGGUUUGUCUCUAACCAAGUGUCUGUUUGUGUUGUAGUUUCUUGGGGUGUUCAUUUUCCGCUCAAACCUGAUCAGCUCAAACGGGUCGAGGCUGUACUAGCCAACUCCUGCCCGAGCCGAGAACUGAUAACUAUUUAUAACUUCCUCGAGUCUCGCUUGGUACUCCCUGGCCAUAAGAUGGAGGACGCUGUGAUUGGGGCUCUGAACAGGAAACGUUCUCGACCUCAAAACACGAAGAGGGACCAGAACAAGGACGCCCCUAGGGCAAAGCGGACCAACAUCGUGCAGCAAGUCUCUCCCUUGAAGACUUUACCUCCUGCUCCUGCCAAAGUCAGCGAAACUAGUGGAGCAGCCACAGAUCCUGCUUCCUCUUCUCCUCCUGUCGGGCCUCGAUCUCGCUUUCCUGACAGCCGAGCAGAACACUUGGUCCCCUAUCUCAAUGAGUUAUCUAAACUCGUGAGCAAGAAGGACCUGGAGGACUUUAAUGGCUGCACCCUGGGCGAGCUGGUAGGAGCCAUGCAGUAUAGUGCUUUCCAUCUCAGCUGCAUGACCACCUAUUAUAAGGCUAAGGUUGGCCGUUAUGACAGGAAGAUGAAGGAGGACAUUCAAUCAGCGAUGACCAGAGCUGACGCCGCCGAGAAGAAAGCAGGAGAGCUAAAUGUCGAGAACCUGAAGCUGAUAGAGCAAGAAUCUCUUGCUCAAGCAAAAGCCAUUACCCUCGAGGAGGAGCUGACCAAGGUCAAGGAGGAUCUUCAAAGGCAGAAGGCAAUGUAUGAGGCUCAGCUCGAAUCUCUCCGCGAUUCCCAUCGAGCUCAGGUCGAGAACUUGGAGAAGGAGGCCGACAACCAGUACGACCAGGGACUUCGGCAUUCCUAUCGUUGCAUCAUGGCCGUCCUCGGGAAGCAGCAUCCUGAUCUAAAGAUGGACGACCUUGCAGCUGGUGUCGCCCAACAUAUGGACGAGGAGGCUGCAAAGGAGGAUGCCGAAGGGGUAGACGCAAUCGUGAUUGAGGAGGAAAACUCUCCUCCUCAUGUAGACCCUGCUGACGUUGGCGAGGCGAGCACCCCCCCGGACGCAACUGGUGAUACCCCCCCUGCACCUGAGGAGGUCCAGCCAACCGAUGCUGCUCGGCAUACUGAUCCGCCAUCUUCUUGAACUUAUCUUGUGCUGUAAUUGCUUUUUGAAUAUUCUAUAUAACAGCUUUGUAAACUUUUAAGAGCUUAAUAAGAUUGUUCUUAUUUGCUUCCUCGCAUUGGUAUUUUAAUUUAUUUAUCUAUUUGGCUUCUGUCCUCGUCACAGAGGAGGCCUUGAAGUUUGACGAGCCUUUGCCUGUCUUGGAUAAUUUCUUCAAUGAUUGGGAUUCUGCUCGCCUUCGCGUGGUCGAGCAGAUCCUGGCACGCUUGGCUUUUGGUCUCGCCAUAAACAGGCUUUGAGACUCGACGAGCCUUUGCAUGCCUUAGUUUCUUCAAGGAUUGGGAUUCUGCUCGCCUUCGUGUGGUCGAGCAGAUCCUGGCACGCUUGGCUUCUGGUCUCGCCAUAAACAGGCUUUGAGACUUGACGAGCCUUUGCAUGCCUUAGUUUCUUCAAGGAUUGGGAUUCUGCUCGCCUUCGCGUGGUCGAACAGAUCCUGGCACGCUUGGCUUCUGGUCUCGCCAUAAACAGGCUUUGAGACUCGACGAGCCUUUGCAUGCCUUAGUUUCUUCAAGGAUUGGGAUUCUGCUCGCCUUCGCGUGGUCGAGCAGAUCCUGGCACGCUUGGCUUCUGGUCUCGCCAUAAACAGGCUUUGAGACUUGACGAGCCUUUGCAUGCCUUAGUUUCUUCAAGGAUUGGGAUUCUGCUCGCCUUCGCGUGGUCGAGCAGAUCCUGGCACGCUUGGCUUCUGGUCUCGCCAUAAACAGGCUUUGAGACUUGACGAGCGUUUACAUGCCUUCAAUUCUUCAAGGAUUGGGAUUCUGCUCGCCUUCGCAUGGUCGAGCAGAUCUUGGCACGCUUGGCUUCUGGUCUCGCCAUAAACAGGCUUUGAGACUUGACGAGCCUUUGCAUGCCUUCAAUUCUUCAAGGAUUGGGAUUCUGCUCACCUUCGCGUGGUCGAGCAGAUCCUGGCACGCUUGGCUUCUGGUCUCGCCAUAAACAGGCUUUGAGACUUGACGAGCCUUUGCAUGCCUUCAAUUCUUCAAGGAUUGGGAUUCUGCUCGCCUUCGCGUGGUCGAGCAGAUCCUGGCACGCUUGGCUUCUGGUCCCGCCAUAAACAAGCUUUGAGACUUGGUGAGCCUUUGCAUGCCUUUGAUAAUUUCUGGAAAGCUUAGGAUUCUGCUCACCUUCUCGUGGUCGAGCAGAUCCUGGCACGCUUGGCUUCUGGUCUCGCCAUAAACAGGCUUUGAGACUUGGUAAGCCUUUGCAUGCCUUUGAUAAUUUCUUGAACAGUGUAGUUGAUUCAAACUCCUCAUUGAUUCAUUUAUUAUUGAAUUCGGCUUACAUGAGGUUGCUUUGAAAUAAGAAAUAAAAAAAUAGAAAACAACAGACAUGAACAGAAAAAAAACUUUAAAACAUGAGUAAGUCUUACUAGAAAUAUUUCCUGAGGUGUGCCGCGCUCUAGGGGCGUUUCACCUCGUGGCCCUCCGUGCGAACCAACUUGUAAACUCUGGGUCCAACUAGCUGCCAUUCCUGGCUUCCACUCGGGUAUCAAAGGAUGUUAUCUGCAUUGCUUCCUUUGUUGCCGAGGAGUAACAGCUUCGUGCGAUUCUCUGGUCUCCUCGUACCACUCCAACUACCCCAUUCACCCGGUACUUGAGAGCCAGAUAAUGGUUGGACAGCACCGCUUUGCUCAUCCUCAGAAAUGGCCGGCCUAGGAUCAUCUGAUAAGGACCUUCCUCAUCCACUACCACAAAGUCCAGUAUCAUUGUCCUUUCUGUCGGGGAGCUCCCAAUCGUGAUAAGUAGCUCGACCACGCCCAGAGGGACCAACUUUCCUCCUCCAAACCCCUUCAAGGAGGUAUUGGUGUAAUCCAACUUCAGGUCUGCUAUUCCCAUUUCCUCCAGGGUUGACUUAAACAACACAUCAACUGAGCUCCCUGUGUCAACCAGUAUCCUGUCAAACUUCUUGCUGGCAACAGUGGCCUUGAUGACCAAAGCAUCCUCGUGGGGGUAUAGAAUCCCUUCUUCAUCCUCAUCUGUCCACAUGAUUGGCACUUGCCUGACUCUUGCACAUUUGGCUGCUGGGGUGUUGAAGAAUACAUCUUUGCUGGUCAUGGCGUAUCUAGCGUAAUUCUUCCUCGACCUGUUGGAAUCUCCGGCCAAUGUUGGGCCCCCAGCUAUCACCCUUAGUGCAGGAUGCUCGCGCCUCAGGUUUCUAUCACUCUGCUCCCCUUCAUAUGUCGAGGCCACCAUCGGGAAAGUCCCAUCUACAAACUCGUCCAGGUACCGAUUUCUCACCAAAUCUUCAACCUGGGUCUUGAGAUCUCUGCAUUCUGCGGUGGUAUGGCCAUGAGUGCCAUGGAACUUACAAUGGCGUCCCCUAUCCCUCCUGCCGGGUAGCUUUGUUAUUGGGGCAGGGAGGUACAGCAGUCCUCGGUCCUUUAUGGCCUCGUAUACUUCAUCUAGGGACAUCUUCAAGGACGUGUAUCGCCCAUACUCCUGGUUCUGGUCGAUCAGGUGCACGGCCCUUUCUCUAUUUGCUCCGUUCUGAGUUGGAGGCGAUGACAGCAUUUCUGGUCUGCUCCCUCUACUACCGUGGGAGUGUUGAUGAAGACCACCAUAUGUCGAAUCAUGCCUUCUCCAAGGCUCCCUAGCUGGGGAACGAGGAGGGUGCGCCCUGCUGCGCUGAUACUGUGGUGGCCUCUGAUGAGGCUGGUGAGCUGUUACCCGACCUCCUGCUCCACUACCUGAGGCCUGGAGGUCCCUCCUCCUGAUCGGCCAAUUUCCCAGUAAUGCCCUCUUUUCUUUCUUUUCCAACCCCUCCAGCUGGUCUGUCUUAAUCCGAGCUGCCUUUUCUUCCUCGAUCUCUAUGUCUCUUUUAGCUUGCUCGUAUGCGGCUGCAUACGUCUGAAUAGCUGGGCUUCUCAAGUUGUACCACAGCCUUCCUAUCUUCACUCCCUCUUUCAAUCCCCUUAGUGCCUGAGGAUGGUCGAAGGCUCCCAAAUCGAGGACAGCACGAUGAAACCUCUUGAUGAAUUCCCGAAGAGUUUCUUGUUCCCCUUGCUUCAUGCUUUUCAACUCCAUCAUGUCAUCUUCUAGUGCCAUUGCCCCACGAAACUGCUCUGCAAACUCCUGGCACAUCUGCUCGAAGGUUUUAAUGCUCCUCCCCCGAGGAAGUUUUCUGUACCACUCUCGUGCACGUCCCUCAAGGGAUAGUGGGAACACCCUGCCUGCACCUUUGGGAUUGAGAUAAUCCUUGUACCCCAAUUAUGUCGUUGAAGCGCUCUAUGUGCACCAGCGGAUCUGUUCGUCCCGAAUAUCUAAGGUCUGGGAGGCGGAAAUCUCUCGGAAUAACUGCCCUCAUGAUCUCUGCUGCGAGCGGUGAUUCUCCAUCUAGCAUUAUCCUCCAACCAGGAGCUCUGCUCCUUCCUUGCAUGUCGUCAAUUAUCUGCGCUAGUCUGCGCACUUCCUCCUCCAGCUGCACUGCACGACCAGGGUCACGUGCUGCAACUUGAUCCCGCUCUUGCUCUACAUCAAGCAAGUGUUGCCUCAACUCUGUUUCCUCUGCAUUUGCCACCCCGUCGUCCUCGUCAAAAAUCUGUCUUGCCGGGAAUUGCUCUUCCUCUCUACGGAAUUCUCCCCGCAGAGGUAUGUUACCUCUCUCACCACCAAAUCUCCCGGUGGUUUGACUUCUCCUCGUACUAUCGGGACCUAGUGCCACUCCACCAACUCUCAUCCUUUCCUCCUGGGUUACCCUUCGUUCACUCCGCAACUCAUGCAGGAUGGUUGUCAGGGUCUCCAUCUGCUUUUCCAUUCGUUCCAUUCGGUCGAACAUGGCUUUUUCCCGUGCUUCACUGGCUAUCUCCCUCAGAGUCACGGAAUCGUUAAGCCUCAUAUCACCCCCUUGUGCACUACUUCCUCCUGUCUCCAUUGCUUUUCACUUGCUUCACUCCUCUUCUUGCUAUCAACAGAAGCUUUUUGAUCAGCUCCCCACAGACGGCGCCAAAAUAUUGAUGCGAGAUUCUGGUUGUCCUCGUUCUACGACCAGGGUCUCUGCUCGAUCAACUUCACCACGACCAGGAUCUCUCCUCGUAAAGCUUCUUCUCCAGAGGUUCCUGCGCACACAGACAGGUCAGAGUACGCCGGUUGUUUUCCCGGCGCAAACCCUCCGACGCUCAAGUCAGAAAUAGGGGUUCUGGGAAUGUUUGCCACUAAUCUUAUGGCUUCUUUUUAAUCUCAGUUCUCGGAACUUUCUUUUCUUAGUUCUAAUAGCAAAAAGUCUAACCCUUUUACCUUCGCUGGCUACCUUUUUAUAGGCUUCCUUUGAAUCCCGGUCUUCCGUAGUCCACGCCCAUUAGUCUUCCCACCCUCGGAUGUGGAUGCCCCAUUGUCGUCAUUGUGGGCGAAUGGAGAUGGACUUCGUGCCUUGAUUCUCGGAUAGGAACGCACGUCUUGCCAACUGUCGUUGACCGGGUCUCCUCGCCUCGACCCCUAGCAGGAAUGGCCUUAUGCCUCUAACAGGAGUUCGUCCUCGUGAAUGGCAUAUUUGUGGACGAGCAGAAUAUUCCUGCUCCUGUUCCCUUGCUACCAGGCUCUUACAGGACAUACCUGUUCGCAGAACUCUGCCACCAAAUAUAUGCUCAUCAUGUCUGGUCUCGUCGAAGUAUUUCCCUCAAACAACACAUAGCAAACAUGACAUUAACUACUUGCAGCAGCAUCAUCCAGAAACUUCACUAUAAUCUUCUUGAGCUUUUCAGCGGCAUCUUUCGUAGAUGCCCUUUGUUUUGGUGACUCCAUGCAAAAAUCCAAUGCCGAAUGCAUGAUGCUUAAUAAACAAUUCAUUUUAUUAGUACAUUGGAUAUAAUCGAAGGCAGAGUAUAUUUCAGGACAAGUAGAGUAGCAUUCUUGGAUCCUUUGCUAUUAUCUUCUUUGCAAGGUGGGACUUGAGGUCCUGGUGGACAACAUACUGCAUAAUUCUAAAAAAAUUAUUGAGCUGAAAUGUUUUUAAAAGGUCUUUUGAUAGAAACUCCCCCUUCUAGCCUAUUGUGAGACACAUUAAGUUGUUUGAGAUAUAAGAGUGCCUCUAUUGACUUUGGAAUUUCUCCAGAGAAAUUGUUGCUUGGGAGAUCCAAAGAUUCCAACCUUAUCAAACUACCAAAUGAUUUGGGGAUUAGACCAUAAAAUUGGUUUCUAGCCAAGCUAGAUCUUUGGGGCCACCAAUAUUUACUGGCAUAUCACCUGAUAAUUGAUUUCUUGAUAAAUCUAACUCUAUUAAGACCCUUAAGUUUUGUAUAUCACUUGAUAAUUGUUUGUAUUGGGCCUUCUAUUUUCAUUAUAGAAUAAAUUAACUAUUAAUUUUCAUGAGAAAAAUACUUAUUUCCAUAAAAUUAUUCAAGCUUUUAAAAAGAUUUAGAAUUAAAAAUCAAACUUUGUACUGUAGAAAAUUUGCCGGUACGUUCAAUUAGUACUUUGUUUGAGGAAAUAAGAUUAGAAUAGGCUAUAGGUACGGUAGUUAUGCGGUACCUGUUUAAUAACCGUAGUAUAGUAAAUGUUUGACUUUUUUAUUAGAAAUAUAUCAUUAACAAUUUUGUUCGCUAAUUGAAUAGAGAAAGAAAGGGGGGGUGGGGGGGGGGGGAGGGCAAAAAGGUUAACACAUUUCGAAACUACAAACGAUUGCCUUUUCCUAUUAAUAAUGUUUGCGGAUUCUAACAAUUGAAUCUCAAGGUCAUUACAUAGUGAAUUUUAUAGUUAAUAAAAUUAAUAUUCCACAUACUAUCUACUCAAUUAAUGUCACAUUUUUUGAAACUUGAAUGAUCUAUUUGCUACAAUUAGGAGCCAACGUCGUAAUGAAUGUUAAAUUAUGCUGUUUGUUUUGAUUUACUUUUCUAUCUUAGCUCCAAGUGAUUAGCGGAAUGCUGGUCUUGUGAGUAUAAAAUGAACUCCUUAAGUCAAAUUCCUUCUGGGGUGUUGGAGAAAGAACUAAAUACAUGUAAUCUUGCUUUCGGAUAUGGAUUAUCUGAUGGAUGUUGUAUUUUCUAGGUAUUGAGGAGAUUCCUCAUUAUUGAAAAAUUACGUUCCCGAGCAUCAAAAGAUGAUCCCAUAGAAUUGCGUUCUCCUGUGACAAAAGAGGAGCUUGUAGCUGAGGUAUCGAUUUUUAUCUUUCUUGAUUGUUCUUUAUAGUUGUUUCUCAUCAAAAUAGAAAAAGCAGUUUGUUCUGAGUGACCUGUGCGGUCUACUAUCAAUCACUGCCAUUUCUAUCAUUUAGUACUAUUGACUGUGUGUAUAGAUAUUUUGUUUUUGCCAUGUAAUUUCAUGUUUGAUACAUUUCUAAUACAUUGCAUAGCGUUCAUGAACGAGAAUGAUAAACUAACUUUCAGGUGUGUUUAAGUAGAUGAAAAAACUUGGUACAAUUUAGAAGGAUUCACUAAUUUUCCAAUUUGUUUGUAUGGAGAAAUUGAAUAGUUAAUUGAUUAGAGGAUUGCAAAGUGGGUAGGUCCAGCUGGGCAUUGUCAAUAUUAACGAUCGAUGUUUUGAGAAGGUCUGGAGCUGACAUCACGGUUGCGUCUGUGGAGAAACAACUUCGUGUCGACGCGUGUCACGGUGUCAAGAUUGUCGCUGAUGCUCUCGUGUCUGACUGCCGCGACGCCGUUUUUGAUCUUAUAGCUCUUCCCGUAUGUAUUGCAGCUCACCUCAGCUCAUGCCAAUUUAUGUGAUGUUUGUAUAAUUAUAGAUGAUUAUUGCUGAUACUGAAUGUUAAGCUAAAUAAUUCGUUCUUAAGUCAUCUUCAUUUAAUUUUCGAUUGAAAAUGAAAAAAAUAAUAAUUGUAAGCAAAGAAAAAUAUCGAAAAUGUUUAUUUUGUUUUAAUUUUAUUUUUUAAUUUUUUGGGAUUUCCUUAUUGUGGCUGUUAUUAUUCAUUAUAUGGUCCUAGUUAAAUAUUUCAAGUUGUUGUAGUUAGUGAAUUUCUUUUCGAUAUUUAUUCUGGCAUGUAUAUUUUUUCUUUUCAAUUUCUUUUGUUGCUGAUUCUUUGAUUAUGUUAUAUCCUUUUUUGUUUCCCUUGUAGGGUGGCGUGCCUGGUGCUACCAAUCUGAAAGAAUCUGAAGUAUUAGAAAGCAUUGUGAAGAAGCAGGCUUCAGAUGGGCGUCUUAAUGCUGUUAUCUGUGCUUCACCUGCUGAGGCAUUAGGGUCUAGGGGUCUGUUGAAGGGAUUGAAGGUAAGAAUUAGAUAAACCUUUUUGAUGUUCUGUGGUCUUUUGGGAAUUGCACUGAUAUUUUUGUUAUAGUUCAGUUUUCUUCUCGCUGAUGAUUGUUAAGUUCUAAUUUAUGUAGUUGUUCAUUUUUCGUAGGCUACUUGUUAUCCGUCAUUUAUGGAGCAAUUAGCUCCUGCUUGUGCAACAACUGUUGAAUCAAGAGUACCACAGGAUGGUAAAGUUGUUACGAGUCGUGGACCCUGCACUACUAUGGAGUUUGCUGUUGCACUUGUUGAGCAGUUGUAUGGGAAAGAGAGAGCUGAUGAGGUUUCUGGGCCACUGGUAGUAACUUUUAUAGAUAAUGUUGUUUAAAAAAAUUGUGAGUUAUAUAAUUUGUUGAAAUUCAUUCUAAUAGGUUCAUCUGGUAUGUCAAAUUGGAAGGUUCAGAUGCUAAUGUAGUCCAAAAAAUUAGUUCAGGGGAAAAGUAUGACUUUUUGCAUUAGAGAUUUAUUAGAUGAAGUUGUAUACCUACUGGCCCAUCUUAAUAUGGUGAAAACGAUGUAAAAUCGGGAGAGGGGGUUCGGGGGAGAGGGGAAGCCCUCUCCAACCGCAAGGCCGUUAUUCUGACAUGAAUAGAGUAAGGCCUUUACUUUUAUAAAGAAAGGUCCCUGUUUUGCACGUCUCCACUGAUCACAUUCUUUUUAAUGUAAGUUCUUUCUCUUGGUAUUUGUCUUUGAUUUUUCUCUUCCUCAUGCUGUCGUCUGUCAAAAGAUUUGGCUGCAGCAUCUAGAAGUUUUGAAGAAGCAAAAUGGGUCACACGGCUUUGAAGUUCUAGAUGCCGUAAUGUUUGGUAAAAGUAAAAAAAAAUUCAAAGCUCAAAAAUUCAAAGUUCGAAAAACUGAAAUUUUUGAGCUGUAUGGCUUGUAAUUUUAUAGCCACUUUUUUGACUUUUAAGGAAAAGUUUUACCUAUAAAUACAAGCUCUCAAUUUAGAGCUUGCAUCCAAUUUUGUAAAGAGAGUCGAGAGCUGUGAAAAGCAAUUCUUGCAGAGCAGAGAGUUUGUAGAGCUUAAAUAAUAAAAGCUGUUGUUUUAAUGAUUUGAGAGUUUGGAUGUAUUGGGGUUUUGGGAAGUGAGCUAAAAUACUACAAUACUUGUAACUCCUUUUCACUAGUAAAAUAUUUUUCUUCUAUCUUCACCCAUGGACGUAGGUUAAAAGCCGAACCACGUAAUUUCCUGGUGUCCUCUUUGUGCUUCUUCUUGAUUUUUUUUUCCCAAUUUUACUUUAGUUGCGGCCCUGCUUCACCCGCCAAUUUCCUAACAGCGGUAUCAGAGCUAUUAGUUGUAUUAUUUGGAGUCGGGUACUAUUCACAUACGGUACUGUUCACAUAUACGGUACUAUUCAUGUAUACGUUACUAUUCACGUGAAACGGUGGGAGCAAUUCUAGUAUUGGCGAUGCAAAGCAGGGGAAUAGUGUGUGUGAGUGGAGUAAUUGUGUGGUUUUGGACAUGUGUAAGAAAGUUCUGUCACAAAGGCGAUAAGAGCCUAAGGAGUUAGGAUUUUAAGUGGGACUAUUGUGACCCCUCCAGUCUUUCCUGGGAACUUUCUUGGUGUGCUCUCACACAUACUCACAACUAUUCAAGCUGGUACACUAGUUUUGUACAAUAUUUAUCAACAAAAUGGUGGCAAAGUAUGAAAUUGAGAAGUUUAACGGAAAUAAUUUUUCGUUGUGGAAAAUGAAGAUGAAAGUUGUAUUGAAGAAAAAUAAUUGAUUGGCAGCAAUUAGAGAAAGGCCCAUGGAGAUAACUGAUGACAAGUGGAACAAGAUAUAUGGCAACGCCAUUUUUGAUCUACACUUGGCACUUACGGAUGAAGUAUUAUUCAGUGUGGCAGAGAAAACUACAGCGAAGGAAAUAUGGGAUACUCUCACAAAAUUGUACGAGACCAGGUCACUACACAACAAAAUCUUCUUAAAGAGGAAGCUCUAUACUCUUCGAAUGACGGAAUCUACAAUGGUGACCGACCACAUCAAUACCUUGAAGACUCUAUUUUCACAACUCACAACGUUAGGUCAUAAUAUAGAGGAAAAUGAACAUGCAGAGCUUCUACUUCAAAGUCUACCAGAUUCGUAUAAUCAACUCAUCAUCAACCUGACGAAUAAUAAUCCAGCGGACAGUUUGGUUUUCGACGAUGUUGCAGCCUCCGUAUUAAAUGAGGAGAGCAGGCGGAAAAAUAAGAAAAAUAGACAAGCAAGUUUGCAGCAAGCGGAGGCGUUAUCGGCGACGAGAGGGAGAUCAACGGAACGUGGCUGGCCCCAGUGGGAGUCACAAUCGUGGUAGAUCAAAAUCCAGAAGUAAGAAGAAUGUUAAAUGCUACAAUUGUGGUAAGAAAGGGCACGUCAAGAAAGAGUGUUAGAGUAACCAGAAGAGAAAAGAUGGCAAAAAACCUGAGUCAUCAAAUGCUCAGGGGUGUGUAGCAAGUACCUCGGAUGAUGACGAAAUUCUCUACAGCGAGGCAACAACUGUUUCAGAAGGUAGAAAAUGACUAUAUGAUGUCUGGCUUAUAGACUCAGGAGCUACCUGACACAUGACCUAUCGUAGAGAAUGGUUCCACACAUAUGAACAUAUCUCAGGAGAAUAUGCAUAUAUAGGUAAUGAUCAUGCCUUGGAGAUCGUUAGUAUUGGUACUAUCAAAAUAAAAAUAUUUGAUGGUACAAUUCGCACAAUUGAGGAGGUACAACAUAUCAGCGGCCUGAAGAAAAAUCUAUUGUCUUUGGGACAAAUGGAUAGUCAUAGGUACAAAACUCAUGUGGAGAAUGGAAUUAUGUAGAUCGUUAAAGGCGCGCUUGUAUUGAUGAAGGCAGAAAAGAUCAGUGCUAAUUUAUUCAUGCUUAAAGGAGAAACACUACAGGAGGCUGAUGUAUGUGUCGCGUCAAAUGGAGAAGAGUCAACGAUGAUGUGGCAUCUCAAACUUGGCCACAUGUCAGAACAAGGCUAGAAGAUUCUCUCUGAGUGAAAAUUGCUUCCAGGGUUCAAAUCGGUAAGUUUACCAUUUUGCGAGCAUUGUGUUAUAAGUAAGCAACAUAGAUUAAAGUUCAGUAGAUCUAUUACUAGAAGUAAAUGCAUUCUAGAAUUGAUUCAUUCUGAUGUUUAGGAAUCGCCGGAUAUGUCCAUGGGAGGUGCAAAGUACAUGGUGACUUUCAUUGAUGAUUAUUGCAGGAGAUGUUGGGUGUAUUCAAUUAAGAAAAAGUCAGAUGUAUUUCCAGUGUUUAAAGAAUACAAAGCGCGGGUGGAACUUGAAUUUGGUAAAAGGAUCGAGUGCUUGGGGACAAAUAAUGGUGGAGAGUAUACAGACGGCGAGUUUCUUGCUUUCUGUAAGCAAAAAGGUAUUUAGAGGUAGUUAAUGGUAGCAUACACUCCUCAACAAAACGGAGUGGCGAAGCGAAUGAACAUAACUCUUACAAAAAGAAUAAUAGCUAUGUUGAGGACUGCUGGUCUACCCAAUUCAUUCUGGGCAGAAGCAGCCAAAACUGCCUGUUAUAUCGUAAAUCGAUUGCCAUCUACAACAAUUGGGCUGAAGACAGCGAUGGAGAUAUGGACUGGAAAGCUAGCUGAUUACUCAUACCUACAUGCAUUUGGAUGUCCUGUGUACGUGAUGUACAAUGCCCAAGAAAGAAUAAAGCUUGAUCUAAAAUCUAGAAGAUGUAUCUUCUUGGGAUAUACUGAUGGAGUAAAGGGGUAUCGUCUGUAGGACCCCACUGCCCACAAGAUCGUCAUCAGCAGAGAUGUUAUUUUUUGUAGAAGAUCAACUACAAAGGAAAGAUAGAGAUGAUGACACUGUAAAAGAAAAGUCAGAGACUGUGCCAGUAUAUGUGGAAAAUAAUCCAGAAGAUUCAGAUUCUUCUGAAGCAACACCAGAGCAUGAAGAAUAAGAAUCAGUCGAGUUCGAGGCUCCAGAAGUUCGUCGGUUAACUCGUGAAAGACGACCGCCAACGUGACACUCGGAGUAUGUCACAGAGAUCAACGUUGCAUACUGUUUUCUAACAGAGGAUGGAGAGCCUUCAACUUUCCAUAAAUCUUUAAACAGCUCAGAUGUUACUUUAUGGAUGACAACAAUGCAGGAAGCAAUUGAGGCUCUACAUAAGAACAAGACAUUGGAGCUUGUACCACUACUACGUGGAAGAAAAGAUAUUGGAAACAAAUAGAUCUACAAGAUCAAAUGUGAUGGUAAUGACCAAGUGGAACGGUAUCAUGCAAGAUUGGUGGUGAAAUGAUAUGCUCAGAAAGAAGGUAUUGACUUCAACGGAAUAUUUUCUCUGGUGGUUUGACUCACAACAGUCAGAAUAGUCUUGGUAAUGUGUGCUACAUUUGACUUACAUCUUGAGCAGUUAGAUGUGAAAAUUGCAUUUCUUCAUGGAGAACUUGAAGAAGAAAUUUAUAUGCUCCAACCAGAAGGUUUUGCUGAAAAGGGAAAGGAGAACUUGGUUUGCAGGUUGAACAAAUCUUUAUACGGUCUCAAACAGGCACCGAUGUGUUGGUAUAAGAGAUUUGAUUCCUUCAUCAUAAGCCUCAGAUACAAUAGACUCAGCUCAGACCAAUGUGCAUAUUAUAAAAGGUUUGAAGAUAAUGAUUUCAUUAUUUUGAUAUUGUAUGUGGAUGACAUGUUGGUAGCAGGCCCCAACAAAGAUCGAGUCCAAGAAUUGAAGGUAUAAUUGAUUAGGGAGUUUGAAAUAAAGGACUUGGGACUAGAAAAUAAGAUUCUAGGGAUGCAAAUUCACCGAGACAGAAAUAACAGGAAGAUUUGGCUUUCUCAGAAGAACUACUUGAAGAAAAUUUUGCGACGCUUCAACAUGCAAGAUUGUAAGUCAAUUUCUACCCCACUUCCUGUUAAUUUCAAAUUAUCCUUAAGUAUGUGUCUGAGCAAUGAAGCAGAGAAGGAGGAGAUGUCUCGAGUACCGCAUGCAUCAGCAGUGGGAAGUUUGAUGUUCGCUAUGAUAUGUACUGGAUCGGACAUUGCACAAGCAGUGGGAGCAGUCAGUCGGUACAUGGCAAAUCCUAGUGGAGAGUAUUGGAUAACUGUGAAGAAGAUUCUGAGAUACAUCAGAGGAACCUCAGAUGUUGCAUUAUGUUAUGGAGGAUCAGAGUUUACUGUCAGGGGUUAUGUGGAUUCAGAUUUUGUAGGAGACUUUGAUAAAAGAAAAUCCACUAUUGGCUAUAUGUUUACACUUGCAGGAGAAGCUGUAAGCUGAGUUUUGAAACUGCAGACCGUUGUGGUUUUAUCUACAACAGAAGCAGAAUACAUGGCAGCUACACAAGCUUGGAAGGAAGCUAUCUGGAUACAAAGGUUAUUGGAGGAGUUCGGGCACAAACAAGAGAAAAUUUUUGUGUAUUGUGACAGUCAGAGUGCCUUGCAUAUUGUAAGAAAUCCAGCAUUUCAUUCAAGGACAAAGCAUGUAGGAGUUCAGUAUCACUUCGUUCAAGAAGUAGUGGAAGACGGAAGUGUGGAUUUACAGAAAAUCCAUACGAAGGAGAACCUAGCAGAUGUUUUGACCAAGCCGAUAAAUACUGAUAAGUUUGUCUGGAGUAGAUUCUCUUGUGGCCUAGCAGAAACGUAGGCAACAUGACAGUGGCGAAGCAGAAACGAUGGUGUGGAGAUUGAUUGAUCCUCAAUCAAAUCUCCAAGUGGGAGAAUGUCAAAAGAUUUGGCUGCAACAUCUAGAAGCUGCAUCUAGAAGUUUUGAAGAAGCAAAAUGGGUGGCACAUGACUUUGAAGUUCUAGAUGCUGUAAUGUUUAGUAAAAGAAAAAGAAAAAAAUUCAAAGCUAAAAAAUUCAAAGUUUGAAAAUCUAAAAUUUUUGACCUGUAUGGCUUGAAAUUUUAUAGCCACGUUUUUUACUUUUGAGGCAAAGUUUUGCCUAUAAAUACAAGCUCUCAAUUUAGAGCUUGCAUCCAAUUUUGUAAAGAAAGUCGAGAGCUGUUAGAAGCAAUUCUUGCAGAGCAGAGAGUUUGUAGAGCUUAAAUAAUAAAAGCUCUUGUUUUAGUGAUUUGAGAGUUUAGGUGUAUUAGGGUUUUGGGAAGUGAGCUAAAAUACUACAAUACUUGUAACUCUUUUUCACUAGUAAAAUAUUUUCCUUCUGUCUUCGCCCGUAGAAGUAGGCUAAAAGCCGAACCACGUAAUUUCCUGGUGUCCUCUUUGUGCUUGUUCUUUAUUUUUUUUCAAUUUUAUUUUAGCUGCGGCCCUGCUUCACCCACCAAUUUUCUAACAUCGUCUUCACUGUCACCCUGUGCCUAGGUAAUGCGUGCAAAUCAUGGGGUUGAAUACACUAUUGCUGAAUUCAAUCCAAUUCAGUGGACAUUUGACAAUUCUCCCCAGGUGAGAUUGGACUUCUAGUUUCUUGUAUUUGUUUUUCUUCAUCCGAUGUUUUCAGGGAUACCUAUUUGGCAGUAUAUAAAAAUCUGUGAUAUCGUCUAUACAUAUACAUAUACAUCAUUGGCUUCAGUCAUUUGUGAACAUAUUGGUGGUAGUAGAUGUAUUUUUAUGAUAUCUCUAAUAAAAUCCUAAGUUUGAUUAAUUACAAAAGAAGUAUGAGCGGUGCUGGACCGGGGGGGAGGGGGGAGGAGUGGGGUGUCGGUGUGUUGGGGGUGUGCAGUGCAUGAAUAAAAGGAAAUGAUAGGGGGUGAAAGUUUGUGCUACCGACAUGCUGUAAAAUGGGGACACAAUAUUUCAAAUUAGAGAUUGUGAGAUCCUUAAUAUUGCUGACUUGUGCUUAAAAUGGAAUUCUUGAUAACUUCAAAUGUUAAAGUUCUUGGUGAAAUUUUGUACUUUCUUUUCUUUCAGAUUCUUGUGCCUAUUGCAAAUGGUUCAGAGGAGAUGGAAGCUGUUAUGAUAAUUGAUAUUCUGCGACGAGCUAAAGCAAAUGUUGCAGUUGCAUCAGUUGAGGAUAAACUAGAAAUUCUGGCUUCGUCAAAUUAAAUUAGUGGUAGAUGUGCUCAUUGAUGAGGCGGCUAAACUUUCGUAUGAUUUAGUUGUCUUGCCAGUGAGUUGGGGUGCUUACUCUUGCUUCAUAGUCUUUACCACAUUAUUGACUUACUAACUACAAUUUAUCCAUGCACAUUGCACAGGGUGGACUUGGUGGCGCUCAAGCAUUUGCGAAGUCAGAUAAAUUGGUGAAUAUGCUAAAGAAGCAAAAGGAAUCAAAUAGACCUUACGAUGCUAUAUGUGCAUCCCCAGCUUUAGUGUUGGAGCCCCGUGGCUUACUCAAGGUACGACCAUUUCUGCUUAAAUUAUUUACUCAGAUUUGGAUCACCUAAUCUGAACUUGAUGAGAGAUUAUGAUGUUGUAUGAUUUUAUGAAUGUGGUCUUAUCUCAUGUAAGUCAGUGAUGAAUUAAUUGGAGUUUGUUGACAAAUUAGAAGCUGAAAAACUGCUGCUGCUUCGUUAGUUACAUUACCCAAAGAGUUAAAAUUAACAUCACAAAUUUGUUAUCCCAAAUGAUAUGGCAUUUAUUGAGUGAUUGGUAUUAAUUGUAUUAUCUAACCCACCAACAGAUGAAUGCCGCACCAUUUGAGACGAUCUUUUGGGAUAAAAAAUUUGGGAAGUGCAGCAAAUUUUUAUGCCGAUUUUUUUUGGCUUCAUUCAUGUAAACUCCUCCCCCCCCCCCCCCAAAAAAAAAGGAAAACCAGCAAACACCAAAAAAAAAAAAUUCUGAAGUACUUCCCUUAAUAUCAUUCCUGUGUAUUUCUUUUCCCCUCAAGACAUAUUUAACUUUGGUUCAGGGUAAAAAAGCUACAGCUUUUCCUGCCAUGUGCAACAAGCUGUCAGAUCAGAGUGAAAUCGAAAACAGAGUUGUGGUUGAUGGCAACCUCAUCACCAGUAGAGGGCCAGGAACUUCAAUGGAGUUUGCACUGGCAGUUGUGGAGAAGUUUUUUGGCCGCAACAAGGCACUUGAGCUUGCAAAGAUAAUGCUUUUCACUCGCGCCUAACGUUUGUACCGGGACCUGACUACUAUUAAACUAGUGUGUUUAUUUCUGUAUUACUACUGCUUGUAGAGAGGGGAAACGGAAACUUGAAUUCAUGUUUGAAUAUGGAUUCACUGUGUCGGUUUGUACAGCAGUUUGGUUUAUAAAUAAAUGAGUUCAUAGAGUCAUUUCAAAUAUUUGGAAUAAACCUGAGUUUAGUUCUGUUAUCAAUGGUCGGAGUCCAAUUGCGAUCGACUCACUGGGAAUUUUAAUUAUGACCACCUUUCUCAUAUAUAUAUAUAUAUAUAUCAAAUGUUAACUCGAUUUACAGGAUAAGAAGGAAAAGAAAGACGUUAAGAGAGGAGCAGAGACCCAAAAAGAGUUGACCACUUUGUUGGAGCAUAAAUCUCUAGAAUAUUGAAAUAAAACACAUACCAUAUCUAGUAUUAAGUAUGUAUAUGCAAGAAGAUACAAAUUUGAAGAUCAGAUUUCUCAUUUCAAUUUAUGUUCUGCUUAGAGCAAUGGCUCUCAUUCCACAAGCACAAACAGGAAAGAGUACGCAUGAAGUUAGGAAACAAACAUAGCAAAAUUUGCAUUAACUACUUGCAGCAACAUCAUCCAAGAACUUGACUUUAAUCUUCUUGAGCUUCGCUGCAGCAUCUGUCAUAUGCAUUCUCUUGUCAGGUGACUCCAUACAACAAUCCAAAGCCAAAUCCAUGAUGCUUAAUAAACAAUCCAUUUUGGCAGAAAAAGCUUGCUCUUCUCGCACCAAAUUUGUGUCAACAACUUCACUCAAUCUGUGAGGUAAUGACUCCUUUACCCAUCUCCUUAAACUCAUUUCUCCUGUGAACAUUUCAUCGGUGGGCCUCUUUCUCGUGAAAGUUUCCAUCAAUAACACACCAUAGCUGUAGACAUCGCAUUUGGCUGAAACAAUUCCUUCUGAUCCAUACUCUGCAUUUUUUAAUUUUAAUUAUGAAAAAAAUGAUAAAACAAAUAAUUUUUUGAUAAUUAAGGUAACCCAAACUUUGCUCGUGCUUGAAAAAAGAGUAAAAAUUUUAAUUACAAUUGAAACUUUACCUGGUGCCAUAUAACCAAUUGUAGCCAUUGUCGUGGUUUGUGUCACAGAAUCUUCUCCUUCACCUAAGAGUUUGGAAAUGUGCCACCAUAUUUUCAUCCAAGAGAAUGUUGGUAGGCUUCAAAUCACAGUGAAUUAUAGGUGCCGACGAAUGACCAUGACGGAGAUAUUCAAGAGCCGACCCCACAUCUAUCAUUAUAUUCAACCUCUCUAGAAUGUCUAAGAAAUAGUUGUGAGAAUACAACCACUUCUCUAGACUACCAUUCGGCAUGAACUCAAGUACCAAUGCUUUGAAAUCUGGAUUAGAACAACUGCUAAUGAUCUUUAUGAGAUUUCGAUGACGAACAUUCCGUAAAACUUCACAUUCAGAAUCAAAACUCCUAAAUGCUCUCUCUAGUUGCAGAUUGAAAAUCUUUAUCGCAACAUAAGUCCCGUUGGAAAUGGUUCCUUUAUAAACUGAUCCAAAGCUACCUGUACCCAGCAAGUUACAUUCAUUAAAUUCAUCAGUUGCUCGUUGAAUGUCUAGGUACGAUGUUCUUCUCCAUGUUGCAAGAGGUAGGAAAUCUUCGUGAUCUGAUUUUUUUGUACUCCUCUUUCGGCAUCUUAUGUACAUAAUGAUGAUAAUUACUAUAAGUACAGAGGAUACUAUCGGAGGCAAAAUAUAUUUAAGGACAAUUAGAGCAACGUUCUUGGUGCUUUUGCUGUCACCUUGUUUGCAAGGUGGGACUCGGAGUUUAGGUGGACCACAGAGUGCAUAAUUUUUGAAAAAUGAUUCAACUGACAAGUUUUUAAAAGAUCCCUUAACAGGAAUUUACCCUUCUAGCCUAUUAUGAGACACAUUAAAUUGUUUGAGAUGUGAAAGUGUCUCCAAUGACUUGGGAAUUUUUCCAGAGAGAUUGUUGCCGGAGAGAUCUAAGGAUUCUAAGCUUAUCAAACUGCCAACUGAUUCAGGAAUAGGUCCUUGAAAUUGAUUACUAGCCAAGGAUAGAAUUUCUAGAUCUACGAGGGCACCAAUAGUUGAUGGAAUAUCACCUGAUAAUUGAUUCCUUGAUAAAUCUAAAACUCUCAAGACCUUUAACUUUUGUAUAUUGGAAGGGAGAGAAUCAUUUAAUGAAUUUGACGACAAGUUUAUCAUCAGGAUGUACUCAAGGCUCCACAAGGAUGACGGUAUACUAGAACUGAGCUUGUUGGAGCCUAAGUGGAGUUCUCUUAGAGAUGUCAAACUCGCCAGGCACGGUGGUAUAUGUCCAGAGAGCUUAUUUCCACUUAAGUUUAAUAUAUUCAACCUCUCCAAAUGGCAAAGAUCAUGAGGAACGUAUCCUUGCAAAUUAUUCUCAGGGACAUAAAAACCUUGUAGCUGCUGUAGUGUGCCUAUGGAUGUUGGAAUAGUUCCAUUCAAGUCAUUGAAGCCGAGUCUUAAGGCGAUCAAGCCACGUAAAUUACCAAUUUCUUAUGGAAUGCUGCCCCCGAGCCUGCACUCGAAUGCAUAAAUAUUCUGAAGAGAAGCAGAGAAAUUUCCAAUUAAUUGUGGAAGGAUGCCACCUAAUGGAUUAGAAGCUAAGGCUAAAUUGGAUAGAUUUCUGCAAUUAGUCAAAGAAGAGAGAAAACUCCACUGAUCUGCUGAAGAGGAUUCUGUCGUCAAGUUAUUCAUCAUAACGUUGAGCACGCUGAGGUGUCUCAAGUUGCCAAAUGUAUUUGGAAUAUGGCCCGAGAAUGAGUUAAAGCCCAAGUCUAGGCCAAUGAGUUUAGUAGCAUUGGUAAUAGAGUUGGGAAUUUUCCCUAUAAGAUUAUUGGUCGACAAGGCUAGAUACUCUAUGUUCCGAAGCGAGUGGCCAAUCGUUGACGGUAAGCGGCCUGAGAGUUGAUUGCUCUCUAGAGUAAGGAUUCUCAUGGUUGAAAUAUUGAAGAUCGUGGGUGGAAUGAGGCCACUUAAUUUAUUAUCAGCAAGAUCAAGAUUCUUCAAAUUUUGUAGACUGCCAAUCUCGGUUGGAAUUUGACCUGCCAUCAGGCCAACAUUGAGAAGUCAUUGAGCUUUUAACUUAAGGUGAAUUGAGUUUGACAAUGUUACCCUUCAAAAUGUAAAAUGAUCAAAUUAAAUUUAUUACAUAAUAAUUUCAGCCAAUAAUGUUCUUUAAAAUAUUUCAUAGAUAACUCUGCAAAAUAUGCACGCAAAUGGAAAAUUAUGCUUUAAUUACAAGAGGUGGUGGAACGUACCUUGAAGAUUGCAAGACCAAAGACCCAGAUUCACGAGUUUUCUCAAAUUUCCAAUCCUUGAAGGAAUAGUUCCACCAAUAAUAUUGAACUCUGCACGCAGCAUCUCUAGCCUUGAUAAGUUGAAGAGAGAAUUAGGGAUGGGACCUGUGAAAUUGUUAUAAUCAAGUCUCAAUAUUCGAAGUUUAGAUAAGACACCAAUCCAUGAUGGAAAGCUUCCGCUCAAUUUAUUGUAAGCGAGACUCAUGACUCUGAGUCGACGUAAUUGCCCCAAUUCUUUCGGCAGAUGGCCAUGAAAAUUGUUCUCACUGAUGUCAAGAGACACUAGAAAUGAGAGAUUUCCGAAGUGUAGUGGAAUCGUGCCUCCGAGACCCAUAUCUGAAAGAUUCAAGGCAGUGACUCUUUGAUGGCGUGAACCACAAGAGAUACCAGCCCAGCUACAUAUUGGAUAAGAUAUAGACCAAUUAUUUGCCAGGGCACUCCGAUAAUCAAAAGCAUGGGCUUUGAAUGCUAGAAGAGAUGAUUGAUCUGUUGUUAAAUCGUUUAAAGUCGUCAUAGCUAAGCUGGCAAUGAGAUAUUGUAACACCAACAUAGGAACAAACAAGAAUAUAAACGCAUAUUGGUCGUUUUUAAUAGUAGUUGCAAGGCGAGAUUGAUACAAGUUUUAAGUGAAGGAAAUUAGCAUAUACUUAUAAUGAGACAUAUGAAUUUGAAAAUAAGAGCAGAAAAAAAAUACAGGAGACUUGCGAAUUGUUAUAUUCUCUCAUUGAGCGAGCCGUCCAAGAAAACGCAUUUAUACUUGAACCCUAAAUAAAGGCCUUAUGGCACUUUAAUUGCCAAAAGGAAGAAGAUGUUCUUUUUCUAAGGCUUAUGGCAACCAUAAUAUGUUCUUUUUCUUUUCUCUAAAAAGAAAAAAAAAAAAAAAAGGCAACCUUCACUUGACUUGGUCUAAUAAUUAUCACUAAACAAUUAAUAAUACUAAGGGUCAGUGGCAUCCAGCUUUAAAAUAACGACAUAAUUGGGGUAAGUUGUGUUUUAGAAAUAAAGAAAAUAGAUAACUAUACCUCCAUAAUUUGAUGAAAUAAUCAUAUAGACUUUCAAAUUUUUAAGAAUGGAUACUAAAACCCUGUUAUGUUACUUUCUACAGUUUAUUUAGAUGUCAAAUGCCUUUUUUUUUUUUCUCCUUUUUUCCACUGUGGAUGUCAAAUGUAAAAUUUAUUGUUAUUCCAAUAUCAUGUCAUCACUUGCUUCUAUACAUGGAACGAUAUAUUGACUGUUUUUCCAAAGUUUUAAAUUGAAUUAAAAACAUUCUAAUUAACCUUUAAAAAAAAGUCAUCCAACCAAAUAUAAAUCUUCUAAUUAACCUAAAAAUAGCUACGCCCCCUAUUAAUUUGAAUUAAAUAAAUCUUCAUUUUUGUCAUGAUUUUGGAUCGCCAAUGGGGUGGAUAUAUCCAACCAGAUCCGCCUCAUUGGCAUUCCUAUAUAUUCUGGAAUUGGAAGAGUAUCAACGACUUAAUGUGUAAUUCUAAAUUUGUAACGUUUAAUUCUAAUUUGAGGAUUCAAAUGAAUUUAUGAUGAUCUAAAAGGGGACUGAAGAUUGGCAUGCAUACACACAUACACACAUACAUAUAUGUAUAUAUAUAUAGAGAGAGAGAGAGAGGGGUAAUAUAAUAACAUUCUUCUUGAUGAAGAUUUUUGUGCCAUACGAAUUAAAUAAAGUGUUGUGUCGACGUUCGAGGCUAGAUUGGUUACAUUGCUUCAGAGGUGUUUAGUAGAAACUUUGUUGAGGCAUCACAUAAUUGAAAUUACUAGAUUUAGCGAGAUGUAUAUAUUUUCCACAUCUUCGAGCAGGUGUUUAGCAGGAUAAGCAUCGAGGAAAGUGAAAUUGCUAAGAAGAUGAAUAUUGUUGUUUUGUGGUGUAUACGGACUCGUCCAUCGGAUAGGUCGCCCAUGAACAGAGUGAUAGAAAUGUUAUUGCAAAGAAGCAGACUGACUAGCAGUGACGCUUUGAAAAGUCCACCGGACAUCUUCUCCUCCAAGACCACCAAUAUAUUCUUCCACCAUUCAACGUCGUGACGUGGGGAUCGGAAUUAAAUUAUAGGAUGCUUGUAAGUUUCCUUUGUGGAACUUGUGAAUUUGUGAUGGCAAAAGUCGAUGAUGUAUGCAACUAGCCGGCCCGUGUAGAGUCCGUUUGACUCAUAAAUAUUUGUCACUUUCACUCUUUUUCAAAACCCAAAAGCACGCUAAAUCUUAAUCUUAAAACAAUUUUUGAUUGAGUGCUGACAUUUUGGGCUUAUCUUUAAGUAAUCUUAUACCACGCAUGCAUUUUUGUCGUUGUGCGGUCAUCGUUACUUCUAAAGAUCGUAAUCUUUAAGAAAAAAAUUACUUCUCUUGAAAGUGAAAGCAGGGCAGCUAUUGGCGUAUUGCAAUGCAGCUGCUAUGUAUAGUAGUCAAUUCUUGAAAAGAACUAGUUUUCUUAAAUUGUAAAUGGUCCCCUUUAUGACUGGGAGAUUUUGAACAAAAUGAAUAUGAUGAAUUCUUUCCUUGAAGUCUCAUCUUUCAUAAUGAUUUGGAAAUAAAGAUAUUACCAUCUCUGGCUAAAUGUUUACUCUUGAUUUGGACCACCUAAUCUGAACUUGAUGAAAGAUUAUGAUCUUGCCUUAUUUUAUGGAUGUGGUCUUAUCUCACUAAGUCAGUAAUGAAUUAAUUAAAGUUUACUGUCAAAUUACGAACUCAAAAACUGCUGCUGCUUCAUUAUUCACAAUACCCAAAUUCAGUGCAGAACUUAUUAUAAGUUUUCCGAAAGUUUUAUGCUUUCUUUCCCCCAAAUCCCAAGUGCUUCCUGUAAUAUCAUUCCCCUGUAGAUGUCUUCUCCUAAGACAUGUUUAACUUUGGUUCAGGGUAACAAAGCUAUAGCUUUUCCUGCCAUGUGCAACAAGCUACUAAAUUGGAGUAUUUAUGAGUUGAUAACAAGCCAUUUUAAAUAUUUGCACCAAAAAAAAAAAAAAAGGUGAGUGAUGUCGAGUUCUAAUUUCAAUGUUCAGAGUAGAAUUUUGAUUACUGGAAAUUUUAAUUUAUGAAGUUGAACUAAGAAUUUGUUAUAAUAUAUUCCACCUUCCUAUACAGUCAUCUGGAAUAAUAAUAUAUCAAAAACAGUAAUAAGUCGAUUUGCAGGGUAAGAAAGAAAAGAAAGACGCUACGAGAGAAGCAGAGAUUCAAAGACUUCACCACUUUGUUGGAGGAAAAAUUUCAUAAGUCUCCAGAAUAUUGACAUAAAACACAUACCAUAUCUAGCAUUAAGUGUAUUUAUAUAUGUCCAAAGAUAAAAAUCGAAGAUUAGAUUUGUCAUUUCAAUUUAUGUUCUGCUCAAAGCAAUGGCUUUUAUUCCACAAGCACAAACAAGAAAGAGUACGCACAAAGUUAACAAGCACACAUAGCAAACAUGACAUCAACUACUUGCAGCAGCAUCAUCCAGAAACGUCACUAUAAUCUUCGUAGAUGCCCCCUGUUCUGGUGAUUCCAUGCAAAAAUCCAAUGCCGAAUGCAUGCUGCUUAAUAAACAACUCAUUUUAGCAGAAAAAGCUUGCUCUUCUCUCACCAAGUUUGCAUCGACAACAUCACUCAAUGCAUGAGUUAAUGACUCCCUUACCCAGUCUCUUAAACUUAUUUCUCCCGUAAAUAUUUCAUUUGUCGGCUUGUUUCUGGUGAAAGUUUCCAUCAAUAAAACACCAUAACUGUAGACAUCACCUUUGGCCGAAAUCAUUCCUUCUAAUCCGUACUCUGCAUUUUUUUGUUUCAAUUGAUCAAAUAGAUGUGACAUCAUAAAACAAAUGAUAAACAAAUAAUCUUUUGACAGUCAAGAUGGCCCAAACUUUGACUGUGCUUAGAAAAGAGCGGAAAUUUGAAAUUAUAAUUGAAACCUUACCUGGUGCCAUAUAACCAGUUGUAGCUACUGUCAUGAUUUGGGUCACAGAAUUUUCUUCAUCACCUAAGAGUUGGGAAAUGCCAAACUCACAUGUGCCACCAUAUUUUCAUCCAAGAGAAUGUUGCUAGGCUUCAAAUCACAAUGAAUUACAGGUGCUGAUGAAUGAUCGUGAUGGAGAUAUUCAAGUGCCAGCUGCACAUCUAUCAUUGUAUUCAUCCUCUCUAGGAUAUCUAGGAAAUAGUUGUGAGAACACAACCAUUUCUCAAGACUACAAUUGAGCAUGAACUCAAGCACCAGUACUUUAGAAUCUGGAUCGCAACAGCUGCUAGUGAUCUUUAUGAGAUCUUGAUGACGAACAUUCCACAGUACUUCACAUUCAGAAUCAAACCUCCUAAAAGCUCCCUCUAGCUGCAGAUUGAAAACCUUUAUUACAAUGAUAGUCACAUCAUAAAGUGUGCCUUUAUAAACAUAUCCGAAGCUAUCCGUACCUAGCAGGAUACAUUCAUCAAGGGUGCGUUUGGGAUUGGGGUUGGGCAGCUGUAGCUUAAAAGCUACAGCACUAAAGUGUUUGGUAAACACUAACUGCUGUAGCUUUAAAGCUAUGUUGAUAUGAUUUUUCACUUGUAUAAUAUAAAAUUUAUUAUAUCUUUAAUAAUCUUAUCAAAAUUAGUAUUUAAAAUUUAUAUUUACUAUAUAUUAUUAACUUUUGUUUCAUAAUUACAGCUUUUUUUUCACAACAGCUGUAGCUUAAAAGCUACAGCACCUCAAUCCCAAACACACCCUAAAUCCAUCAGUUGCUCGUUGAAUAUCAUGAUAGGAUAUUCUUCUCCAUGUUGUCGAAGAGAACAAAUCUUCUUUAUCUGGAGUUCUUGUUUUCCUAUUUUGAAAUAUUAUGAAGAAUCAUAACAAUUGUUAUUAGUACAUUGGAUAUAAUUGAAGGCAAAGUAUAUUUCCGGACAAGCAGAGUAGCAUUCUUGGAUCCUUUGCUAUUAUCUUCUUUGCAAGGUGGGACUUGAAGUCUUGGUGGACCGCAUAGUGCAUAAUUCUCAAAAAAACGAUUGAGCUGAAAUGUUUUUAAAAGGUCCUUUGAUAGGAAUUCCCCCUUCUAGCUUGUUGUGAAAAUUUUAAUAUACUCGCAAGCACACGAAUUUAGAAAUAUAAUAAUGGUAACGAGGGCGAUCCCACGUGGAUUGUUAUAAAUUGAAAAGUUUAAUUUAAAUCUAAAAUUAAUAUUAAUCAUAACCUAGUUGAGCGAAUUGAGUUUUAAAAGAAAUUAAACUAAUUAAACUAAGAAAACAAUUAAAGUAAAUGAGAUUUCAAUAAGAUAAAAAUUACCAAGGUUUCAGAAUCCACCACUAUUCAACUAGUAAUUAUCUAAUUAUUAAUUAAUCCCUAAUUUUAGAGUGACAACUCGAAAUCAAUUUAUGUCAUCUCAUGGAUACAACAAUUAAGUCAAAUAAAAUUAAUCUUGUGUAGGUUCUUUUUCUGCUUAAUAGUAUGAUAUCUAAGUAUUCCAUGUAAACAUAUUGAGUAACAAAGAGUCAAAGUUUUCCUAAGUACUCUGUGUAAAUAAUUUAAUAAAAGACAUAGAAUCAAAGAUAAUCAUAUAUAAACUUUAUAGAUUCAAGCAUAGAUUUAAUCGAAUAUUAAUCGUAACAAUCAAUAAUACAUGACAGAAUUAAUGAAAAGAUUUUAAUAACAUCUAAUUAAUCAUGUAAAAUAAAAACCAUAAUCAUCAAAGAAUAUCUAUAGGGAAUUAAAUAAAUAAAAAGAUAAUUAUUUCAUUGAAUAGAGUUUCAUCCUUAAGCUCAGUAUAAGAAAAUUAACUAGACGUACUUAAAUAGGGAGCAACAAAAAAAAUAAAAUCAGCCAUGAAAAGCCGAACUGUUGCAGUCGGAUUUCUCCCUAAUCGCGUCUGCGCUUUUCUUUUCUUUUCCUCUGGCGGCUGCCCCUCCUCUCCAAAAGCCAAAAGCUUGCUUUUAUAUUUAGUCUUUAAAAUGGGCCCCACCUCUUAAAUUCUAAAAAGGGCUUGGCCCUUUUAUUUGCUUCGUCUUGCACGUGCACUCCACUUGGAAUUUUCACUCUUUUUUUUAACGCCAUACAAUUGCUUCUCACGUGAUGGCCAUAAUCUUCUUUAUCUUCAUGUGCAUGGAUGAAUGAACUUGUCUUGAAUUCACAUGCAUAUUUGCCUAAUUGCUCCUAAAAUCAAUCAAUUAAUACCUCCAAAAUUUAGCUCUUUUAUGUCCUUUUUUAUCCAUAAUCUCCAAUUAAUCCCCUACUCAAUAAAAUAAUUCAAUUAAUUAAAAAUAACAAAUAAAAAUAACUAGCAAUUAUAUAAUUAAGGGUAAAAUAUGUAUGUAUUAUAUACUCAUCAUAGCUUAUUGUGAGACACAUUACGUUGUUUAAGAUAUGAGAGUGCCUCCAUUGACUUUGGAAUUUCUCUAGAGAGAUUGUUGCUAGGGAGAUCCAAAGAUUCCAACCUUAUCAAACUACCAAAUGAUUCAGGGAUCAGACCAUAAAAUUGGUUUCUAGCCAAGGAUAAAGUUGCUAGAUCUUUGAGGCCACCAAUACUUACUGGUAUAUCAACUGAUAAUUGAUUUCUUGAUAAAUCAACUCUAUUAAGACCUUUAAGUUUUGUAUAUCUGAAGAUAGAGGACCACUUAGAGAAUUUGUUGACAAGUUUGCAUACAAGAUGUACUCAAGACUCCACAAGGAUGAUGGGAUACUAGAAGUGAGCGUGUUGGAGCUUAAAAAGAGUGUUCUUAGAGAAGUCAAACUACCCAAGCAUUGCAGUAUAUGCCCGAAGAGCAUAUUUUGAUUUAAAAAUAAACCAGUCAACCACUCCAAGCGGCAAAGAGUUAAAAGAUAAAAUGCUCUGUAGAUUUUGUUUGUUUACUUAGAAAACAGGAGAGAAAGUUUAUUGACUUAGAGAAAAUACAAAGCUCAACAUAUUCAUUAAUUACAAUACAACACUAUUUAUAUUAGUGUGUAAAAUCUUCUCAAGGUUACAAGUUUACAAAACUUGUGAGCACAGAUUCUGGUAUUCAUAACAAACUUUUGGAGGGAAGCUAAUUAGCUUUCAACUAACUGCAAAACUAACUUUCCAGCAUGGCUUGAUGACUCAGCAGAUGACUCAGCAUUUUAUUCUUAACAUGCCCCCGUAAGCUCAAGGUCGUGGACAGACAUUGAGCUUAGUUCGCAUAUAGGCAAAAUGAUCAAAGCUCAGAGGUUUUGUAAGCACAUCAGCUAACUGAUUAGAACUGGACACAUGCUCAAUGAAUAGCUGCUUAUUAGCUAUGUGUUCUCUGACAAAAUGUCAAUCCAAUUCUAUAUAUUUAGUUCUGGAAUGAUACUUAGGAUUGCUGACCAAAGCUUCUGCACUGUUGUUAUCACAAUGAAGAGCAAGAGGUUUGUGGAGUGAUACUUUGAGCUCUUUCAACAGAUAUGUAAUCCACAAAACUUCAGACAUAGCCAAGGCUAAAGCUCUAUACUCAGAUUCAACAGAUGAUCUGGAAAUAAUGUUUUGUUUCUUAGAUGACCAAGACACAAGGUUUGAUCCAAGAUAAACACAAUACCCUCCAAUAGAUCUCCAGUCAUCUGGAUCAGACCCCCAAUCUGCAUCAGAAGAUGCUAUGAGAAUUGGAGAGCUUGACUUGAAGAACUAAAGUCCAAAAUGUGUUGUACUCUGCAGAUAUCGUAACACCCUCUUGCAAGCCUGCCAAUGCAAAGUAGUUAGAGCAGCUAAAAACUGGCUCAAUUUAUUUACUGUGAAUGCAACAUCUGGUCUGGUCAGUGUCAGAUAUUGCAGAGAACCAAUGAUGCUUCUGUAAAGUGAAGAAUUUUCAAAUGUGCAGCCUUUGUCCUUCUGCAACUUAUCAGCAACACUGAUGGGUGUAUUACAACCUUUUUUUUUUUUUUGAGAAGGGUGUAUUACAACCUUUACUUCCAAGCAUUUGAGCUUUUCUCAAGAUAUCACCAACAUACUUAGUCUGAGAUAGAUGUAAUCCUUCAGCAGAUGGAGUCACUUCUACCCCAAGGAAAUAAUUGAAAUCUCCUAAAUCUUUAAGUGCAAACUCUGAGCUGAGUUGACUGAUAACCUCUGUAAUGUAAACAUUACUAGAGACUGUUAUUAAGAUAUCAUCUACAUAGACAAGGAUGAUUAGAACAUCACAUCCAAUAUGCUUAAAAAAUAAUGAGGUUUCUGACUUGGAAGACCUGAAACCCCACUGAACUAGAGAUCCUUUCAGCCUAUCAUACCAAGCCCUGGGAGCCUGUUUAAGACCAUAAAAGGCUUUAUGUAAUUUGCAGACAUGAUUGGGAAACUGGGAAUUGGUAAAGCCUUCUGGCUGAGGCAUAAACACAUCUUCAGUAAGCAUGCAAUUAAGAAAGGCAUUGUUAACAUCUGAUUGCCGAAUUGGCCAACAAUUCAUGACUGCUAAGCUGAGAACAAUACGAACAGUGCAGGGUUUAACAACGGGACUAAAGGUUUCAAAGAAAUCUACUCCAUAAGUUUGAUGAAACCCUUUUGCAACCAACCAAGCCUUAUACUUGGAAAUGCUGCCAUUUGGGUUAUACUUCACUCGAAAAACCCACUUAUUGCCAACAAGUUUUGUAGCUGUUUCAGCUGGAACUAAUGUCCAGGUGCCAUUUUUCUGCAAAGCAUUAUACUCAUCUUGCAUAGCCAUCUUCCACUUUGUAUCAACCAAGGCUGCUUUAACACUCACUGGUUCAAGGUCUUGGGUAGCUGUAAGGUAGGUCUUUGGUUUAAAAACACCAGAUUUGGCUCGAGUAACCAUUGGAUGAGUGGAAAUUAUAGGAUGAGGAGAUGGUUGUGAUUCAACAUAAGGAUUGGAUAAAGAAUUAUGUGAUGAAGAAUGUGGUCAUGAUGAGUUAGAGGAAUCUGAUAUUGGAGAGGGACAAUGAGAAUAUGGAGCUUGUUGAGGUUGUUGAGGUGAAUGUGAAGAUGGUGAUAUUGGUAACACUACUGAAGCAGGAGAUAUAGCAGAUGACUGAUGCAAGCCAUUGUCAUUGAGGAUACAAAUAGAUGGAGAGUAGGAUGAUAGAGACUCAGAGGAAGAUUCAGAUGAGAAGAACAACUCUGAGUAGGGAAAAUCAGACUCAUUGAAAAUAAUAUGAGCUGCAACAUAGACUUUGCCUGAUUUUGUUAGACAUCUAUACCCUUUGUGAAGAGGACUGUAUCCUAAGAACAACCUUUUUUUUUUAAUGAAAGUCAAGCUUGUGGUUAUUGUAAAGUCUGAUAAAAGGGUAACAAGCACAGCCAAAAACUCUGAGAAGUUGGUAAUUUGGUGGCUGAUUAUGAAGUUUUUGAUAGGGAGAUAAGUUGUUAAAUGUAGUGGUAGGCAUUCUAUUAAUGAGAUAAGAGGCUGUAUGAAAAGCCUCCCACCAGAAAGAAAUAUGCAUUUUUGCUUGAGCAAGAAGUGUUAAUCCAAUUUCAACUAAGUGUCUAUGCUUUCUCUCAACAACACCAUUUUGGUGAUGUGUAUAGGGACAACUAAAUCUAGCUUGGAUGCCUUCUUAUUGAAGAAAGGACUGAAAGAUUUUAAAUUCACCUAAGCUCUUAAAGUUUUUUAAAGUAGUAAGAGCAUAUGAUUUCAAUACUAAGGGAAAGAUCCAACAAUAUCGGGUGAAAUCAUCAACAAAGGAGAUAUAGUAUCUAUAACCAUCCAAUGAUAAGACAAGUGCUGGUCCCCAUAAAUUUGUGUGUAUCAAUUCUAAAGGACAUUUUGUUUUGAUUUCAGUAGCUGGAAAAUGCAAUUGGUGUAACUUUCCAAGUUGACAGGCAUCACAGAAAUGAAAAAUUGAUUUGUUAACAUGAACUGACAGUAAACAAUUGUUCCUGAGAAUAGUUUGUAUAACAUGUUUGCUUGGAUGACCAAGUCUGUUAUGCAAUACAUUAGCUGACAUAGAACCUGAAGCUUGAAAGCUUAUAGGAGAUGUAGACUCAAAACAAAAGCCAUUAUUUGAAUUUUGAACAGAAGUAACUGCAUUAUUGAAAGAAAGGGUUGACAUCAUAGAACUAGGAUGACACAUUUGCAGAAAAGAAGAGGAAUGAGAGAUAUAUUCCUCUUUUGACAGUAGCUUGUACAGACCAUCUUUAGCAAUCCCUUGAGCUAACAGAGUGCCCUUCGCCUUGUAUUUUAGAAAGCAAAUGUAACACCCCAAAAAUUACCCAUGAAAACACAAGGGUAAAAUUGGAAUGAAACCUCACAUCAUUUAUUCUUAUUAAUAAAUCUCAAGAUAAACAAUCAUUAUUCAUACUCCAACUGAAUCCUUACAUAAAACAUAUGAAAUAAAGUCUCCAAAGUAAAGUCUCUAAUCCAAAAUAAAAAGUCUAGCCAAAUUUAAUCUUUAAAGCAACUCCAAAGAUCCACUAAGAAAAAUUCUCCAUCUAAGCACCCAAGCCACAUUUCUAAUCAAUCUGCAAAAUAUUAGAGACGAGGGGUGAGCCGUCAACUCGGUAAGCAGAUCCAUGCACAAUAUUUGAAAACCUUUGUCAUGUAUCGUUAAACAUUUUAUAACAACAUCUUCAUUUAGCAUAAGGGGUGGAUUCAUAUAAAAACAUUAAAACAUUUAUAAAAACAUUAAAGCGUAAACAUUGGUAGCUCAUGCCUCAUAGUCAUCAUCAUUCAUCAUUCAUCAUUCAUCAUUCAUCAUUUAGGGUGUUAUACCCUGCAUUGUUCCUCAUUCAGGGUACUAUACCCCACAUUGUUCGUAACAUCCUUGUGCACAAGAUCAUCAUCAUACCAGCAAGCUGGCCAUAACAUUUCAUAACAUCAUAACAUUAACAUCAUAUACAUUACUACGGACUAUGAGCCAAAACAUUUUUGAAUCCACCAUACAUUCUUUCAUAAAUAGCAGUUAAAGUCUUCUAAAACAUUUAAGAACCUUUCUUUGAUCAUUUAAUUCUUUUAGAAAAUUCUUUAAGAAAACAUUUUGUUUAAGAAAACUAAUUUCUUAAGAAAAAUUAAUUUUAAAAUAAUUUUAUAUAAAUUCAUUUAAAAGUGUUUUUAUUUUACAAAAUUAAUUUAAAUAUUUUAGAAAUCAGUUUUGUAAAAAUUUCCAUUUAAACAUAAUUUGUAACGUAAAUUGCAUUUAUUAUAAAGCACAUCAUGCAUGAAUCUACUUACCUCGAUCCGUAGCAAUCAAUUCAAUACCUCAAGAACAACCAACGAGCUCACCCUCGUCCUAUAAUCAUCAUAAAAAUAUUCUUAUCAAUAUCAUCUCUAACCUUAAACAUAAUCCCAAUCAUCCUUAAAUCAUAGACACUAAUACUACCUUAAUACUUAUACAUAUUCUAAACAUAUCCUAUACUUAUGAGUAUCCUGCACAUGCUGAUUUUUAAUAACCUAUACACAUGUCGGAAAACCAUGAAAAUUUACAGAGGCACUGUGAACAUGCAUAGCAUUGCAUACAAUAUUUCACAAAAAAAUCAGCACAAGUCAAAAUCGAGUCAGAAUAUUGACCUUUCACCAAAGUUAGAGCUGGCAAAAUGGGUCAUCGGGUCGUGUUCGUGUCGUGUCAGCUUCGUGUCGUGUCAAAUUUAGGUCGACCCAAACCCGACCCAUUUAAUAAUCGUGUCAAAAUAUUGAGAUCCAAACCCGACACGGAAAAAUAACCGGGUUACCCAAUAACCCGUUUAAUAUCUAUAUAUUGAACAAAAGUUACAUCAAAUAUUUACACACUAUCAUACAUACGUAUGUACAUAAAUACAUACAUACAUACAUACAUACAUAAUUUAUCGAUAUUAUAAAAUAUACAUAUCUACCAAUAUAUUACACAUGUACACUAUUGAGUUUUAAUUAUAUAUAUAUAUAAUAUUAUAUAUCAAUAUUAUAAAAUAUACAUGUCUAUCAAUUUUUACACAUUUACACUAUUGAAGCUCUAAAUGUAUGUAAAAUUUUAUAAAUAAAAUAUUGUGUUUAUAUUCACCCUUUUAAAGAAUAAAAAAAAAAAGAAAAUCAUCUCUAAUAUUUGAGUUUUAAUUAUAAGAAUAUGUAAAUUAUUUUAAAAUAGAAAAUAUAAUCGGGUCAUUGAUCGGGUAAAUGGGUCAAGAAUUUUAACCCAAACCCGACACAGAAAAAAAUCGUGUUGACCCAGACCCGACCCAUUUAAUAAUCGUGUUAAAUUUGACGACCCAUACCCAUUUAUUUAUGUCGUGUUCGUGUCGGGUAAUCGGGUCGUGUCAAAUUUUGCCAGCUCUAACCAAAGUAACAAAAACUGUCCAGCACUGACCAAAACAGACCUUUUCCAAUUAGAAAAUUCAUAAAAUAUUCUUUGGUACUCGAAAUAAUAUGUUUCUUUUUUCUAAUUACAGAAGACACAUUCAAAAAGCAUAUAAUUAAAAUUCAUAAUUUUUGGACUCCUGAAACUAUUUUAAAACGUUUUAUUUCCGAGAACAUCUAACCCGUCCAGACAAUUCCAGAUUUGAAAACAGAAUUUCAAAAAUUCGUAUCUUUUAUUUUACAUGCCCAAAAAUCGUGAUUCCAGUUUUUAAAGACAGAGGAAAGAUUCAAAUUUCAUUAUAAAAUCCUAACAUGGCCUGUAAUAUUCAUAAACUAGCCCAACUGUUACACGUUUCAGCUUCUGAAAUUCUGGAAAACAGUUUCCAGAUUUGCAGCAGCCAUAUGUUACGAUUUUUAGUAAUUCAACCAUAAAGAAUAAAACUACGAAAUUAAACAUGCAAGCAUAGGAGACAUAGAUCUGUUGGCAAAAAAAUCGGCAUAAUUUUAAAGGAUGUGUAACCUUAUAGAAAAAUUUCCAGAGUUGAGAACCGCUGCUGAAAAUCGGAAUUUUCCAGCACCAGUAACCCAACUUCGAAAACCCAGAACAAUUUGCAUACUCAGACGAUUUCAACACAAAGCCUAUCAAUGGAAAGCCUGGGAUGUCUAGUUCCAUGAUAUGUAAGAUAUUCAAGUGAUUCUAAAUAAAGAAAACGAUUUCAAGCAAGGAAUAGAGAGUGUUCAUAUCAUCACAACAUUACAAACACACAUAUAUUACCCAAAUCAUACUACAAGUAAUUAAAGGCCAACAAUUCCAUAAAAAUAAAUCAUAUAAGUCGAAGAAAUACUUAAUACCUUAAGGCAAACACUAAGAAAGAAGUGAUAAAACUUUCUUUUCCUUCUCCAAAGACUUAUAUUUCCUUCUUUUCUUUCUAGGGUUUGUAACGGUGUAAAAAAAUAAAAGACGGCUUCUUAAAAAAGAUGGUUUUCUCUUAAAUACUAGGUAAUUAAUAAAUAUUUAAAAAGAAAAAAAACUAAUAACUUACGUAACUUAUUUAAAACAAUCCGAUAAAUUUUACUCACACACAAACACUCAAUAAUAACUAUCCUACUCAAUUUAAUAAGGGCAAAAGAGGAAAAUUAAAUAAAUAAAAUUGGGCGUUACAGCAAACAUCAAAGAAAAAUUCAAUGGUUAUAUCAUUAUCAGUGAGGAGUUUGGAAAUACUAAUGAGGUUUUUGGUAAUUUGAGGAACACAUAAAAUAUUAUGUAGUUGUAAACAGGUGCCAAAAGAAGUGUAAAGUUGAGUAUAACCUAUGUGAGUGAUUCGAAGGCCUUGGCCAUUACCAACAGUUAGUAAAUUUGAGCCAAAAUAGAUCUUACCAUCACUCAGAUUCUGAACUGUGUUGGUUAAGUGAUGAGUUGCACUACUGUUCAGAAACCAUCCUUGGUCAGCAACUCCCUCAGAUGUUGUUAUGAAGGCUGCUCUUGGUCCCUAAUGCUGAUUAGAGAAGUGAUUUGGAGCUGGAGCUGGAAAAUUUGGAACAAAAUUCCUGUUGAACCUGUCUCUGCACUCACCUGCUGUGUGAUUAAACCUGAAGCAUAUUUGGCAAGCAACACCAGUUCCCUGAGCAAAAUUCUUUCCAGCGCCUCCUGAAUUGAAACCACCUCUGCCAUAAUUGUUAUUGAAGCCACCAGGACCAGGAAAUCCAUUGUUAAAUCCACCAGCAAAACCUCUGAAGUUGUUAUUAUUCCAGUUUCCUGUUCCUGGAUUGAUUCCUUGAUAACCACCUCUUCCAUUACCACCAAAACCACCUCUUCCACCAGAAUUAUUGUUCCAAUUAUUUCCUCCAGCCUUGUUCUAGUUGUUUUGAUUAUUAUUAUUACCUUUCUUUGAAAAAUUUCCAGCCUGAGCUAUAUUUGCUGCAUAAUUGUUCUUGGUUUCCUUACUAUCAUGAAGCUUAUUGUUCUCAAGUCUAGCCUCAUGUGUGAGAAACAUAGCAUAAGCCUCACUAAGAUCCAUAUUCAACAUAUUUGCCUCAAUAUAGACAACUACAAGAUAAUAUGACUGAUCUAGGCCAGAGAUAAGAUGAGUAAUUAGAUCCAAAUCAUUCACAGGACUACCAACUAGAGCAAGACCAUCUGUGACUGUUUUAAGCUUUGUAAAAUACUCAGACAUGGUUAAAGAUCCUUUUCGCAGGUUACUUAGAAGCAUUUUCAGAUGAACCUUCUUAGCCAUAGAUUCAGAUCCAAAUUGUUUUUCAAGGUUUUUCCACAACUCAAAAGAGGUCUUAGAGCUUACCACAAGACUAAGAAUAUCAACAUUCAUGGAUGACAUAAUCCAACUGAGCAGGAGCUGAUCUUGACGUUUCCAAGCUGCAUACUCUGGAUUCUCUUGACCUUCGAUGCUGGAAGAAGAAGAACCUUCAGAUCUAGCCUCUGGUGGAAGAAAUUGACCAGGACAGAUCCUGGAUCCAUCAAUAUAGCCUUCAAGACCAUUGCCACGAAUUGAAGAAAGUACUUGCUGUUUCCAGAUCAUAUAGUUCGAGCGAUCAAGCUUGAUUGGAUUUGUGACGGUGAAAGAAGUUAUGGGAGUGUUGCUGGAUUGUUGAUUAGAACCGAUUAAGGCCAUUUGAUUCAAGCUUUGAUACCAAGUUAAAAGAUAAAAUGCUCUGUAGAUUUUGUUUGUUUACUUAGAAAAACAGAGAGAAAGUUUAUUGACUUAGAGAAAAUACAAAGCUCAACAUAUUCAUUAAUUACAAUACAACACUAUUUAUAUUAGUGUGUAGAAUCUUCUCAAGGUUACAAGUUUACAAAACUCAUGAGCACAGAUUCUGGUAUUCAUAACAAACUUUUGGAGGGAAGCAAAUUAGCUUUCAGCUAACUACAAAACUAACUUUCCAGCGUUGCUUGAUAACUCAGUAGAUGACUCAACAUUUUAUUCUUAACACUCAGCAGAUGACUCAACAUUUUAUUCUUAACACAAAGAUCACAGGGAAUGCAUCCUUGCAAAUUAUUGGCAUCGAGAUAUGAAACUUGUAGUGUCUUUAACGUUCCCAUUGAUGCUGGAAUAGUUCCGUCCAAGUCGUUAUUGGAGAGGCUUAAAGGUAUCAAGCCACGAAAGUUACCAAUCUCUUAAGGAGUGCUGCCCCUAAUUUUGCAAUCAUGUGCAAAAAUUUUCUGAAGCGACUCACAGAAAUUCCCAAUUAAUGGUGGAAGGAUGCCACGUAAAGGAUUAUAACCUAAGCCUAAAAAUGCUAGCAUCCUUCAAGAAGUCAAAGAAGGGAGAAAACUCCACCCACCAGUAGAUGAUUCGUCGUCAGGUAAUAUACGCCAAGGAAUCUCAGGUUGCCAAAAGUGCUUGGGAUAAGGCCGGAGAAAGAGUUGUAGCUCAAGUCUAGGACUCUGAGUUUAGAAGCGUUGGUGAUGGAGUUGGGAAUUGUGCCGCUAAGUUUGUUCUUUGCCAAGCUUAACCAGUCCAUGUUUGGAAGCGAGUGGCCAAUCGUUGGUGGUAAAUGGCCUGUGAAGUGGUUUUCAGCUAGAGUAAUUCUUGUUAUGUUGAAAUAUUGAAGAUCGCGGGUGGAAUAAAACCAGUUAAGUUAUUGGAAUUAAGAGCUAAAUACUCCAGAUUUUUUAGAUUGCCCAUCUCAGUUGGAAUUUCACCUGCCAGAAUAAAUGCCCACAUUAUAUAUUAACGGUUAUUGAGCUGAAAGUACAAGCAGAGUAAUAUAUAUGUUCAAAUGCAUUAAAGUCGCAAGUUUCGUUUGACACCAAGCAUAUGGAUUAUGGUCUCUCUAGUUAAGCGAUUUUGUUAAUUAGUUGAAAAAAAAAUAUGAUGGAGAAUGUUUGAAUUGGGCCUUCUAUUUUCAUUAUAGAAUAAAUUAACUAUUAAUUUUCAUGAGAAAAAUACUUAUUUCCAUAAAAUUAUUCAAGCUUUUAAAAAGAUUCAGAAUUAAAAAUCAAACUUUGUACUGUAGAAAAUUUGCCGGUACGUUCAAUUAGUACUUCGUUUGAGGAAAUAAGAUUAGAAUAGGCUAAAGGUACGGUAGUUAUGCGGUACCUGUUUCAUAACCGUAGAAUAGUAAAUGUUUGACUUUUUUAUUAGAAAUAUAUCAUUAACAAUUUUGUUCGCUAAUUGAAUAGAGAAAGAAGGGGGGGGGGGGGGGGGGGGGGAGAGGGCAAAAAGGUUAACACAUUUCGAAACUACAAACGAUUGCCUUUUCCUAUUAAUAAUGUUUGCGGAUUCUAACAAUUGAAUCUCAAGGUCAUGAUAUAGUGAAUUUUAUAGUGAAUAAAAUUAAUAUUCCACAUACUAUCUAUUUAAUUAAUGUCACAUCAAUUGAGACUUAAGAUAGGGCUCAAUUGUUGGGAUACCUGAUAUUACUCUCUUUCUAAAUAUAAAAUUAAUGUUAAUAGUAAAAGCAUUUGGAAACUGGGUCGAAUCCCCCAUUAGGGAUCAAAUUGGGAUUGCGGUGGCUGAUGAAGCUACUUUAUGUUGUAUGGAUUAAAUAAGACGCCGAUUGAAAAAAUAACUUAGUGUUUUGAAAAUUGCGUUGUUAUGGUUACUGUAAGUUUGUAAAGUAGAAUACAUGCUUUUAGUAAAUUUGAUUACGAAAAUGUUGUUUUAUUAUAUAAUGACAAAAAAUAGACAUAAGUUUAAAUUGCCUUUUAUUUAUAUAUUAGGGUUUGCAGAAAAAUAAGACUUAAUUAUCUUUUAGUUAAAGUUUUAAGGUUAUAAUAAGAACUUUAAAAGUAAUGGCAGCUUAUUUAAUAAGCUGCUUAUAAAAUGGAACUUCAUAUCAGGAAGUCUGAGGAUAAUACGAGUAGAGAAUUUGAGAAGGCAGCUAGGCGCCUAGAGAAUGCUCGACUGGUUUGUGGCCUAUCUUUUAAUUUCUUCAGAUUCGGGACAAAUUGUCUUGGAGUGAACUGAUGUGUUGCCUUUUCUUUUUUUAAGCUUGAAUGAUCUAUUUGCUGCAGUAAGCAGUGAACGUCCUAAUGAAUGUUAAAUUAUGCUGUUUGUUUCGAUUUACUUUUCUAUCUUAGCUCCGUGUGAUUAGUGGAAUGCUGGUCCUGCGAGUAUAAAAAUGAACUCCUUAAGUCAAAUUCCUUCUUGGGGUGUUGGAGAAAGAACUAAAUACAUGUAACAUUUCUUUCGGAUAUGGAUCAUCUGAUGGAUGUUGUAUUUUCUAGGUAUUGAGGAGAUUCCCUAAUAUUGAAAAAUUACGUUCCCGAGCAUCAAAAGAUGAUCCCCUAGAAUUGCGUUCACCUGUGACAAAAGAGGAGCUUGUAGCUGAGGUAUGGAUUUUUAUCUUUCUUGGUUGUUCUUUAUAGUCGUUUCUCAUUAUAAUAGCAAAAGCAGUUUGUUCUGAGUGACCUGUGUAGUCUACUAUCAAUCUCUGCCGAUUCUAUCAUUAGUACUAUUGACUAUGUGUGCUUAGAUAUUUUGUUUUUACCAUGUAAUUUCAUAUUUGAUACAUUUCUAAUUGUGCAUUGCAUAGCGUCCAUGAACGGGAAUGAUAAAAUAAAUUUCAAGCGUGUUUAAGUAGAUGAAAAAACUUGGUACGAUUUAGAAGGAUUUACUGAUUAAAUAAUUUUCCAAUUUGUUUGCCUGGAGGAAUUGAAUAGUUAAUUGAUUAAAGGAUUGCAAGGUGGUUAGGUCCAGCCGAGCAUUGUAAAUUUUAACGAUCAUUAUGAAUGUGUAGUUCCUAUAUGUGAAAUUGAAUUUCCAUGGUGGCAUGAUAAAAUGAAUUUCUGCUAGGGUGUGAUCGUAUGGUAGUCAAUUGUGAGAAACAGAUCCACAUGGUAAUAUAGAUUGAAAUUUUGCGUCUUAAUCCACGAAGAUAUAGAUUUUGGCAAUAUUAUACAAGCACUGGGGGUUACCUUAAAUAUUCUGGACUUGCCAUUGAUAGAGUUUCUUUUACCUAGUUAUUGAUAUUGCUUUCAAUUUUCUAUUUUACUGAUACCAUAUAUACAAAUUUAGGUGGCAAGACACCUCUGUCUGCUUUCGGGGAAUACGAGGUUCCUAUGCGCUUACCCAAAGGUCCAGUGGACUCUCAAUGUCAAAGCCCGCGGCAAAUAAACAAUCGUUUCAUUUGUUUUGUUUUACUCGGUUCGGGAUCCAAAUUCCAUUGUAGAACAGUUUUUGGUUUUUCUUCAUAUAACAUUCUGAAGAUAAUACAGGCAACAUUGUUUGCAACGCUACAGCUAAUUUGCAGUAGCAUGAAACAAUCAGAAUUUUGCCUUUUUUGUGUAUAAAAUUUUAUUUUUUUAAUUGUGAUAUUACAGUUUUGCCCAUCGAGCAUUAUGAGGCCUAAUAUUUGGAUAAAUGUUAGGUUUAAUAUAUAUAUUUUAACUUCAGUGUUUAUUUAUUUUUUAGUUAAUUGUUUAGUCAAUAAAAAGAGGUAAUUAAAAAUGUAAUUAAUAAAUUACUUAUUAGCAAAUUAAAAAAUAAAUAUUAGCAUAAAAUAAUUGAUAUUUUAUUCUCUUACAACAAUCUUACUAAUUAUUAUUUAUAAAUUACUUAAUACAAGUUAAUUUAAAGUAAUGUUUAAUAUUCUUGUAACAACCUUCCUAAUAAUUUUUUUGUAAAAAAUUAAUCCUAAAAGUAAAAUAAUAAUAAUUAAUUUGUAUUUUACUUGGUAAAUUUAAAUUUUUUUAACUAAUAUCUCCAAGAAUAUGGUUGUAAGGAUAUUAUUACAAAAGUAAAACAAAUAUAAGAUUGUAAUAUAUUUAUUAGUAAGAAUAACUUAAGAUAUUUUUUAAGAUAUAAAAAUUAAACAAAUUCCUUCUUUGAAAAAUCGCAUUUUCUCCUUCACAACAACAGCUACAAUGUUGUAAUUUUAUCUUUUGUUUAGUUUCUUUCUGUUGCCUUUUUGUUUCGUUUUUUGAAUUUUCUGUGUCGUUUUUCCUGUUGAGGCCUAUUGCCUGUUGCGAACGGGAGUGAGCCGAUUGAGGCCGUGAUAACGAUCGAUGUUUUGAGAAGGUCUGGAGCUGACGUCACGGUUGCGUCCGUGGAGAAACAGCUUCGUGUCGACGCGUCAUGGUGUCAAGAUUGUCGCUGAUGCUCUCGUGUCUGACUGCCGCGACGCCGUUUUUGAUCUUAUAGCUCUUCCCGUAUGUAUUGCAGCUCACCUCAGCUCAUGCCAAUUUAUGUGAUGUUUGUAUAAUUAUAGAUGAUUAUUGCUGAUACUGAAUGUUAAGCUAAAUAAUUCGUCGUUAAGUCAUCUUCAUUUAAUUUUCGAUUGAAAAUGAUAAAAUAGUAAUUUUGAGCAAAGAAAAAUGUAGAAAAUGUUUAUUUUGUUUUAUUUUAAUUUUUAAUUUUUUGAGAUUUCCUUAUUGUGGCUGUUAUCAUUCAUUAUAUGGUCAUAGUUAAAUAUUUCAAGUUGUUGUAGUCAGUGAAAUUCUUUUCCAUAUUUAUUCUGGCAUGUGUAUUUUUCCUUUCAAUUUCUUUUGUUGCUGAUUCUUUGAUUGAUUAUGUUAUAUCCUUUUUUGUUUCCUUUGUAGGGUGGCAUGCCCGGUGCUACCAAUCUGAAAGAAUCUGAAGUAUUAGAAACCAUUGUGAAGAAGCAGGCUUCAGCUGGGCGUCUUUAUGCUGCUGUCUGUGCUUCACCUGCUGUGGCAUUAGGGUCUUGGGGUCUGUUGAAGGGAUUGAAGGUAAGAAUUAGAUAAGCCUUUUUUAUGUUUUGUGUUCUUUUGGGAAUUGCAUUGAUAUUUGUGUUAUACAUCAGUUUUGCUCUCACCGAUGAUUGUUAAGUUCUAAUUUAUGGGGUUAUUCAUUUUUUGUAGGCUACUUGUUAUCCGUCAUUUAUGGAGCAAUUAGCUCCUGCUUGUGCAGCAACUGUUGAAUCAAGAGUACAGCAGGAUGGUAAAGUUGUUACGAGUCGUGGACCUGGCACUGCUAUGAUUUAAUUGUCUUGCCAGUGAGUUGGGGUGCUUACUCUUGCUUCAUAGUCUUUACCACAUUAUUGACUUACUAACUACAAUUUAUCCAUGCACAUUGCACACGGUGGACUUGGUGGCAACAAGGCACUUGAGCUUGCAAAGAUAAUGCUUUUUACUCACGCCUAAUGUUUGUACAGGGACCUGACUACUAUUAAACUAGUGUGUUUAUUUUUGUAUUGCUACAGCUUGUAGAGAGGGGAAAUGGAAACUUGAAUUCAUGUUUGAAUAUGGAUUCACUGCGUGGGUUUGUACAGCAGUUUGGUUUAUAAAUAAAUGAGUUCAUAGAGUCACUUC
rnacentral:lncRNA from 1 species